rnacentral:lncRNA from 1 species
CAGCUACCUGCACCACCAGGUGGUGCAGACUAUGCUCAGCGCUCCCUCGGGCCAGUGUUCUAUUAUGAAUCAGAGCGUUGCCUGGUAACCAGGGCAACGCUCUGACCCGCUGCACGGAGCAGUGAACUUGGUCUGCACCCCGAGGCGCAGACUGCAAGCUCCCUGGCAUUAGUCUCAGACCCCCCGAUACAUUACCGAGGACCUGAGUCGGCCCCAGCCGGUGCUGCAAGCUAUGCGACCGCCUAGCGCCCCUGUUGCCAUGGUGCCCUGCCAUAUCUCUCCCCCCCUCCCCUCGGUCGGCAAUAUACUCUGGCUGUGCAUACAGUAGCUCUAUGCUCCCUGCCUCCCCUCCUUCCCCUCCCUGCCUGGCUGUCAGUUUCCUGGGCGGGCAGGAGGUGGAGCUGUCAGCCGCAGCAAGCAGAAGCAGAAGGAGGUUUUUUGGCCUCUGAAUGGAUGAAUUUCGGAUUAUCCUCUUCCGUUUCCAGCACUUCAAGAACCCAACAACAACUACUACUACUACUACUAGUGACCAGCACGGCGGGCAGGACUGUGUGGAAGUGGGGGGCUCCACGAAGACCCCCGAGCUAGCAAGCACUGAGUGCCAGGGUGACAGAUGAGCCCAGUGUGUGAGAUACUGUGUUAGUACCCUCAGAGGGUAGAGACCAUGGGGCACUGCCUCUGCAGGUCAUAGCACUGUGUAUGCUGCAGCCUUUCUAUAAGAACACAAAUGUGAGAUUUAUUAUUAUUUUUUUUUAAUGCUGUGUGUAUAUCACUGUUGCUAUUGGGGCUCUGGUGCCCAAUUACCUGCAUUUUCUAUAUACAGUACUGCAUUUGCUGUGUGUGCCAUUGCUCUGAGAAUGUGCUGCAGCUGCAUGUAAUUUUUUUUUUUUUUUUUAAGUCAGUUUGUACUGAGCUCUUCUGUUUUUGUGUGCCUGCUGCUAUCUAAAAUACCACUGAGAUAUCAAUAUCCCCUUCCAGGGAGAUAAGGUACUAACUAUCCCCUUGUGACCGGACAUAUCUGCGGAGAGUGUGGCACAGAGCUGUGAAUUUGCCAGUCUUUGGUGCCAGCACACUCUGGUUGCUGUUGUUUUCCUUAAAGGUGCUGGUAAGACUUUUUAAUCACAAUGAAGAAGUUUUCUCGGAUGCCCAAGUCAGAAAGCGGCGGAGGAGGAGGUGGUGGUGGAUCUAGUCUAUGUCCAGGGUCCUCGGGCACUGCUACCAGUGGAGGGGUGACUGUGGGCAGAGGCUUCACCAUUGGGCGUUAUCAGGUUACUGUGGAAGAACUUGUGGCAGAAGGUAACAAUGUUUUCAUAAAUUACUUUAUGUAAGAUUAAAGCUGUUUUUUUUUUCUGUUUCCAAUGUGUUUUGCGAAAUAAUUGAACGUACCAGUGGAAAUUUUCAUCAGUGUUUAAGUAUUAUAGGUUUAAUAAUUUGUACACAAUUAUCUGUAACGUGGUACUAAAGCAUACAUAUGUUUGAUAGUAGUACCAUCUGUGCUGACUGCAGACAUAUGUAGACUGCUGUACACGUCAUAAAGUCAUAUGUUGCUACUUAGUUGGCAGACAUCACACACACACAUUGCAAUGUGGAAUAAUACACCUAGGCCCUUUCCUCAGGUGAGAGAAUGCAUAUUGUUUCCAGAAAACUCUUGUCAUGUGUGCGCCAGUUCACUGAGAACUGGCAUGGGUCGAAGGAGUGGACUGCUAUACUCCUGAUCACACCAAAUGAAGAAAGAAAAACAUUUUAUCUCUCUUAUGCAUCGUUAAAAAGUUUUAAAGUGUGGUCACAAGUUUUCAAGCCUCAAGUUAGGCAUCUUGCAAGACUUGUUUAUUAUAUUGAAUUAACAGACAACAUGGAUACAGUUAGCAUAAUGGUAAGUAUAAGUACUAAUAAUGUAAACCAAAAUCAUAAUUUAAUUAUUUACUUUUUUUUUUAUUUACACCCGUGCCCAAAUGUCUGUACCAAAACUGCAACAACAACUUUAAAACUAACCAAUAAUAAUGGCCUAGCUUCUAACAUUUAGUUACUUAUGACAAGACCUUCAUUUCAAUACUAGAGACAUCUAACGGUUGCCCUCCACUGCAGCCUGGAGGAUCCCUGGCCCUUGCCAGGGCUUAAAUUCCACUCGCCAAUGGGCAGUGGAUUUGUGGAAACUUUGAGCCCUAACAUGUAAUUUCAUUCUUGGGCAUACUUUGCCAGGGUUUACAACUUAAGGCCCUCAAGUUCAAUGUAAACUUCAAAUUAUGUAUAAAGAUUAUACAAAUGAGUGUAUUAAGGAUCCAAUAUAUUGAUCUCAUUGCAUUCCUGAUAGUAUUCAGCCAAACUGUAUAUUAUUAGUUAAAUGUGCCUGAUACAGUCAACAUACAGUGUAAAACAUAAAUAGUGCUUGUCUAUUAAACAUAUUGCAAACUAACUCUCUGGCCCUCACAUGGUUGAUGUAAAGUUGAAACCAAAUAAUCACGUAAAAUGGGCAUUGUAAAUUGUUGCUGAUUGCAAUGUUUACAGCUGCUCUCUUUAAAGGGACACUAUAGUCACCUGAACAACUUUAGCUUAAUUAAGCAGUUUUGGUGUAUAGAACAUGCCCCUGCAGCCUCACUGCUCAAUCCUCUGCCAUUUAGGAGUUAAAUCCCUUUGUUUAUGAACCCUAGUCACACCUCCCUGCAUGUGACUUGCACAGCCUUCUAUAAACACUUCCUGUAAAGAGAGCCCUAUUUAGGCUUUCUUUAUUGCAAGUUCUGUUUAAUUAAGAUUUUCUUAUCCCCUGCUAUGUUAAUAGCUUGCUAGACCCUGCAAGAGCCUCCUGUAUGUGAAUAAAGUUCAAUUUAGAGAUUGAGAUACAAUUAUUUAAGGUAAAUUACAUCUGUUUGAAAGUGAAACCAGUUUUUUUUUCAUGCAGGCUCUGUCAAUCAUAGCCGGGGAGGCGUGGCUAGGGCUGCAUAAACAGAAACAAAGUAAUUUAACUCCUAAAUUAAAUUGCAGAGGAAUGAUCUAUACUCUAAAACUGCUUUAUUUAGCUAAAGUAAUUUAGGUGACUAUAGUGUUCCUUUAAUUCUGGGGUCUUUGCAUAUUUUAUUUUUUUCCGUGUGAGAGGAGAAUCGAGCCGCUUUAACAUCACGUAGAUAUGAGAAAUUACAAGUUUUAUCCAGGGUUUGAGAUUCUCGGACAAGAGUUAUGGAACUACUUGCCAGCUGCCUAAAGAAAGCCCAGAAAUAUGAAAUAUUUUAGUUCUUUUCUUGACUAUAACAAAGCUGCCAUAACAUUAUUUAUUGCAAAAUAGAAGAGGGAACCGCACUCAAUUCGCAUAAAACAAAGGGUGCUUUUAUUAGAAUAUACAAGCAGGCAUGUUUAUUAGAACAUGUGGGACACUGCAACGUUUCAACCCCAGAUCCGGUCUUUGUCAAGACAUGGAUUUGUAGUAUCUAGUUUAAAAAUUAUGUCAAAGGUUUGGCUUGCACAUUUUUUAUGAAAGGGACCCUAUAGGCACCCAGACCAUUUCAUCUCAUUGAAGUGGUCUGCGUGAAGUGUCACUGUAACCCUUAACCCUGCAGUGUAAAACAUUGCAGUUUUACCUAACAGCCAAUAGAGGUGCUUCCUGCAGUUCACAGAGCUUGGUUACAUAAAACAUAGUUGAAUGUCCUCAAGCCUUGUAUGCUUUCCUAUGGUGGACAUUAGGUUUCUUCCAUUGGCUGACAUCGACAGAGGAGGAGCCCGAGCCAGCGCUGAGGGACAUUAGUGAUGAACUCACAUAAGUGUUUAAAGUUUUUUGUUUUGAUUUUGAUAACCCUUUACAUCGCCAGGGGUGUUGAGGUGCAGGGCUGUAUUUAGUGUUAGGCUAACAAGCCAUUUCUGUUGGAUGGCACCCAAACGCCCAGUAGAUGCCUUGUUAGAUUGGCCACUUUUGGCUCCCCCCGAGGUGGGCGGUGAUGGAGCGCUAAUCCUUGAUCUGCCCUGCGGUGAUGCCGUGAGCCGGCGUAUUAUGUCACUACGGCCCUGGCAUCCCUGUGGGGUGCACGAGGGAGCAAAGGAAGGAGAUUACACUGCAUACACGCCAGCCAGUAUGCAUGCCUGGUUCCCAGGGACAUCAGCCCCUCUGAAACCCAAGAAAAUCAACCCCACUGUACUCCAUGGAAAUCAGCCCCAAUGAAACCCAGGAAAAUCAGCCCCAAUGAAACCCGGGAAGAUCAGCCUCACUGGACCCCGGGGAGAUCAGCCUCACUGGGAAAUAAUUCACUCCAACUUUCCCAAAGGUAGGGAGGCUGGUUGGAUUUAAAUUAACAUAAACAAACAAUAAUAAUUUGUGAAAAAGUGAGUGUGAGUAUGUCAGUGUGUGAGUGAGUUUGUGUCUUAUCAGUGCGUGCGUCUGUCAGUGUAUGUGUAUCUGAGAGUGUGUGCUUGUCAGUGUGUGUCUGUCAGAGAAUGUGUGUGUUGGUUAAACAAUGUGUGUGCCAAUGACUGUGUAUCUGUCAGUGAGUGUUUAUCAGUUCAGGCAUCUGUGAAGGUGUGGGUCUCAGUCAAAUUACAUGUUGAUCUCAAACAGGAUAAGGUGUUGCCUUGACAGGAAGGGGUGGGGCAAAUUUAGUUUAGGGGGUGCCCCAGUUUUGUCAUACAUAGGGCAGCCCAAAUCCUGAAAAGGCAGUGUUUACAUGAAAAUAUCCAGCUGUAGUUCUGGUGAAUAGUGUCCCUUUAAAAGGUGGGUUUUUAAUUUUUUUUUUUUUUUUUGCAGUGCAUAAAAUUUAUACAGGCAUGCCCGGGGUGCCCCAAAGGCAGUCCCCAAGCUUUCCUCGCUUAACAUGCGGGACAGAUGAACAGUAUGCACAAUUUUAUGUUAUGAACAGGCUUAACUGUAGUUAUGUAAAGUGGCAUCCUUAUAAGACAGUGACAUGGAAGCUUUGCAUAAUAGUAUUUCAAAAACAGGCUUAAACAUCCAUUGUGUCACAAAGAGAAGAGAUUAAGGUACAGGCAUAUAUAAACAUAUAUGAUAGGUAGAGAGAUUAUGGUUAAAACAAUAAGGUUACACAGCAUAGUAACCAUGUCUGGACUGGGACCAGUAUAUGUAGUUGCUUGCCAGCCUCCCCUUCUGUCCCCUGAGAUAUAAUAGCUGAAUCUACAAAUCAACCGUGUUACAGUGUACGCCUAGUGUGGGAGCACAAAUAGAGUAUAGUGUAUCUUUAUCGGCUAGCUGACUCCCGUGGGUGUAUGUUGCUUAGUGUGGUUAUAGCAUUGCGUGGGUAUGAUCGAGUGUCUGUGAGUCACAUGUUAGGCCCGCCGCUCUGUUGCUGUGGCUAGAUUUGUGCGGUUUGGGUUGGAAAGGGUUAACAAAAACAUCAAGGAGGACAUAUGUGAAUGUAUAGACAUAUAAAAAGACAGGCUGGUAUCAUAAGCUUAAGGAAGUUCUCAAUUCCAUAUAUUAGGUUGCCAUAUGUGGUAACUUAUAUGAGAUUGUGUCCAUCUAGUGUGAGUCUGUGGGAGUAUUAGACUGGCCAGACAUAUCAGACUUUGCCAACCAUUUCUUUGCACUACUGUCUGGAGCUCCAAGAGAAAGUCAUCUGAGGCUUUAAGAGGUAUUGCCCCUGGGAGAUGGAUCCACAUGUCUGUGAGGUGUCCGCCGGUAUGUGUAGCUGAUCACUGGAGACAUGGGAUUGUAUGCGUGUAUCUGUCCCAGUCAGCCAACUCCCUCCGCUGGGAAACGCAUGGAAUCUGUCGGUGGGUCUUGGCGUGCCGCUGCUAUACAGGUUCGGGUGUAGGUGUCCCUCCAGCCCCAGGCUGGUGUGAAGGCCCACAUCUCUUUGCCACAAACUCGGUUCUUCUUAGAGGCCGAGUUCCCUCCACUUGUGGGAGCGCUGGGGGGCCUGAUGAUCUGUUGCCGCUUGCGGCGUUGGCACCUCCGCAGGUGUGGACGAUGCCUCCGGGUCUGAACCCCCGUGGCCUUCAGCCCGGGUGGGCUAUGGAGAGUGUGGGUGGUCGUUGCUACAGGCGCUGCACCCGAGGGUGACACCCUCCUACCCCGCCGCAUUCGGCCUUGCUCACUCUUGUCUUUCAGGAAUUGUAGUUUGGUCUCUGUUUUCUGUUCGCGCUCCUGGAGUUUCUCCCAGAAGCGGAGAAAGAUUUCCUCCAAGCGCUGCAGGGUGUCUGUGGUUUCCCCGCGUAUGGGGCCUUGACUGUGGCACAUGUUGUGGUCAGCAGCCGCCAUCUUGAGUUGCAUAAGCUGAGUUUUGAGGCUGAAGACUCGGUCUAAGCGGUUUGCUCCAGACGCUUUAGAGUAUACCGGGAUAUCCCCCCCCGGUCCAAAGGGGGGGGGGGAGGUAGGGGACAGGGAUGCCGAGGCACCUCCGUGUGGUCCUGUGAGCGGGGAGAGUGGCCGUCUCACCCCGGCUCGGAGUUUGGUAGGCCUCAGGAGGGUAUCGCAGGUCUCCGGGCGGUGAUAAAGGUAAGUCAGGUAUCGAUGAGUGCACCCGGGUGUCCCCUUCUUGCUGAUAGCCCUCCAGGAGGCAGACGUGCCAGGUUUGGGGUUUUGUUUUCCCCUAAAGCAGCUAUUUUCCCAGGAGCUCUGUCCAGGCACCUCUGCUCAGCCUGGAAGCCAGGCUCCGCCCCCUCCCCUUAAAAGGUUUUAACGCCUGACAUUGUAAAAUUUAUUUUGUUUUAAUAAUCUUUAAGUUUGAUUUAAAACACAUGGGUGAUUUUGAAAAGCCAGAAAAAGGUCUUUACAUUAGGUUGUUUAAAGAAAGUUUUAGCUGAACUUGAUGGACGCAUGUCUCUUUUCAGCUAUAUAACUAUGUAGCUGAGGAAGUAAAGCAGAUGAACUGUGACUCAAUAUAUUUGCGCAAUAUAAAAGUUAUUGUAGUUGUGAGAAAUAAAGUGAAUACAUUGCUUAUCCAAGACUUUUCACUCCUCAAGAGUACUUUUUAGUGUUUUUUGUGUUGUGAAUCUGGGGACUUUUUAGUGUUUUUUGUGUUGUGAAUCUGGGGACAGUUUUGCAGGGCAUUGAUAAAAGUGAAUAAAAUGGUGUAAUAAAAGAAAAAUCAUGAAAAAUUUUAAACAAGUCCUUUAAGUAGUGUCUCUGGCCUGGAUGAAUCCUCAAGGGAUUUUCAAUGGUUCCCAGUAUGCCUGUGAACAACACAGACUUUAUUAUAUUACCUCAUGGUUAUUAGGUUAAUCUUAAAUGGCUAUGGACUUCUUAAUAUCAUUAUAAAAUCUAGAACGGCUUCUGUUGGCAGAAUUUUAUAUUGUGAGAUAGAAAGCACUGUAAUGAUUAAUUUUGUUACUUGUAGCAGGCAUUAAGACUAAUGAUACAACAAAUGUAUUUUCCUUCUGGUCUUGUCAUUUUCCAGUAUUUGGAUUUUUGUCAUGAUAUCUUCAGCUCUCUUCUUUGUUUGAAACAAGUAGAAAGUAUUUGUCUUCAGUUUUAUAAAUAAGCACAGAGAUUAUUAUUAAAAAAACUAAACCGACUGAAAAGUGAACUAUGAUAUGUGCACAGGCAUAUCUGUCAAACUGUGCAAGUGGUGUCUACAUUUUUCAGCAAUACAUUUUUUUACCAUCCAAUUGUUUGUCCUCAUUUAUAAACCUUUCUAAUGUAAUUGUCUGUUUCUAAAUUAGGUAUAUGCCGAUUAUCUAUUUUAUAACUCCAUGUUCGAUAUGUGAUUUCUGUGAGUUUUACACUGGCCUUUGCAUUGGAAUUGUCUACUGCAUCAAAUAGAUGAUCCUACAGGAUAUUGAACCAUUGUCUACUUACUUAUUUACAUCCUGCUCAAAGAAGUUAUAAAUUUACUCCUGGUGUGAAAGACAUUAUGUACUGAAAGAAUUAAAGCAACACUGUUCUCUGCAAACCUCUUUCCCAAAAUCAGUUUAAAAGAAUAAUGCAAAUAGAUUGCCAUUAUUUACACUGGGUUUUCUUUUUUCUUUCUCUUUCUUUUCAUUAUGCCCUUUGUAGCUUAAUGAUUAUCUUACAUCUCUUGUUACUUGUUUCUUCCUUGCGCCAGAUCUCAAUAUCUGGGUGCUACCAUUUUGUUCUCCUUUCUCUGUGAUGUUUGCAGUUUCCCUUCUGUGGGAUAAUUUUGACUGAUGGAUUGUGAGUAGUGAUGUGCCGAACGGUUCGCCGCAGACUGAUCAUUGAGUAAACUUUGACCCUGUACCUCACAGUCAGCAGACACAUUCCAGCCAAUCAGCAGCAGACCCUCCCUCCCAGACCCUUCCACCUCCUGUACAGCUCACUAAGAAUGCAGCUUCACAAUGAAUGUAAAAUGGAUACUGUCCAGGAGGUGGGAGGGUCUGCUGCUGAUUGGCUGGAAUGUGUCUGCUGACUGUGAGGUACAGGGUCAAAGUUUACUCAAUGAUGAGUCCGCGGCGAACCGUUCGGCGAACCGUUCGGGACAUCACUAAUUGUGAGUAAUUUAGCGAAGAAACUGAAAAUGAACUUUGCUUAAAGGGACACUCCAGACCCUUGGAGCACUUUGGUUAUUGGACAGCCAAUGAAAGUAUGGGCUGUGUUAGAAGGGGGAAAGCUUGCAAAUUCUUUAGACAAGAUCUGCAGCUUUUGCAACCUGUUUAUAGAGAUACCACCAAUGUAAAAAUGUAUAAUUAAAUGCAUGCAUAUUAUUGGGGGUAUAUUUACUAAACUGAUUUUUAUAUAUUUUUUCUAAUGUUAUUUGUGCAGUAGAGUGUUCUUUUAAAGGAAUACUAUAGUGUCAGGAAUACAAACAAUUUUGUGAAUGCUUGGAAAAAUGCAUCUCUAUGAGGAAUGUUCAGUGCAUCAGUGAUGAGCGUAGAGAUGAUGAAUGUCAGUGCUGCACACUGCAGCACUGGACUAGGAAGCACCACUAGUGGCCAUCUGAGUGACUGCCACUAGAGGAGUACCCAGGCAGCAAUGUAAAUACUGCCUUUUCUCUUAAAAGUCAGUGUAUACAGUGUUCAGUAUCCAGGGACAGGGUUUAGACACCAGAACCACUACAUUAACUUGUAGUGGUUCUGGUGACUAUAGUGUCCCUUUAAAGGGACACUAUAGUCACCAGAACAACUACAGCUUAUUGAAAUUGUUCUGGUGAGGAGAAGAAUAAUAUGUCGAAAUAGAGGGACAAAAAAAAAAGAUCUUUUGCACUGCCUCCAUGACAGUUACUGAUAUAAGAAAAACAAGGUUACAGAGAACAUGUGAUUUUCCAGGUUUUCACUGUGCAGUUUUCUUUUCAGUUUAUCAAUAAAGCAAACUGCUGAACAGAUUUAAAAAUAAUUUGCAUUGUUUAUACAGAUUUUAAAAUGAUGCACCUAGUCUUUCUAUAUGUACCUAAGUGUAAUUGAGAUCUAUAAGAUCUAUUAAUAUAAAGAUAGAGAAAUGUGUCUCGUUUUGAGUUAAAAAUUCACUAACCAUUAUAAAUAGUGGACAUUUCUUAAAUGUAAUUGAUUUUCUAUUGAAGAUGAUUUGGCAGUUUUGAGACUUCCUCAUUCACAUUUUAAGGGGCUGCAUGUGCUUAAGAUAAUUGAAUACAUAGCGUCUCUUGCUCGUGAUUCUCUUUUAUGAUUACAUCGCGAAUAAUCAAAUUUGUCACUUGUAGGAUCUGCUUUUUUUUUGUAUAGAUCUACAAGGACCAUUUGCAUAGCGCUUGAUAGAAAGAAAAUUGUAGAAAGGGAGAUAUGCUUAUCUGAAGCUCUCCUCUGUCACUGCUGCCAUGUUCCUGUACUUCUUUUUCUUUGGCUCCUUCUAGCCUCACCAGCCAGAAGCCCCUUCAGUUGUAUACUAAACAGGGCUAAAUGGAACAUUAUACAAUAGAUGUCUUGCACAUGCGCAGUAAGAUUACAUCACUCAUGAUGGUUGAUUAAAAUGGCAAGAUAUGUCCGUGGAGGCCCACACAUUGCCACAUUUUGCCUUUAUUCAACAAAGUACCUAAUUUUUCCCUUGUAUCUUUUGAUUGCAUUAGAAUUUCAGUGAGAUUCCAAUGCAAAUAGGCAUUUUUCAUAUAGUUCUAUAUUUACGGGAAACUCAAGUGACAGUGCUGCUUUAAUGCCAGUCAGAUUACUGACCAGCAGAAAAUGUAGAAAAAAAUAAAUCAUCAGAAUGUACUGUAACACUGCCUUAUUUUUAGGUUAACACAGUCCCAAACGCUCUUUGCCCAGCUCUGACUACAUUGAUGUGCAAUUCAAGGCCAGCUGAGACAAACAUUCUUUCACAACACCAUAAAGGGAAGACACUCCAGAUCAUUAUAAAAUAUCUAAUUAAGAUCUCCUUUUUUAUGUAAAGGUCCUAUACUACGUACAACAAGAGAAGGACACAGGUUGGAUCCCUGUCUACUUUCACUUUCAAGCAAAUGGGCCUUUUUGGGACAGAAGAAUUAGAGUAAUGAAAACGAACAUAGAAUUCUAAAAUGUAUUUUGGAAAAGUCACUUUAAAUAAUGAGCAGACAAGGGGCCAUGCUAACAUUCUGUGGCUCCAACAUAUAGUCUAGUUCAGAGGUGGGCAACCUUGGCACUCCAGAUGUUUUGCAGUUUACCUCCCAUGAUGCUUUGUCAGUAUUAUGGCUGUAAGAGCAUUAUUGGAGAUGUAGUCCAUAACAUCUGGAGUACCAAAGGUUGCCUCUAGUUUAUUGAUGUUGACUUUUGUGAUAGCUGAAACACCAGGGUUUAACCAAUAAGUGCCCACACAAUUUAUAAAUUUAUCAUUCUAUGGUAUGGUUUCGUGAUUGCUUGUGUUUAACCUUCAUAUUGGUGAAACAUCUCGGAACUCCGUGUAAUUAGCAGAGGGAAGUUAGCAGUAAGCUAUUGUGUUUUUUGUCUCGUCCGUUAGAAGAAGUGCUGUCAUUCCCAGCAGAGAGCAAAAUUGUCACCUGAAAAAUAGAAAUGCAAAAAAAAAAAAAAAAAAAAUUCCAAUGGUGUUGUUCCUAAGAUAAGUUGGUAGAUAUUAAAUCUGUAACCACAUGCACGUUUAUUAUCCAAAAUCAGAAUUAAGUAAAAUGUACAAGACAGUUCAUAGGCCAUAUUCAAUAAAUCCUGAGGUGUUGGCACCUAAAACACUGUAGAUAUUGAGUAUAUUCUAAUUGCUUUAGUAUAAAACUACUCUGCAAACUUGCCAUUCACUAGGCUGGCGGAGCAUCAUGGGAGAUGUAGUCAUUACUUUACUCAGAUGACAGGGAGUAUUCACUAAGUUCUCUUGCUUGUGGGAGAUGUCAGUGCAUGUGUUAAAUUAUGCAGAAUUCCAGGUGUAAUGGGGUCAGUAUAGCAUUUAAUUUAAGCUCCAUGUUUUCACACAAGAAUGAUCAAAUCUUGGGCCAUGUUUGGCGAUGAACCCUCUUACAUAAACUUGUCUGAGGAUAUAUGCGUGUAUACAUUAUACCAUGUAGUUAAGUUCUGCUGAACCACCUAAUGUGGACUUUUGUAAGAUUAACGUGGAUGGAAAUACCAAAGCUUUUUGCAGACAGUGCCUGGAGCUAUUUUUAAGAAAAAUAAUUUUUUAUUCUUUUUUAAUUGAAGUAUUUAUUCAGAAAGGGGUUAUUAAGCAGGACUUGCAGGUCCCCAUCACUCCAGCAAAGAUCACAAGAAACAUCGGUAGUGUAUAAUCAGCCUGGAGCUAUUUUAUGUUUUGGUGUAUUGAUGUAGUAGGAAUUUAAAUUACAUCUGGUAACUCACUGUUAUGUAUUUUUCUGAGGCUCAAGGAUAACAAUUUGAUAAAUAAUAUGAAGUCCCUUUGAGCAAGGGAAUUCCUUCGCUUUAACCUGGGGUAAUAUACACAUUUUCUCAUUUGUUUUCAAAUACUUACUAGAGGGAAAUCUAUUGUUCAUAAAAUACUACUCUUGUUUACUUUUUCUGUUUCCUGUAUUGUAAUCACGUUACUAACUUCUAUCUCUUACAGCGUCCCUUUUGAUUUAACAAUAAUUGAAUUCCCUGGGGAAAAAAAAGAAAUAUAUUUUUUGUGUUUUUAUGAUAUUUUGCACAGUCCGUUGUGAAUAGGAGAUAUGAACAGUGUGAGUUGAUUAAAGGCUGCUGCUACCUGUAGGGAUGUUAUGUUGAACAUGUGCAACCACCAGAACCUAAUGCUAUUUAUUAGAUGAGACAUAGCUUUGCCUAUACUGAAAACACGUUACUCAGUUGGUUAAUGUAAAUAAUUGUGCAACGCUUAAAGUAUUACUGUGUGAGUUGCAAUGUCUUCAAGGUUCAGUGGUGCACAAGGUUCCUUAUAGGGUGUGUAUUUACUGUUUAAUCAUACAUGCAUGAAUUCAGACCUUAUGAUUCAUGCCACUUUUUUCAGUAUAGUAAGCUAUUUUUUGCAAAAGACCACAUUUAUAGCUAACUCUCUUGUCAAGGACUCACGGCCUUAAACUGCAUCAGAAACAUCUGUGCCACUGGUACAUUCUGCGAUGAAUCCAGCUGCUAGGAUUGCAUUGGGAGUUUGUUCAUUCUCGAUUGCAAGGCAUGCAUAUUCUGUCUGUAGUUAUGUUUGUGUGCUCAUAUGUGACUGCAGUUGAUUUCUAUGGUAGAACCAUGAAUGUGCUUUGAUUCUUCUAAAAGUUUUAGUGAAAAAUUAGGGAUUGGUUGACUUCUCCCAGUUGCUGCCUGAUUUUGGGAAACCUCAACAGAGGUGGGUUGAGGUUAUUAUCAAUAAAGCCUGCUGUAGUUGUUUUGAUGCCAGGAGUACCUUGGCCAUGUUCUCCAGUAAUUGUAGAAACCAUUUAGCAAUGCUAUGCACCCUUUUUUAGGUCCACACCAGGCUUUUGGUGGUCCAUCAAAUUAUUUCCGGAUUCUGCAGAGCUGGGUCGUCACCAUUCAUUACACAGAAUGAAAGAUGCACAAAAUUGACAUUAGCUUUUCUGGGCUGGAUGAUGACGCUGCUCAAAGUCGAGUAACCUCUCCCAUGGCAGAAUAGUUUAACUCUGUAUGUGCAGCGUGCAAAUCACUUAAGUGGUUAUGGUGCUUGCAGUAGCUCUUUGAACGCGUUGCAAUAAAUGUCCUUUUUGGACAACAUGAGUUUACUAUGGGGGAGAAUUUGAAAGUUUAAAGGUAAUAAAAAAAACAAACAAAAACAAAGCCUCGAUAUCAUAAGCUUCUGAAAUAAUUCAAUAAUGUUAGAAAAACUUUCCAAAUAAUUUAGCUACAAAAAUUCCCAUAGACUUUAGUGGUGACUUCUGUUGACAAAUAAUUUGGAAAGUUUUUUCGACAGCAUUGACUCAUUUGGAAAACUUAUGGAAUCGAGGCCAAAGUUUAAUUGUUUUUAAUAAAUAACUAUAAAAGAUAACCUCUUUACCAAUAUUUAUUUCCAAUAGUACUAAUCCAUUUAGUUAUUUGCAUCCAUUGCUCCUUUUUAAAAAUUGCAUUUUAAAGAGAAUGUGUUGAGUCAGAAAAUUAAUGUAAAAAGAAUAACCUAUGGUUUAUGUUUCAAGCAUAUUUUUUUCCUAUUCAUGAUAUAAUUUAAUUCCCAUUUGCCUUUUCUACCCACCCACUUUGUGUUAGAUUUAAUUAAUGUCUGGAAGCGCUGUAUCAUUCAUCUGUAUAGUGGAAAUGUAGAGUGAAAAAAAAAGAAUAGGAGCCAUGUUAUACAUUUCUUAUACCUUGUAUAUUAUUGUUAAAGGAGCACUCCGAACACAAUAGCCAAUAGUUAUGGCGCUUCAAGUGUUCCUAGAAAGUAUCAGUUUUUUCAGUAAUCAUUGUCACACAUUUCCUUACCUGUAAAUGCUAUUAAAGAAACAAACAUGUAUUCCUGACACUAUAGGACUGAAAAUAAAGUUUAGGGACCAGCCCCCUGUUAAAAGGGUAGUUUACUCACCAUUUUCCAGCGCCGGCCAGGUCUUGUCACAGCUGUCCCCGUCCAUGCUCCGCGUCCUUGGCUGAGAUGAUAAAUUUAGGAAAGCAUUGGGAGGCUGUUGUGCAUGUGCCAAUCAGCAUCAUCUCAUAGAGAUGCAUUGGAUCAAUGAAUCUCCAUGAGGAACGUUCUCUGCAUGGAGACAUUGAAUGUCAGUUCUGUGCAUUGUGCAAUACUGACUCAAGAAGCAUCUUUAGUGGCCGUUUGAGUGAUUGCCACUUGAAGUGUUCCUAGGUAAUAAAAUAAACACCGCCUUUUUAUUGAAAAGACUGUGUGUGUGUGUGUGUGUGUGUGUGUGUGUGUGUGUGUGUGUAUAUAUAUAUAUAUAUAUAUAUAUAUAUAUAUAUAUAAACUUGCAGGGUCAUACUAUAGACACCAGAGCAGCUACAUUACGCUGUAGUUGUUAUGGUGACUAUAGUAUCUAUUUAAGAGGUUACUGUGGUGAAGAAUGUAGUGGAGACAAUUUAAACACUCUUACCUUUAAAGUCCUUAUAUAACAUAUAGUCCGCAAAACCUCAUCUGGUGGUUGUGGGUGAUGUCUUGCCUGCGUAGGUAUCAGCUGCGAAAUGCCCUAUGAGUGUAUGUACAUUUGGGGAUUAACUAUUUCUUACAAAGUGAUGUACACUGGACGUUAAUUUAAUUCUAUGUAUGUUCUAGCUGUGCCAGGAGAGCCAAGCAUACAAUGGAAAUGAAAAGUAAAAACAUUCCUUAAAAAUUUGCAGAUUUUAUUUUCCUACAUAGACAAUAAUAGAGGGCAGGAAGUGAAUGAAAGCAAAAUAAAUCCUAGCUCAUCCCGUAUGAGCUGUAAAACAAUAGCAUAUAUAUCUGUUGUGAAUGUUAAAAAUUAAUCUGGACACGCAAAAAUAGGAUGUCAACUUUUUAAAAAUUUGGAGGAAGGCUGUUAGUUUACUGGACAUCAGCAGUUUGAAAGCAUUUCAUAAUGUAGACGUCCAAAACGUUUCCAACAGGAACACCCCGUUUCCUUUUAAGCUUUGUGUUUGAAUAACUGAUUGGUGUGUAAUACUUUAUUUUAUGACUUUAUGGACACAUCGAGGCAUAGCCUGCCUUAACAAUUAAAGGGAAAGUAUUAGAUACCAUUAAUUAUGCUUAUGAUAUCACCUGUUAUUUCUGUUUAUCUUAGCUUGAUUGUUGGUUUUGUAUCUUUAUAUAAAGUGCUAUUGAAUAUGUAUUACUGAAUAAAUAAUAAAAGGAAAGGCACAUCAUAGUAUUAGGAAUACAAACCUGUAUUCCUAAUGCUAUUGUGCCCUUGUCCCUGGUUAUAUAUAGGUCCACACUUUAAAAGUUUUACUUACCUUUUUCCAGAGUCGUGGCUCCCUCGGCUAUGCUCACCUCUCUGUCUCCCGUGAUGCCAGAUAAGAGACAUGGCCUCCUCUGGUGAUGGUCCAAUCCAGUGCUCCUCUUAGAGGACCAUUGGGGACCUUAUGCCCAUGUGCAGCAGGUGUCCAAGCUUUCCCAUAUAAAAGCAUUGUAUUCAGUACGUUCUUAUAAGCAUCUGUGUCACGUGACUGAGUUUUAGAGGUUGUGGAAAUGUUCACCUUCUGCAAUAGACCUAUACAUUUUUUACCCAUGUAGACUUAAAGGGACACUAUAGUUGCCAGAAUAGCUACUGCUUAUUGUAGUUGUUCUGGUGUCGAUAGCCUGUUCCAGCAGGCAUUUUAAUGUAAACACUACCUUCAGAAAAGGCAGUGUUUGCAUUAUUGUCUAGUAACACCUGUAGCGCUGACUACUGCAGCUUGGCGUUUUGCCACUCAUGUGUAAUAGCCUCAUGGAAAAGCAUUGGAUUGGCUGAGAUUGUCAAUUUUGAUGAUCUCAGACAAGGAGGAGGACCAGGAGGGGAGCUAAAAUAAGUGAGUGAAAUCCACUUUUACAUUGGUUACAGGGAGGCCUGCCACCUGAAUAGUGUUACUACAGCUAUCGUGACAGGAAUACAUGUUUGUAUUUCUGUCACUGUAGUAUUCCUUUAAUUCAUUGGAUGUAAGUGUCUGUUGAGGCUCUCAAACAAUGAAUUAGGUCAAAAAUUGACUAGAAUUUUGUUUGCUAAUAUGAAAGGAAAACGUGUGUCUAAGCAAAUUCAAAAAGGUUGGGUAGGCCUUGGGCGUCUGGGCUAAUGUACUGUUGGAUGGUGCCAAGGGGCUCCUACCACCAUAACCAGUGGCCUGUAGUUCGUGGAGUGUCCCUUUGACAUUUUUUUUUUUAACGUUACAAUAUAGUCACUAGAAAUACUACCGCUUAUUGUAUUUGUCCUGGUCAGUACCUGCAGGCAUUUUGCAGUACACACUGUCUUUUAAGGGAAAAAGCAGUGUUUACAUUACAGCCUAGAGAUACCUUCCGUGACCACACCUUAGAUGGCUACUAGAGUUGCUUCCUGGGGCAAUGCUGCAAGUGCGCAGCAGUGCCAUUCACUGUCUCCACCAUCUACAUGGAGACACUGAACUUUCCUCAUAGAUGCAUUGAUUCUAUGAGGAGACACUGAUUGGCCAGAGCUGUGUUUGGCUCAUGCUGGCUCUGCCCAUGAUCUGCCUCCUUGACAAGCUCAGCCAAUCCUAUGGGAAAGCAUUGUGAUUGGCUGAGAUCACCACUUUUGAUAAUAUCAGCCAAAGAGGCAGAUCAGGGGCAGAAUCAUCGACAGCAGACUUGAAUAAAAGUAAGAUUUGACUAUGUUUAGGGAGGGACGACGACAAUAGGGCAGGGGGCUAGAUAGUGUAACACUAUAGGGUCAGGAAUGCAUGUUUGUGUUCCUGACUUUAUAGUGUUCCUUUAAAAAAAGGGGGAACUAAUCCUAUAAUAGUCACAUUGUAAAUUUCGCUACUCUUUAUUUAAUUUUAUUUUAGAACUCUUAAGAAAUCCCAGACAUAACAUGAGUCACAAUAAUUACAAGCUGAUUUGAGAUGCAUGCUAUAGAAAAGUGAUGGCUGUACUGGGCAACCCAGAUUUAAAAAAAAAAAUAAAAAAUAAAAAUACAAUAUAUAGUGCACUGCCAACCAGAAGGAUUAUAUAAAUAGCUGCAAAGUUUUUGACAAAUGUUUGUAGAGUCUAGGUGCCAAAGAGACCUACGUAGUACCUGAAUUUUGUAGGAAUGAUGGAUACGUUUCAGCUAUAGUUUAAGAUAUUCAUCAGUGUUGAUAUUACCAGUAGUAAUAACUCUGCUUUUUAAUCUCAAGCAUUUUGAAAGCAUUAUAAUAGAUCUUGCUGUGUCUAAGUAUUUUGAAACAUGGACCAUACUAGCAGCGGCACAGAAUUUCUAAUAUGAAGGGAUUUACAGUAAUUUUUUUUUUUUUCUAGUAGUCAUAUUUGUAAACUCACAAAAUAUACCACGGGAUGAUACAACCUAUGAACCAGGCACAAUUAAAUUCAACUAGACAAGCUUGUGUUGCAGGAACAAGAGUAUGUGGUGAGCCUUGUUCAAAUGAGCUUACGUUCAAGGACGUGGGGUAACUGCAUAAAAAGUACAUGUCUAAGCAACAUAGAUCUGUACACACUAUGUGACUGAAGGAAAAGGAGAAGCUAAAAUUAGUGAAGACAAAUAGGGAAAAAAAUAAAGAAAGGGGAAAAAUAGCUAAUAUAUACUAAACGGUGAGUUAUGGCGUGUUGCCAGCAGACUUGAAGCUAAGGAAAACUUACCGCAAUUUUCGCUCCAUAAGACGCACCUAGUUUUUGAGUAGGGAAAAAAAAAGUGUUCCUUACCACCCACUCCCCUCCCCCGGCCCAUAGUGUUCCUUAUCACCCACUCCCCUUCCCUGUCCCAUAGUGUUCCUUAUCACCCACUCCCCUUCCCUGUCCCAUAGUGUUCCUUAUCACCCACUCCCCUUCCCCGUCCCAUAGUGUUCCUUAUCACCCACUCCCCUUCCCCGUCCCAUAGUGUUCCUUCACCCAUUCCUUCCCCUGGCCCAUAGUGUUCCUUAUCACCCACUCCCCUCCCCUCCCCUCCCAUAGUGUUCCUUAUCACCCACUCCCCUUCCCUGUCCCAUAGUGUUCCUUAUCAUCCACUCCCUCCCCUGUCCCAUGGUGUUCUUCCUCCCCCUCUCCUCUCCCAUAGUGUUCCUUAUCACCUACUCUCCUCCCCCGGCCCAUAGUGUUCCUUAUCACCCACUCCCCCUCCCCGUUCCAUAGUGUUCCUUCACCCAUUCCCUCCCCCUGCCCAUAGUGUUCCUUAUCACCCACUCCCCUCCCCAGUCCCAUAGUGUUCCUUAUCACCCACUCCCCCCCCCAUAAUGUUCCUUAUCACCCACUCCCUCCCCCGGCCCAUAGUGUUCCUUAUCACCCACUCCCCUUCCCCGUCCCAUAGUGUUCCUUAUCAUCCACUCCCCUCCCCUGUCCCAUAGUGUUCUUCCCUCCCCCUCUCCUCUCCCAUAGUGUUCCUUAUCACCUAUCACCCCCUCCCCGUCCCAUAGUGUUGCUUCACCCAUUCCCUCCCCCUCCACCUGUCCCUUAGUGCCCCCCUCUCUCUUCCCCUUGGUCCCCGGUAGGUCUCCUAACUUUAUGUAGCGUGGCCAAGCAGAGCAGUGCGCACAGGGAACAGUUUCCUGUUCCCGGCCGGACUGAAAGAAGUGAGCACUCUGUUCCCUGUGAGCACUGCUCCGCUCGGCCAUUCUACAUAAAGGUAGGAGACCUACCGGGGACCAAGGGGGGGAGAGAGAGGGGCACAUUUGCUCCAUAAUGGAGUGAAAAAUACAGUAAUAAGCUUAAAAAAAAAAAAUUAUACUUGCCCAAAUUAGAUGUCCCCCUCCCCAAAUUCUGCUGUUUUGCCCUACAAUUUGCUGGGUUUUUUUUCUGUUCAAUGUCAAUACAGCUCGUUGUUUAACAAAAAGACUAUAUGUGAACUGUAAUUCCAUAUGACCUGAAAGUGCCCCAGGCUGAUUUAAAGGAUUACCUUACUGCAUUACUCAACACACUACUCAAUGCACAAACCUUAUAGCAGAUGCAAAUCAGAAUUUGAAAAGAACAUAUCAAAAUGCAGCAUUCUGACAAAACCAGUUCGUGCUGGUUCAUAUAGAUAAAACAAGGCGAAUGUUUCCUAUGGGCUGUAUCCUGUCAAACCUCCUUCAGGCUAUUUGCAGUAACAGUGCUGUUUCAAAGGGAGCAUGAAUGUAAUUGUACGCAGACACAUGCACACAUACACUUUUCUCAGGUGAACGCAUAGUCAGUGUUUGUUAUUUUACAACUAUUUGAUUAAUCCUCAAUGCAUUUUGAUUGGGAAUCCAAGAUUAAGUGUUUCAUUUGUAAGAGCAUAUUGGGAAUAGUCCUAUAUAUGCAAGGCCAUAUAGAAGCUUUUUUGGAGGGAAAGUUUUUUUUUUUUUAGUUAAAGGACCACUAUAGUGCCAGGAAAACAUACUCGUUUUCCUGGCACUAUAGUGCCCUGAGGGUGCCCGCACCCUCAGGGUCCCCCUCCCGCCCGGCUCUGGAAGGGGGAAAGGGGUAAAAACUUACCUUUUUCCAGCGCUGGGCGGGGAGCUCUCCUCCUCCGACCCUCCUUCUCUCCUCCCCGUCGGCUGAAUGCGCACGCGCGGCAAGAGCUGCGCGCGCAUUCAGCCGGUCACAUAGGAAAGCAUUCAUAAUGCUUUCCUAUGGACGCUGGCGUGCUCUCACUGUGAAAAUCACAGUGAGAAGCACGCAAGCGCCUCUAGUGGCUGUCAAUGAGACAGCCACUAGAGGAAAUAGGGGAAGGCUUAACCCAUUCAUAAACAUAGCAGUUUCUCUGAAACUGCUAUGUUUAUGAAAAAAUGGGUUAACCCUAGCUGGACCUGGCACCCAGACCACUUCAUUAAGCUGAAGUGGUCUGGGUGCCUAGAGUAGUCCUUUAACAAAUGUAAUUUCAAGAUAUACUGAAAUCUUUCUACUAUGUAACAUAUAGGAAAACCGGUGCUUUCCUCUGUCUGUACCUGUAUGCAUAACUUGAAAAUCUGUCAUAGCUUCAUAUGAGAGCGCAUGUACAGCAGCCACACAAACAUAGCAGUGAAUACUUUUUCAUUAAAGGAACACUCUAGUGGCAGGAAUACAAACAUGUAUUCCUGUCACUAAAGCUGUGAAACACAGUUUAGUCCCCCAGCACCCCUGUCAGCUAAGUGAAAGAUUAUUUUACUCGCCUUUAUUCCAGCCAUGCAGAAGUCCCACCCUUGUCCCGCCUCAUUGGCUGAAAUCACCGGAUUUGAUAAUCUCAGCCAAUACAAUGCUUUCCCAUAGGAAAGCAUUGGGAGGCUAUUGCACAUGCAUGGCAAAACACUGCGCUGUGCAAAUCAACAUCUCCUCAUUUAAUCAGUGUAUCUAUAUUAGGAACAGUCAGCACCUCCAAACAGUGCAUGGAAACUUGAAAUGUCAGUGCCGCACAUUGUGGCCACUAGAGGUGUUAAUAGGCAGCAAUGUAAACACUGCUUUUUGUCUGAAAAGGCAGUGUUUACAUCAAAAUGCCAGCAGGGACAGAAUAUACUCACCAGAACAACUACGUUAAAGGACCACUAUAGUGCCAGGAAAACAAACUCGUUUUUCUGGCACUAUAGGGUCUUUAGGUUUACACAUCCUCAUGGCCCCCAUCCCGCCGGGCUGAAGGGGUUAUACACUUGCCUUUCUCCAGCGCCGGGCUCUCUCAGCGCUGGGGAACUCUUCUCCCUCUUCUGACGUCAGCGCUGAAUGUGCAUGCGCAGCAAGAGCUACGCGCGUUCAAUCAGUCCAUAGGAAAGCAUUUCUCAAUUCUUUCCUAUGGAAAUGAAACAGCCACUAGAGGCUGGAUUAACCCUAUUGUAAACAUAGCAGUUUCUAUGAAACUGCUAUGUUUACAGCUGCAGGGUUAACCUUAGAUGGACCUGGCACCCAGACCACUUCAUUGAGCUGAAGUGGUCUGGGUGCCUAUAGUGGUCCUUUAAAAACCCCUUAAGGACCAAACUUCUGGAAUAAAAGGGAAUCAUGUCAUGUGUCCCUAAGGGGUUAAGCUGUAGUUGUUCUGGUGACAAUAACUUAUUAAAAUGGGGCAAACUACUUCGUAGGUUUCAGUGGAUGCUUAUGGUAUGUGCCUUUAUGUUUGUAUUUCAGGACUCAAAAUUUUAACUCACCCACUAGCCAUUGGCAACUGUAAAUUCAGCCCUGGUGAGUAGAAAUUCACCCUGGUGAUUGUGCCAUGGCCCUCAAGGCUUGGAUUGGUUCGUACCUUAUAGGCUCGGCUAGUAACGUAGGGGUUGAAAUUUUAAGGAGGAGGAAGUUUAUAAGAUUUGGCUAGGUAAGGGUUCAUCAAAGGCUGGCGAUGACAGGGUUAAAACAAGUGACAACACACAAGCUAGAGUGACAUGUUCAUGUGUCUAACGCCUGACAUAUUUCAACAUUUCCUGUAUGCUGACAUGUCCGUUUUAUAAUCUUAAAAUAUUCCUUGAAUUUAAGAACGGGUAAUGAAAUAAAAUUUAAUUCUGUGAUUUAUAAACGUUAUUUAAAAAAUGUAAGACAAGUAUAGCUCUGUUUCAUUUCCGUUUUGGAAUGGAUUCCAUGCAGUGUUUAACUGUUGGCAAGCUGGUGAGGCAUCUAUUGAAUCAGAUUACUGGAACAAUUUAUCUUUGGCCUGAGGAUGAGAGAGCUUAUUCAGUUCUAUGCAGUGGGUAUUGUAUAUGUAGCAUGCUGCUAAACACAUGAUCUGGUUUGUUCAGCCAAAUGUUCAUUCAACAUCAGCUGUUUUGGAGAUUCCCACUUUUAAUCCAAUUCAGCUCAUAACACAUGUCUGUCACAUACCUCCAAAGUGUCUCUAUUCAGAGGAGACAUUCCUUGUUUGGCGGCCAAAUCACACAGACCUUCUUUCUUUAUGCAAUGUCCCUCUUUUUUAUGAGCUCAUCUCAUGGUGUGCUUGGUGUGUGUCUACUUGUAUUGCAGAACUAUAUAGUACUAGAGCUAACUAUGCUUUUUAUUUUUUUAUUACAUGGCAUUAGUGUGUGAAAAAUUAAUUUGUGAUGUAUUUUGGUCUAAAUUGCUUACUCGAUUAUAUACAUUGUGUAUUGGUAGAUCAUGAAGUUAAAUAAAAUGUUGUGCUUUGACCCAACAUCUGCUCACAAUUAGUAAUACAAAACUGUCCGUCUUCAGCUUUUUUUCAACGGAUCACGUGGCACCCUGACUGGGUUGAAGGAUGCUCCUAGCGCUUCCUGAGGGCUCCAAGCACUCCAGCUGACACCAUAACCACCGUAGACUCCUUCAGAGAGCAAGACAGGAACAAGCUCUUACAAGAGCUCAUUGAUUAUAGCAAGGGAAUAUGCAGAGCAUAGUAAUCCCUUGUAGCAUAUUGCCCCAAUAAGAGACAGGACUCAGAUUGAGGAUGAAGUGGAACUGACUGUACUGGCGCAUACAGCCUCUUUUAUUCACAUUCUACAAACAUAGUACUGCCCACAGGGUUUUGCAGAACAACCAAUCAAUACAUACAAUACACUCAGACUCUCCCACACAAAAUCCUCCCCUCUGUCUGUGAUAUAAUUACUGAACACAAUGGUCUAACUUAAUUAUCACAGGCAGGAAAAUACACAGUUUUACACAAUAUUCAUAACUCUAAAAGUAUACAUCACAUUCACAAUACAUUUUCAGAAUCUGCAUACUCCAAAUACAAACAUACGUCAAAAUCAUACAAAUUGGUCCAGUGGGUCAAAAGUUAGUUGAAAGUCCCUUUGUGACCAUCUGCAAGCAUGGCUUGGGUGUGGUAAGCCAAUUACCUCCAGCAUACAGAAAAUGGCUCUAUUCACAACCAUAAAAAUACAUAAUUCCUAUUAGACUUAACAGAACCCCCACAUUCAACCUAUCCCCAGAUAGUCUGGAUCUGAGCACUCACUAUAUCAGAACAGCGCUCAGAUACCACAACCACAGUCAAAUCGCCAUGGGGUUAAAACACAGCAAGAGCUGAUGAGAAACCAAGGAGAGGCAAAACAGCAAGUUCCAACUGGUCUGGCAGUGUGCCAGGGAAACGCCCUGCUGGAACAAUAGACAGGAAACAGGGGGCGGGGAAGAGACACAUCUUCCCAUGGAUUCAAAUGGGCAGUAACCGUCUUUUAGAAGUCAAUAAGCCCCAAAUAGUCUUUUUAAAUGGCAAUACACCCCAGGGCCAUAGUCAUGAGGGGGGAGGUUGGCAAUCAGGCUCCUCCAACAGCCAGGGGUAAAGGGCAGUUGGUCAUAUAAAAAUCCACUGACAAAAGGCAUUUUGUCACAAGCAUCAUUUACACUAUUUACAUGUUUGUUUAUCUACUUUUGUUUCAUAUAAAUUCCUGAAAUUGCACAGACUUUUUUUGCUGUUUGCACAAGCAACAUUCUUUUGUAAUAGGAAAAAUAUGUUUGUUGCAAAAGUUUAUAAGGGAAGUAGACACAUACAUUUUUGUUUGCCUUGUUUGCCAUAAAAUAUUGCUGUAAAUGUAUUUGCCCUGCAAUUUGAUAUGCUCUCCUUAUUUAGAUUUUAGAUCCAUUCAGCUUUAAGUAAAAACAAAAAUAAAUAAAACCGUAAAGGUUCAGUGGUCAUGUGAUUUGAAGUGGUCAUGGUUGUAGGAGUAUGUAUGUGCAGGGUUUCUGCUUGAUAUUUUUAAUUGUGUGCCAUGGCUAACUGCAGCCCCAAUUCACCAAUGGAAAUCUGUUUGACAAUGCCUAAUGCCAAUUCUGUGCAUCUUUUCCGUGUGCCAUCGGCACGCUGGCCACAGUUAUAAAAAUCUUCCCCCUUGCAGGCAGAGCACAUGCAAGGGGAAAAUAGCUGUGGGCACUCCCUCUUGCCUCCCUAAGUAACAUCAAUAGGCGUUCUCCUCUCCUUGGAGCAGGUGCUCUGCCUCUUUUGAAGUUAUCAGGAUUGAUGAUUUUUUUGAUUUUCAAAAGUCUUUUAGACAAAAUGCUAAUCUGACAACCUGUUAAUCUGUUGAGCUUUGUCUGACAAGUGUAAACAUUGCAAUUUCUAGUUAACGGCAAUGCUUACAUUUGUCAGUGAAAAGGGAGUGCUUUUAUGCACCAAAACCACUUCAUUAAAUUUAUUUAUUUAUAAAAAUAUGUGUUCCUGGUGUUUAGACUGUCCUUUUUUCGUUUGUUUGUUUUGUUUUUGUUCUGAAUAGAAUAAUGCCCUAUAGGUCCUCCCCGAAAGAAAGACUCAAAAGCGUUGUAAAAGAAAUUUUUACUUACCUUUAUCCAGUGCUGGGCGAAGCUCCCGACACUGCUCAGCGUGCUCUCGUGUGACAUCACCAAGGUCCAAUCAAAGUUUUCUCAUAGAGAAUCGUUUGAUUGGAUAAUUUUAAAGGCUCUGGGCACAUGUGCAUGCUCUGUGCCAGUAAAGGGAGCGUGAGAGGGAGGGUGGGAAUGGAGCGUGAGAGGGAGGGUGGGAAAAUUAUAGCAAAGGGGAUAGGGAAGAAAGUAUGGCUGCUAUUGGUGUGGGAGGGGAAAUAUGCACAUAAUUGACAUGAGGCAGCCCAGAACAGAGUUCCAUGCAGUAUAUCCUUUUGACUGGGUUGGAUUUUCAGUGAAAUUCAAACACAGUUAGUAUGAGAAUUUCUUCAUGAAGUACUCCUUUUGCAGGGUGGGUGUGGGAUGACCGUGACAGGUUUGGGAUGACAGUGACUCUUUAAGUGUGACAAGUGACUAGACGACAUGAAUUGUACAAUUAAACAGCAACAAUGUGUGUUGCUAUGUUUUAAAGUACUUUUUCCCUUCCGUAAAAUCAUGUAACUUAAAUGAUACAUUACAGGAGACUGAGUUCUAGGAAAAUUAUGCCAUCUCUGUUUCUGGAGACAUACAUAAAACUCUCAGGCUUCUGGUUUCUAAGUGCGUGUUUGUGUGCGUGUUUUCUCUCUACCUCUCCUCCUAAACCGUAUUGAUAAGCAUGAUGGGUAUAACUGCAUACUAGAAUACUCUUUUAUAUAAAAAUAACCAAAGCAAUUAUGCAUUCAAGAAAAUAUUAACCUAUUUUUGUCCAUCACACUUUCAUGGCAUACUAUUAUUUGUGGUCCUAAUAAAAAUGUAAAUCGAUAUUGCGAAAGUCUCUUCAUUUGUCAUUCUGUCAUACAGACACAAUGAAGGUGAACCCAUUCAUUUUCGCACCUUUUUCUUAAUACUAGCUUGCAGACUGUGUCAGCAUAUUUUUCUCCAAGUGGCAGUUAUUGAGCAAACUGACUCGACACAUGCCAUAACAGUCUGGCAGAACGAAGCAUCGUAGUAAAACCCCAUCUGUCACUUUUUCCUGCUUGUUUCCACUUGGGAGAGACGUCUGUACACAAUGGAAAUGGCAUCUGUAUUUUGUUUAACUCUUUAUUCUUAGUAAUAUAAUAAGGUUUCGGAAUGUUCACACUGAUUUGCAGACAUUUAUUAACUAAACUAUGAAAUGAGAAUGAAUAGCAAAACAAAAUCUGUAAACCUGGAAUAUAGCUGAUGUGAUUAAUUUUUCCAGUUCUGCUAUUUGGGCACUUUAAGUGAACACACCCCAGAGUGAAUACCAAUGAUACUAGUGGUUUACAUAGACUGUGGAUGGUAAAAUUAGUUAAAGGAAUAUUUUGGUAUCAAAACAACUUUAGCUUAAUGAAGCAAAGUGCAAAUCACUUUGUUUGUACAAUCCUAGUCCCUCCUCACUGCAUGCGACUUAAAGGACCACUCCACACCCAUAACAUAUAAAACACUACAGGCACCCAGACCACUUCAUCUCAUUGAUGCAACUUUGAUAAAACUUUGCAGUUACACGGCAGGGCUUAGACUGCCUCCAUUGACUGUUUUUGGACAUUGAUCCCUGUCUCCACUAUUAAUGCUGGAGAUACAGAAGUUCCUUAGCAGGAACUUCCAUUAGCUCUCCAGAACAGGGGCGGAUGCAGUGUGUGAGGCGUGCAGUGUGUGUGAGGGGUGCAGUGUGAGUGUAUAUCUGUGAAGAGUGCAGUGUGUGUAUGUACAGGGCAGUGUGUGUGGGGUGUAGUGUGUGAGGGUUACAGUGUUUGAGCGGUGCAGUGUGUAUGUGUGUGAGAAGGUUUCAGUGUGUUUGUGUAUAUGUGUGUGUGAGGGGGCGGUGUAUGUCAGGGGUGCAGUGUGUGUGUGUGUGUGUGUGGCUUGCAGUGUGUGUAUGUGUGAGAAGGGAGCAAUGUGUGUAGGGAGGCAGUGGGAGGUGUAAUGUGUGUGUGUGUGUGUGUGAGAGGUGGGCAGUGUUUUUGUAUGGGGGCAGUGUUUGUGUGAGUGUUGCAGUGUGUGUAUGAGGGGCAGUGUUUGUGUAAGAGGUGCAGUUUAUGUGUGUGUAUGGGGGUGGCAGUGUGUCAAUGUGUAGGGUGUUAUUGUAUGUGUGUGUGUGUGUGGUGGGGAGGGAAGCAGAUCAAAGCAAAUAUUACUUUUUUUAUAUGUUCUUUUUUUAACAUUUAUUUUUUUAAACAAAUUAAAAUAAAUAUAUUGUAUAUCCCCCCUCCAUCCUUACCUGUGGCCUGGGAGGAGCAGGCGUUACUUCUAUCCCUGGUGGUCCAGUGGAGAAGCCCUGAUGGUCCCAGUGGUGGGAGUGAACUCUAGCCUGCAGCUCAGGCUAGAGUUCACUUUCGCAAGAGUGGCAACGCUCUGAGCUCGCUAGAGGAGAACCCGGCAGAGCUGCAGGUUAUGGCUCCCUCGGGUUAUUUCUCCCUCCCCUACCGGCUGCCAGCAGAGUGCCUGCGGCCGGGGGAGGGAGAUCACUGAUCUCGCCUCCGGUCCGUGAAGGUACACGGCAGGGCUGGUGCUUGGAUAGCGCCAGCCCGGCAUGUGCUGGCAGGGGAGAGCCUUGACCUGCUCUGUUUUCUCAGGGGUGGGGGGGAAGGGGGACAAUUGCCCCUUUGCCCCCGCCCCCUUGGAUCCGCCACUGCUCCAGAGCUAAGCCUUAAGUGACUGAUCUACUUUACCUUUCACCAGCAACUGCAAAAUGUUAAACAUCACCUUGUAUGAUAAGAUUUGUGUACAAAACACUUGUAAACAUGCCUAUGUUGAAUAAUAUAUUCACUUCCAAAGUAAGUAAAGGUGUCUGCAGUGUCCCUUGAAGAUAUGGUUUCCUACAGGUGGUUUUGUAUCCUGGAACUAUAUAGAAUGUAUUCCUGAUUUUGUUUUGUUCAUAUUUGUUAUGAGUAUUAACAAAACAUCUAUUUUGUUAGUUGUGGGUUUUUUUAAAAGUUUUUUUUGUAAAGAGUGUCUUUGAAGCUAACUGUGCAUGUUUUGUGGUCUUUUUGUUAUGUCCCAGUUAGCUUUUUGCGUACCCUAAUUUUUGUAGGAUUUACAAACUUCCCAAGGGUUUGCAUAGGUCUCCGGAAGCAGCUGUGGGUUCUGACACUCUAAUGUGGUUGUUUAAAAACAAAGGGAAGUGUUCUUGUGGAAACAACUGUUUUGAUAAGUAGAAGAUUUGAUUAUUUGUCAAACUCCACACAUGACAUGCAUUUUUGUGUAAAUAAAAGAAUGUGGUCUUACAACUAUGUUUUAUCAGGGGUUGAAGCAAAAAGUGUGUUUUUAAAGUAGUUGGUUGGUUUUAUUUUAUUUAUUAAUGGCUGAUGCAUUCUCGAAAAUAACCUAUUUCCUUGUGAGUCGGAAGCUCAAUGGCAGAAUGCAAAGUAUUUUUCCCAGUAAAAUGUUGUUUUUGAAUUCUAUAACAGAAAAAAAAUAUCAGCUUAAUAAAUAUUAUAAAGUGAAUUAAUGUAAAAAGGAACUAGAAAAAGAAAAGGAAGAUAAAGGGACUUGGCAAGGUUAGAAGAAUAGGAGACCAAUAAUUUAAUCUUCUAAAUGUGGCAUGGUACAGUACGUUGGCAGAUAUGAAAUAACGAAUAAGGUAAAAAUAUUAACUUUCUACAUUACUGGUUAUCAAACAUGCCAAUGGUUUCUUCAAAUGCUUAAACUACCACGAUAUACCACUUUUAGAUGUGAAAUACAGUCCUCAAUGGAUUGUCAGUGUUUUUUUUUUUUUUUUAAAGGCUUCAACCAGUAGAACUUGCAUGUGGUUGCUUGGCAGUUGUAAACGAGGCAGAUUCUUUGCAGGUCUAAGGAAGAAGUUCGGUCAUAAAAAAACCCCCAUAAAAAUGCACAUAAAUAGUUGCCAUUCGAGUUUUGACUUCUUGGUUUCUGAGCUUUGUCAGCUAGUGAUAUAAACCAUAGGGCAUAGCCGACUCAUUGUGUAUACCCCAGGAGCCUUGACAUGACAUGAUUUUAAAUAAGUUGCUCUGCAAAAAGGACCAUUAUAGUGCCAGGAAAACAAACUCAUUUUCCUGGCACUAUGUAGUCCUUAGGUCCCCCCCACCCCCAUGGCCCCCCUCCCGCUUGGCUGAAGGGGUUAAAACACUUACCUUUCUCCUGCGCCGGGCUCCCUCGGCGCUGGGGAACUCUCCUGCCGACAUCAGAGCUGAAUGCGCAUGCGCGGCAAGAGCCGAAUGCGCAUGCAUUCAAACCGCCCAUAGGAAAGCAUUACUCAAUGCUUUCCUAUGGACGUCAGUGUCUUCUCACUGUGAUUUUUCACAGUGAGAAUCACGGAAGCAGCCUCUAGUGGCUGUCAGUGAAACAGCCACUAGAGGCUGGAUUAACCCUCAGUGUAAACAUAGCAGUUUCUCUGAAACUGCUAUGUUUACAGCUGCAGGGUUUAAACCAUUGAGCAGAAGUGGUCUGGGUGCCUAUAGUAGUCCUUUAAUGUCAGACUGUCAAUAUGUUGAGGAGACAUCUGAAUGUAUACAGUAACCACUGAGCUGACAACCAAGUAGCAAAAUUUUAAAUAAACAGUUGAGUUAAAAGAAAAACUAUGCAGUUUUUAUUUAUUUUUUUAAAUAAUUUUAUAUUCCUGUUCAACUGGUACCAUGUUACUGAUGUGAUACAGUUGUCAUGCAGAGUAAGUCAUACAAAAUAAAACAAUAAAAUAUAAAGCAAUUAAAGGGACACUAUGGUCACCAGAAUAAUUACAGCUUAAUGGCUUAAUGUAGUGGUUUUGGUGUGUACAUUGAAAAGAAACUGCCAUUUUUACAUUGCAGAACCAAGACCGCAACUAGAGACGCAUCCUGCUUUCUAGGCGACUUUUUAGGUUGCCUAACUGAUGCUGGAUAUCUUCACGCUCUGCAUGAGGAUCUCCAGCAUCAAUAAAAUCUCCAUAAGAGAUGCUCUGCUAUGAGGAGGUCCUAAUUAAUUUUUUGGCGCUCACUGCGCAUGCACAUUAGCAUGCCCCAGUUCCUGUCGGGUGACUUCGGAGGAGGUGGAGCGCCAACCCAGCUCAGAGGGUCCUUGGGGGUGGGUCGCGAGGAAAGGGGGAGGCCGAGGGAGCUUUGUAUUCUUAGCACUAUAGUAUCCCGUUAAUGUUGUAGAUCCUAUGUUUAUAAUGAUUUCUCUUUAAAAGUGUUUCUCGCUGAUCUGUUAAACACAUACAAAAUUUAGAUAAAAACAUAUGAGGUAUAAUAUAUUAUUGCAUAACUGUUUUGUAUUCAUGGAUGUCUUGAUAACAAGGAGCUGGCUAAGAUACAUAUAUAAUAGAAUAUUCUUUUCGACAAUUAGCGAUUGUAAAAUUCCCAAAGACUAACUAUUCUGUUCCCAGUGCUGUUCUAAUGGAUAAAAGCUUUGAAAGCAAAUUGACUUAUGCAAAGGAAAGGUUUUGAAGAAAGUUCUCAAAGUCUUGAGAUUAUGUUUCAAAGACGGCUAAUUCCUAGAUUUAUCAUACCUGACAGUUUUUUUUCCUCCUUCUUACUUUUUGAUGUUCUGUCAAAGGAGAAAAACAGUAACAUUAAAAAAAAAUUGUGUUAUUUUAGGGCCAAAUUGCAUUCAUCAUUAUUAUUAUUAUUAUUAUUAUUAUUAUUGUUCUUAGGUUUUAAAACUAAGGAUUUUCCUUAUCGCAAAGCCACUAGAUGCCCUAACACACAGGGAACAAAAACUCUUCAACAAAAUAAAUUUAGCUGCCAGACGGGCCAUGGCACAGACAUGGUUACACACCGACCUACCCCCAAUGGAUAGAGUGACUAGCAAUAUAAAAGAGGCCCACCUUAUGGACAAACUCACAGCACAACUAAGAGACACUUAUCCAUUAUUUCUUAAAACCUGGGAGCCAUGGGAAGACUACACAAACCGCUGAAUGACAUAAUCUCGUGCACACACAAAACUGAGAGCCGUGCCUACAUCCAGAGACAGACGACAGUUGCUCCGACCGCCAGCGGCAGAUUCCCCCCCCCCUCCUAUUGUACCUUUCCCCACACCCUCUUUCUCUCUCUCUACUACCUUUCACCCUCUCACGUUUCUCUUCUCCUAUAAAUAGAAAAUUCAUGCCUCCACCAUAGCGCCUUAAACUGAGGCAUAGGUACGGAACACCGACAUAAAGACAGGAAGCAAACCCAAGUUGCACUAAGCUGCACUUCUUCUAUGGGCAAACGACAGCACUACCAACGUUAAUCUGAACAACCAACUCAGUAAUGCCAUACCUCUUUGUACAUGUCUGGCAAUAGAACUUUACAAAAUACCUAUGUAUAAGCAAAUUGAUAUGCUUUCCUGUAUGCUCGACUAUAUACUUGUAAAGCUUUUUUCUGUACCAAACCUGUGCAUGAUCUGACAAAUAAAGAAUUGAAAAAACAAACAAACUAAGGAUUGAAUAAUAUGGAUGGUGCUCUAAAUGUGUUAUGCGCUUAAAGGACCACUAUAGGCACCCAGAUAACUUCUGCUUAAUGAAGUGGUCUGGGUGCCAGGUCCAGCUAGGUUUAACCCUUUUUUUUUAUAAACAUAGCCGUUUCAGAGAAACGGCUAUGUUUAUAAUAGGAUUAAUCCAGCCUCUAGUGGCUGUCUCAUUGACAGCCGCUAGAGGGCUUCCGUGCUUCUCACUGUGAUUUUCACAGUGAGAAGACGCCAGCGUCCAUAGGAAAGCAUUGAGAAUGCUUUCCUAUGGACUGGCUGAAUGUGCGUGCGGCUCUUGCUGCGCAUUCAGCCGGUGACGGAAGAAGAGGGAGGAGAGGAGGAGGAGAGCUCCCCGCCUGGCGCUGGAGAAAGAGGUAAGUUUAACCCCUUCCUCCCCCCCAGAGCCCAGCUCCUUUAAAGCUUACAACUUAUCUAACAAUGUAUACAUCCAAAUACAAAUCAAAUUAGAUAUAUAUUCCGUGAAGGCUUUUGUGUUUAUCUAGCUAUAGCAACUAACCUUAUCCAGGACAAUGCACUGAUAGACCCAUUCUUUGGCUUAUUUAUUACACAAUCCUGUUCCAUAUUUAUUAAUGGGUUUAGAUUUGAGCAGCUCUGGCUUUAACCAGAAUCUAGAAAUACACACACACAAAAAUAAAUAAUAAAAAAAUUAAAAUUCAAUAAAUAAAAAUAUAUAUACUCCGCAACAGGAUGUCAAAGAAUCCACAGUGUUGGUUAUAAUAAAAUAAUUCACUUAUCAAUUUGGAAUACAAAACAAUACAAAUCACUAUACAAUAAUCCCCAUUAUUAAAAGUUACACUUAUAACAUUUCUAUACUUUCUAUUUACAAAUAUAACUCUUGCAUGAUAAUAUAUAUAUUUCUAAAGCUGUGGUGUUGCUCCCUUCUGUUUGUGCUUUCUUCCUCUCUCCCCAUCCUUCCUACUUGUUCAAAAUGGCUUCCUAGAUAUAAUACUGACUCCAAUUUAAUUACCUGGGACUAUUCUGAUUGGUUGGGUUAUAACAGAUUACUAGAUGACAUACCAUGAAAUAUAGAAAAUCAAACGCCCUGGGAGGGCGAGAUAAUACUCGCCUUUGCGUCAUUAAUAAAAUCACGACUUGAUGAUAGUAAAAUCCGGGCAUUUUCUUAAAAACACAGACUCCUGUUAUGUAAGUUUAAAGCUGGGAAACAACAGAUCCUGCAAAAUGCUGAAUAGGUCUGAUGUAGAAAUCUCAAAAGACUCCAAAGACCAGUUGGCAGCUCUCAAGAUGUCUUCCAAACGACAGCCAACCAAAGAAGUCUUAGAGCCCAAAGCAUCACAGAUCAAAAAAAUGGAUAUUAAUACCCACUAGGGAUAUAAUCCAUUUGAUCCAAUGAGCUAGGGUAGGAGUAGACACUGGAAGGUGAGACUUGCGGAAUGAGAUGAAAAGCUGAGGCUUCAAAGGAUUGCGGACAAGAGCGGUACAAGCUUCAUAUUUGCGUAAUCAUGCAACUGGGCAAAAUUGAGUUGUCUUAGGGCAAGCCGGGUAUACAACUGACUUGGAGGAAGUCUUGGUUAUCUGAGAUAUGUCAAAGAGGACACUUUCUGAUGUAAUCGAAAGAGCAGCUGUGUCAAGUGCUUGAACAUCAGAGAUUAUCUUAUAGGAGAUUAAACAAAAACACAUGACAAGUUUAGCAGAAAGUUGUUUAAAAGACAACAAAGCAUUAUCUGGCCAAGCGUAGAAAAAAAACAAAAAAACUGUUGACGAUCAGGCUAAUCAAUCUUUGGAUCCAACCUCUAAUGGUUAAGUGACCCAGCAUCUGAUCCAGGGUUAAAAACUCUUCCAAUGCCUCAAGAGUCUUGAUCACUGGACCCAAGAUAUCCAGGAUUUUAUCCUGGCAAUUCCAUAGGGAAGUUUUUAAAAGUAAGCUAGACAUAACGCCCAUAGCAGACUCCAGGGCCUUAGACGUCCAUUUGGACAUGUCCAGUAUUGCUUGCAUUUCCUCAAAAUCGAGGAUGAGGGGAGAGUCCAGUGAAAUGCCUGGCAGUAUGCUUAGCAGCACGGAAAAGGCCCCUAAAUUGUGCUGAACACGCAGAAAAAGGGUUAAAAAGCCUCCCUGUCAAACAGACCCUAAUGCAGCUCCAAAAGGCAGGUAGCAGUAGCAGGAGUCUGGGAAAAAGUAGGUAGGGCAAAAACCUGCAGUCACACACAAGAAUUGCAAAAUAACAAUAUCAGGAAAAAAAAACAAUAAAUAAUAAUUAAUUGACCUAAAAUUACUGAAAUAUUAACACAAAUAUACCAAUAGAACAGAUCACACAGUUUGGGAAGCGUGGAACCAAGGCAGCAGCAAAGAAAGAGGAAGUAGUUGGCUUGGUACUGCCUGUUAUACGAUGGAAGCAAUGGUGAUUGGCUGACCUUGUUGCAAUAUGGUCAUUUUAUUAUCUAUGUGUCAAUGUACUGUUUUGCUUUUUUAAAAUGUUAUUUCUUUUCUGCUGAUGGAAAUAAAGAAAGAGUACAGCAUAUUACUCACCUCAAUGUCUUUAAAAAAAAAAAAAAAGGGAACUUGUCAGCAAUUAGCUAGCUGUUGAUCUGUACAUUAUCAAACUAAACUGUGACGGAGCUCCAGUACUCCGACUGAGUACCUCCGCCAAGUCUGCCGAGGCUUGACUGGGAUCACUGAGGGCCUUUUCCACCCCGGACCUGGCUACUGUGUAUACAGCCCUGGACACACUUUCCAUCAGCAGAUUCCCUCAAGACGACACUUGGUGAAGGUUAAAACAGCAUCUAAACUUCACUAGGCAUAGCACACAUUUCUUAAGCCCCCAACUGCCUCAUUUACAUACAAUGGUGCAUAAAGCACUAUAGUACAAGGAAGGGUGGGGUCAGACAAUAGCAAGGGCUGAUGGGAUAUUAAAGAGGGACAGGGCAGCUAGUUUAAACUGGUCUGGCAGUGUCCCUGGGACAACACGCUGCUGGGGAAACGAUAUAACAGAAAAAAGGGGGAGAGGCACAGACAAGCAAUACAUUACACAUAUCCUGCACUAAUACUGGGCACAAGGUGACCAAAACACAAGAGGAAUCUGGGAACCUGCAUAUAGUGUCUGUCUUCCAUUUCCAGUGACGGUGACUACCGUCACAUAAACACCUUUACAUUUAAAUUUAAGACAAACCGUAAGCCACACUACCUUCCCAAGCUAAUCUCUGACUUAUAUUUAAUUCCUGCCAUAUAUAACAAUAAAUAAAUAAGUAAGAAGAAGAGACAUGUGAAUGGAACUCCAAUCACUAGUAGAGUUGCAACAAUUAAAGGAAUACUCCAAACACUGUAACAUAACUGCUAGUGAUCAGUGUAUUGCUUACGGUUGCUGUAGUGCCCUGACCCCAUUGUAUGUAGUCAAACCAUUUUUGAACAGAUCAAUGUAUGUGUAGAAAAAAAUAAAAAAAAUAAAAAAUGAAGGAAACUGUGCACAGGAUGGAGUGGGUAUAUAUAUUUGCUAACUACCUACAUCACACAUGGAUUUCUCCUACCCAUAAUUACAGUCUGUUCAGGAGAAUGCAACUAGGAGCAGCAGUUUAGUUGAGCUUUUUUCCUCUUUUAAAUAUAAUCCUUACAUGACUUGGCCGUGGAGUUUGUGGACUGCCUAGGCUAUUAUUGAAUGUAUUGAUUAUCAAUAACACAUGCAGAGAAAGAAGGAAGCCUAGCACGAGUGUUGAGGGUCUUGUUAAGUGGUACUGCCCCACUCAGUCUUUUGGACCAUAUUGUUUACAUGUCUUGGGGAAACAAAAAGAUAUGUCCUGCCCUUGUAAUGUGGGGCAUCCGGAUCACAAACACUUUCUUAUUUCUGUGAUGACUAUAGUUUGACAAUCAAUGGCACAGUUUGUUGGUAGCCUUUGUGGUUAGAUAGAGGUUUAACACACGGGGCACUUCUGCUGCAUUGGAGUGCUGAGCUGUUCCUGUGCAGUAAUUGUCAGUGAAAGGACAUUGAAUUCCCUUAGGUAAAAGACUUCUUUAUCAGCCUUACAAGUGCUUACGCCAUGCCUUAAAAAUCCUUCCCACAGUAUGUUAUAUAAAAGCACAUGUUUUUUAAAGCUUUAUCAUUGCUGAGUGAUUUAUAAGUACUAGCAAAAAGUGAGAGCUGAUUCUGCUGCCUUUAGGAACAAAUAUGUAAAAAGACAGAGUACUUAAAGAGCAAGGAGUAAAAAGAUUACUCUGAAUAUUACAUUUCUUAAUCUAGGCCAGUAUAAAGGACUUCUAUAGUCACCUAGGUCUGGCUGCAGUGGUCCUGUCAUUUUAACCCUACAAUGUAAAACAUUUGUGCAAGGUUUUUUUUCACAAACCACAAUGUUUAUAUUGCAGGGUUUAAAUUCACCUCUAGUGGCUGUCUUCCUGACAGCCACUAGAGGCGCUUUCUCCUCCAUAAUAAGGGAAUCAAAUGCUGCUGAUAGCCUGUUGAUUGGAGGAGACUGGAUUUUGACUGCACAUGCCUAGUUCCAAUUACAAAUACCUAGUUCUUUAAAAUUACUCUUAGUUUUGUCUUUUGCCAUAGCUUGUAUACCUUAAAGUUUUAAACCGUUCUCGAACAGUUUAACGCCAAGGUUGCCUCCAGCGCCGAUCUCCACUCCCACCAAGCGUUAUGUGGGUUCUGAAAUUACACUUUCAAGAAGCGAGGAGUGCUGCCGGACAGGGGCGCUGCUGGUGCUCUCCACCAGUCAGUGACUCUCCAUUCACAUAACGUUUCUUUGCAAGCCAGUUUUGUGAAUGGGGAGUCACUGAUUGGAUGAGAGCAUCAGCAGCGGCACUCUGCGCUUCAUAAAACUGAAAUUUGGCAUGAUCUAUUCAACAAAACUGCUUCUUUAAGCUAAAGUUGCUUUGGUGACUAUAGUCUCCCUUUAAAGCAGGGGAAAUCACCAGGAAAUUCUAAAGAGCAUGACCUCUACUGCAAAGUGUCCCUUUAACAUGCUUUCAUUUUUAUUUUUAGAAGAAUGAACAAAUACUUAUGAAGGAUUGUGACCACACUAUAAUUUAAGAUACCUUUUUAACUAUAUGGAUAUACAUUAAUAAGCUAAUUGUGUGUAUUCUGUAUAUUCAGAAUAUGUUCUGAUUGAAUGAAAAAAAGUAUGAAUGGUAAAUUUGCUUACUUAACUAUUUAGAAUGGAGCACUUUCCUUUCAGGAACCUCAAACAAAUUAAAACUAUUCUAUUCAUAGAAAUGAGAUUUGUCAUUUUGAAGCCCAGUGCAUAAUUGCCUGUCUCUGUUAUUAUGCUCAUGUGUUAAUCUCUAUUUAUAAUGCUCUAUACCCAUACUAUGUCAAUGAAGGUUUUUAAUAUGCUUUAUUUUUAACAUUCGUCUCUACAUUUGAGGCAUUCCAGAAGGCAAAUGUAAUUUUUAACCUUUAAACCUAAAAUGCUGCUAAUAUAAGUUUAUUGUAUCAUUAUACGCCCUUUUCUAUGUUUACAGCUUUUUAUAUAUCUCUGAAUGGGUAGAUUAAAAGUUUACUCGAACUAAAAACCACCCAUUUCAUAAAAUACCGGUUUUGGUAAGAGUAGCACAGGGUCUGAGAAAUCCCAUGUUGCCAUGGCAACUAGAAAUUUUGUCCUGGGACCUGGAUGUUUGUUAGCCAGCGGAGGCGACCAGCUGAGGGUAAAUGCAUGCGGCCAGCUAGGGUUAAAUGCAGGUGUUGAGAAGCUGUGAUCUUCCUACUCUUCUUGUUCUGCUCCCUUGCGCGACCUGCUGUGAUAUAACUCCACUCCUGCUGUGGCAUCUCUAAAAAGCCAGUGUUUACACUUAAAAACCUGCAGGGACUGGCUAUAGACACCAGAACCACUACAUUAAGCUGCAGUUGUUCUGGUGUCCCUUUGAGAAUUUUAUUUUAAUCUCUGUAUGGGCAGCGGCUAAAACCAAAACUGCAAAUCUAGAGUAUUUGUUGCUUUUCCAGUGAACUCCAAACCAGGAAGUGAUCAAAAUCCGGGCCCUAUCACUGUACACAGUGGGAACACUGAGCAAAUGUCACAUGUUUUGUAAGGGACACUGUAGGCACCAGAUGUUGCUGAACUAAAACUCCCUUGAUUCUUUGAAUGAAAUAGCCAGAGAAUAAUGGGAGUUUUAGUUCAGAAACAUCUUAUGGGACAGAUUUUAGAGAACCCUGCACUGGAGUCAUUUAAUCUAAUUGAAUUCAGCGGGACACUCACAGCCCAACCAUAAGUGGAGAUAUUGCAGAGGUUACAGUAUGACACUGUAACACUUUGCUGCUCAGGCUAAUGCUUCCUAAAUAGCCUGAGUAGCAUACAAGAGGUGGGCUGCUGAGACUUUUGUUUAGCAUUAAAUGGUUUAACACCAAAUGGAUGGACCAUGCUAGUGGACUUCAGAUACUAUAACCACUCACAUUGUGAGUUGAAGUAGAUAAAUUGCCUAAAAGUCCCCUUUGAAUAUACAGAAGUAUGGCUUUUACUCACUUGCCAAAGUCAUUUUUUAUAUUGUUCUUACAUAGUUACAUAGUUUUAUAGCUGAAAAAAGACUUGCGUCCAUCAAGUUCAGCUUUCCUCACAUUUGUUUUUUGCUGUUGAUCCAAAAGAAGGAAAAAGAAAAACCCAGUUUGAAGCACAAUUUAGCAACAAGCUAGGAAAAAAAAUUCCUUCUUGACCCCAGAAUGGCAGUCAGAUUUAUCCUUGGAUCAAGCAGUUAUUACCCUACAUUGAAAGAUUAUAUCCUUGAAUAUUCUGUUUUUGCAAGUAUGCAUCUAGUAUCUGUUUGAACAUCUGUAUGGACUCUUAUAAAACCACUUCUUCAGGCAAGAGAAUUCCACAUCCUGAUUGUUCUUACAGUAAAAAAAACCUUUCCUUUGCCUUAGACAAAAUCUUCAUUCUUCCAGUCUAAACGCAUGGCCUUGUGUCCUAUGUAAAGUCUGGUUUGUGAAUAGAUUUCCACACAAUGGUUUGUAUUGGCCCCGAAUAUAUUUGUAUAAUGUUAUCAUAUACCCUCUCAGGCGACGUUUUUCUAAACUAAAUAGGUUUAAAUGUGUUAACCUUUCUUCAUAGCUGAUAUAUUCCAUUCCUUUUAUUAAUUUUGUAGCCCACCUCUGCACUUUUUCUAGUGCCAUAAUAUCCUUCUUUAGAACAGGUGCCCAAAAUUGCACAGCAUAUUCAAUAUGUGGCCUUACCAGUGAUUUAUAAAGAGGCAAAAUUAUAUUCUCGUCCCGAGAAUGAAUGCACUUUUUCAUGAAUGACAAUACCUUACUGGCCUUGGCCACUGCUGAUUGACAUUGCACAUUGUUGCAUAGUUUGUGGUCUAUAACAAUUCCCAAGUCCUUUUCAUGUGUUGUUAUCCCUAAUUCGCUUCCGUUAAGGGUAUACGUUGCUUGUUUAUUCUUUACACCGAAGUGCAUAUCUUUGCAUUUUUCAACAUUAAAUUUCAUCUGCCAUUUGAGUGCCCAGUCCCCCGGUCUAUCUAAAUCCCUCUACAGCAAAGUAAUAUCUUGCUCACAUUGUAUUAUUUUACAAAGUUUUUGUGUCUUCAAGAUCAUUUAUAAACAUGUUAAAUAGAAGGGGUCCCAGAACAGACCCAUGAAGGACACCACUUGCCACCUCUGUCCAGCUUGAAAAUUUACCAUUAAUGACAACUCUUUGUACUCUGUUUUUAAGCCAAUGUUCUACCCAAGAACAAGCAUUUUCAUCUAGACCGAUUUCCUUGAGUUUGAACACUAAUCUAUUGUGUGGAUGCCUUGGCAAAAUCCAAAUACAUCACAUCCCCUGCAACACCCUGAUCUUUCCUUCUACUUACUUCUUCGUAGAACGCAAUCAAGUUAGUUUGACAUGACCUGUGCUUCAUAAAACCGUGCUGAUUUUUGCUGAUAACCAUGUUCUUCUCAAGGAAUUCUUGAUAACCUUACAAAUAUUUUCCUAGCCACAGAAGUUAAGCUCACAGGUCUAUAAUUUCCAGGCAAGGAUUUUGAACCCUUUUUGAAUAUAUGAACCACAUCUGAAAAGAAUCUUGAAAGAUUAAAAACAGAGGUUCACUUAUUUCUACAUUUAGUUCCUUAAGUACACGUGGAUGCAUACCGUCAGGCCCUGGAGCUUUGUUUAUAUUAACUUUCUUUGAUUGCUGCAGCACCUUGUCUUGAGUUAACCAAUUACAAUUAUUCUGCAAGUUUUUAGUAGCAAUCAUUUGCACAUCUAUUGCCAUGGGUUCUUCCUUAAUAUAUACUGAGGAGAAAUAGUCAUUUAAAAUUCCUGCAUUUUCCUGGUCUUCAUUAACUAACACCCCCGUUUCAGUUUUUAGUGUACCUACACUUUCAUUUUUUGUUUUUUUUAGAAUUUAUGUACUUAAAAAAUGCUUUGGGGUUGGUUUUGCUCUCUUUAGCUAUCAUUUUUUUCAUUUUGAAGUUUAGCAAGUCUAAUUGCCUUUUUGCACGCAUUAUUUGCUUCCUUAUAUCUUUUAUAAGAUGCAUCUGAUUUGUCCGAUUUAAAUGCUUUAAAUGCCCUUUUCUUAUUUUUAAUCUCUUGUUUUACUUCUCUUCUAAGUCACAUAUCCUUUAUCCUCAGUGUUUUUUUCACUAAAGAGUUUAUGCCAGUCAAUAUAUUGUAAAGCUGCCCUUAUUGAAAUUGGCCUUUUUAAAAUUAUAUGUUUUAGUAUACCCCAUGUGCUUUUGUCACACUAUAUUGUGAUCACUAUUUCCCAAGUGCUCACCUACGUGAAUGUUGGUCAAAAGAUCAACGUUGUUUGUUAAAACCAGGUCCAGACAAGCGUCCAUUCUAGUUGGUGCUUGUACAAGUUGUGACAUGAAGGUGUCAUUUAACUUGUUUAAAUACCUAAUUCCCUUUGCUGAGCUACUAGUUCCUCCGUCCCAUUUUAUGUCCGGGUAAUUAAAAUCUCCAAUAAUUAAAGUGUUACCCAGAUUUGCAGCUUUCUCAAUUUGCUCAAACAGCUGUUGUUCCUCGUCAAUAUUAACAUUAGGUUGUUUAUAACAUAUCCCAACCAAUAGUUGGUUUCCAUUCUUUUCCCCCAAGCAGAUAUUUACCCAUAAAGCUUCCACAUUUUCCUCAUCACAUUCCACUUGCUUAAGAUUUGGCUUUAAAUCAUGGUUGACAUACAAACAUACCCCACCACCCUUCUUGUUUUUCCUAUCUUUCCUAAAUAACAUGUACCCAUUUAAGUUAACUGCCCAGUCAUGUGUCUCAUCCCACCAUGUUUCUGUUAUGCCUAUUAUAUCAUAUUGUUAAGUGUAUGCUAAUGCCUCUAGUUCCCCCAUUUUGUUAUUUAGGCUCCUUGCAUUAGUAAGCAUACAUUUAAUAUCAUGAGUCACUUGUAUUUUUUUGUGAAUUAUCAACAUUACGUAGCUUCUCUGUUCUGAGCUUUCCCCUCCCCCUGUCUCCACACACCUUAUACUGUGCUAAAGCCCAUCUCCUUUCUGUCCUAUAUCCAUUUUGGAGAUUGCUAUGACCCUCCCCCCCCUACUACUAGUUUAAAAUCUCCCCCAUACUUCUAGCCAUCCUAUCCCCCAGCACUGCAGACCCUCUCCCGUUUAGGUGCAAUCCAUCACUACUAUAAAGGUUGUACCUAAUCGCAAAGUCGCCCCAGUGCUCUAAAAACCCAAAACCCCCUUCCUGCACCAAGACUUCUUGAACUGAGCCAGUCACAACUGUCGAUCUGUGGAUGUGUUUGACAUGUCUUCAAUUCAGAACAGCUUUCCUCUGUGAUGUCACUGAGUGAGGCAGGGUAAGCUUAUAACUUUAGCAAUUUUUCAUAAUUUUUUUAAAUUGUAUUAUUUAUAUGUAAAAUAUCACUUAUUAGAGUGUUUCUUUAAUUGUCCUUUUACAUUGCAACCAGUGAGCUACACAUUAAUUGGCAUUUUAUUUGAAAAUAAACUUGAAUCAAAUAGUAGCUCUUGCUGUUUUCCAAAAGCAAUUUCUUUUGAAGGUGGCAAAGACAUUUUUGUGAUGAAUUAAAAACACAAUAAGAAUUAAAUAGUGAAGGUUAUUAGCUCCAAACUAGCCAAGCUGCUUCACUAAAAAUACCUUCUAAGUAAAAAUCAAUAUAAGAUAAUAAACUUUAUUAACCGAAAUAUAUAUACAUAAGUGGCUGCCGAUGCUGAUUUUUAAUUCACUAGUUUAGACUGCAUACCGUUUCCUGUUUUCGUGCUCAAUAGAGGGGGGGAUACCUUAUGAAUAGCUAGGAAUGUCUCUAUUCACUUAUUUAUUGGUCUAGUAAUUAUAUUAUUUAUAUUUUCUUUUUUCUUUCCACCUCCUGUCUCUACGCGGGUGGUCUUUGGAUGCAUGUCUGCCCGCUCGAGAAUAUUGAGCGUUGAGAUAUAGGAGGGGGUUAUACCAUUUACUGCUGGAACACUUCAGCCUGAUAUUAUUAUCUUUGUUUUGUUUUACCCCUAUUGCCUACUGGGUCUUGUUCCCAGACUUUACACCUGUAAGGGACCAGUAUCCUAUGAAACAGAGGGCUGGCUCACCUUACCAUAGCUUUACUUAGCAAGGGUGAGACUAUAACCAGUGUUGACCAAUAUCUCCUACCUAACAUUAUCAUCCUACUAUCUGGAGUGCUCCCUCAAUAGGGACAAUAUCGAUCACAAUAGUAAGGGAGAAGAUUGAGUCAGUACUGAUUAUAUACAAUUGACCAUCUCUCCUCUAUUCAGAAAUCUCCCAUACUGCUAUUUCUGGUGUUUGAAAUGCUCUCUAUGUAGAGGUACUCCAUUCUACUAACAGUGGAUUGAGGGAGCGAGCACUUGAAUUACAUUACUAAGCUUUCAUCGCCCGUAUCUCCCACCAUUUAAGUAAGCACUUAAUAUUGGGGGAAAUAUAUACCCACCCUCACGAAUCUGUUUUCUCCCCUCUAUAGUACUUUUGUUUUAGCGAUAUAAACUUGGUGAUUUAUAAAGGAUAUUCAGAUACUUAUAUUUAUAUCCAGUUUAGUUCACCUGAUCAUUUCCUUACACAAUAAUGUUCUCAGGUCUAACAUUAGACUACCCUGUACUCCACUCCCCUUAUUAUUAUUUUUUCCCCCUGUAAAAUACAGACAACUCUAUGUAUUUCUUAUCCGGGAUAAUAAUAAGUAACCUGUUACAUUUGUAACACACUGACUCUAAUUAGCAAAUGUAUGUUGCCACUUCUGUAGCUAGUAUUUUUCCAAGUAGUGGAGUCUACAGUGGUAACGUCUAUAUCCACGGUGUAAACACAGGAGUCUUUUAACUUCACUUUGAUCCCCUUUUCUGCACGUUUGUUUUCCCUUAUGUAUAUAUAUUUCUGUUAAUAAAGUUUAUUAUCUUAUAUAGAUUUUUUACUUAGAAGAUAUUUUUAGUGAAGCAACUUGGCUCCCCUAGUUUGGAGCUAAUAACCUUCACUAUUUAAUUCUCAUUGUUCAUUACCUAGGGUUAUGCCCUUUACUACCUUUGUAACCCUCCUCUUACCCCGUUUAGAUUCUUCUAUCCUGGGGUAUUUCUUUUAUAAAAACACAAUAAAAUAAUGUUUGUUUCAAAUAUUUAUAUUACUUUUAUUUCCUUUUGUGAUUCUUGUCCAUUGUCUCAUGCCGUCAGAUGCAAUUAAAUGGAACAUGAUAUCUAUAAUAUGAUCCUUACCUUCUAUACAGAAUAAACAUUGUGUUCUAAGUGUUUCCUGGAUUGCAUAUCUUUCUAGUAAUAUUUACUUUUUAAUCUGAGCGGUUUUUGUUGAACUCUCCUAUUAAUAUAAACUUGGGAAAGUCACAUUUGUUUAUUGUACAAUAUCACUGAGACAGCAGAUUCAUCUGACACUCCAUACUCCAUAGCAAGUACCAGUGGUCACCACUAAUAAUGUGGGGGGACAAAUAUUUGCAGUAGUUUAGAAACGCUAGGAAUCUUUUUUUUUUUUUUUUUUGUAAUAAGUUUCAGUUCUGCAGCUGCACACCCCCUCACCCCUUUGGUUGCAGUUUAGAGAAGCAUACUUGAAAAUAUCUGUACAAAAUUGGUCUGAUUUGAAAUCUGCCUCGUUUCAGCAGGUUUGGCACAUGCCUAGUGCCCUUUAAGAAGGAAUUUCAGGAAGUUUCAUUGCGUUGCCAUUCAGGUAGUAGAGGCAGCUGGCUAUGAGUAGAGGCCUGUUAUUGACCUCUCUAUUUAGGGGCCAUCAUUGGCUGAUAGCAUCAGGGGAUGGGGUUACAUUGCUCUAAGGCAGGGGUUCCCAAUUAAUUUUUCCUGUGGAGCCCUUUGACAUAGGACAUCAACAUCGUGGAAUCCAAUCUCCUCUCCCCACAGUGUGUGUAUCUGUGUGUGUGUAUCUGUGUUUGUAUGUGCCAGUGUGUAUGAAUCUGACACACAGAUAUAUACACACACACACACACACACACACUGGCAGAUAGUGGCACACAGAUACACACACCUUGACACACAGUGUGUAUCUGUGUGUCAAGGUCUCUGUCAAUGUGUGUAUAUCUGUGUUUGUAUGUGCCAGUGUGUGUAUCUGUGUGUGUGUAUGUAUCUGACACACAUAAUGGCACACAGAUACACACUGACACACACCUUGACACACAGAUGCACAAAUCUUGAUUCACAAAUACACACACACACACACACACACACACUCAGCUGCACCGGGACCCCCAGGCUGAUGGUGCCCAUUAGAUGGCCCAAAAAUGUAGGGCCACCCGAUGGGCCCUAUAUCUUCAGGGGCCCGGUCAGCGCUGUGGCCGUGUAAUAGCGCGAUCGGGUCCCUUUAAAAAAUGGCAGCCACAAGUUGUGCUGGGAGGAAGUGACAGGCGGAGAGGAGAGGCAGCCGACUCCCACCAUCCCCAGCCACCCUCCUGCAACAAAAAGGGAAGGAACAGGAGGGUGGCUGAAAAAUGAGCUGUGUAUAUAUGUCCGUAUGUAUGCAUGUAUGUCCGUGUGUAUGGAUAUGUAUGAAUAUGUCAGUAUGUAUGUGUGUGUGUGUAUAUGUCAGUAUGUAUGUAUGUCAGUAUGUGGAUGUUAGUAUAUGUAUGAAUGUGUCUGUAUGUCAGCAUUUGUGUGUGCGUGUGUGUGUGUGCCAGUAUGAAUAUAUAUAUGUCAGUAUGUGUGUGUGUGUUUGUAUGUCAGUAUGUGUAUGUAUGUCUGUAUGUGUGUGUAUAUAUGUAUAUAUCAGUAUGUAUAUUAGUAUGUAUCUAUGUCCGUGUAUGUGUAUGUAUGUGUGUAUGUCAGUAUAUAUGUAUGUCAGUAUGUACGUAUGCGUAUGUAUGUAGGUCAGUAUGUAUGUCUGUAUGUGUGUGUGUGUGUGUCUGUUUCUCCUUAUGCAUGUGUGUGUGUGUCACUGUAUAUGUAUGUGUGUAUAUCUUUCACUACGUGUUUCAGUUUGUAUGUGUGUGUCUGUGUCCUUUUGUGUCUUUGUGUGUAUUCCUGUGGGCGGGAUUUGGAGGCGGGCCAGGAUUUGAGGCAGGCACCGGGGGCCCACACCUUGAACUAUGUUAGGGGCCCCAACAUUUCUGAUGGCAACCCUGAUGCCAAGCAUUGUGUAUUAUAUCUCGAUUUCCUUUCAUCUCUGUGGUAUGGUUAUCUCUGUAUUGUAUUUAGCUCUGUGUAUGUUAUAGAUAUCUUUAUAGUGUGCAAAGCUUGUUUUAUAGUAUGAAUAUAAAUAUUUUUUGCUCAGCUUUCUGUAUCUCAGUACUGUAUAGGGAGGAGUAAACUUCUGGGCAGUCCACCAUCCUAAAACUUCACCAGCCGUCACUGACCAGUACAGCUUAUGUUUAUAAUAUUAGGAAGCUGGCACUGUAAAGCAGGGCUCGAAAAACCAUUGUGACUAGGAAUUUUGUCCUGGCACCUGGGUGUUUAUCAGCCUUUCCAGCACACUGGUCAUCUUAGACGACCCCCUGAGGCGUGUGGCUGACGGCUAUGUGGAAUGAAAGCGGGCGUUGAGGGAGCUGUAAUCUUUCUCCUCUUCUUGCUUUGCUCUCUCAUGCACCCUGCAGGAAUGCCGGGAGCUGUAAUAUGACGUGACUCCGGCCCAGGCAUCAAUAAUCAGCAGAUGAGGGUGCAGAGCAACAAGAGCUUGAAGAUUACAGGAUCAGAUCAGCUUUACUGGACUCAGGGAAAGGAUCCACUCCAGGUCUCCCAAAGGUAGGGAGUCUGGGUGGAAAUAAAUGAAAGUAAAACAAAUAAUAAUUUUGUGAGUGUGUGAGAGAAUGUGUGUAUGCUAGUGAGAGUGUGUUUGUGUUAGUCUGUGUGAGUCAGUGUGUUUCUGUCAGUGAGUGUGUCUGUUAAGGUGACUGCCCUCCCCAGCCAUAGCAUGUGAAAAGUGUUUUUAACCCCCCCCCCCUUUUUUAAAUGGCAUGCUGGUCCCACCACAGCUGGCCCAGCUCCACGACUGAGGAUGCCGCUUACAAAAAAGUCCAUUGUGCGCUGAGUGGGGUGUGAUUGUCCGUUAUCAUUAUUGCUCGACUAGGAGACCAAUGUCAAAAGGUGAAUGGGAACUGAGGCUUCAUUUCAGGGCAAGUGUAUGUGUUUUGUAUGUGUGUCUGUAAAAGAUUAUGUGUAUUUGUCAGUGAGAGUGUAUGUGUAUCUGUGUGUCAAGGUUUGUGUAUGUGUCACCGUGUGUAUCUGAGUGUGUGUGUAUAUGACACUGCGUGUACGUGUCAAUGUGUGUAUGUGCCAGUGUGUGUAUCUGUGGGUGCAAGUGUGUGUAUAUGUUACUGUGUGUAUUUGUGAGUCAAGAUGUGUGUGUCUGUGUUUCAAUGUGUGUGUGUCUGUGGGCCACUAUGUACCGGUGUGUGUGUGUGUGUAUCUGUGUGUCAGAUACAUACACACACAAAUACACAUUGACACAGAGAUGCAUACACUUGCACAUACAAACACAGAUAUACAUACCUUGACACACACCGGCACUUAGAAACACAGAUACACACACUUUAACACAUAGAUACAUACACACACACACACACACACACACAGAUACACACUGUGUGUCAAGGUGUGUGUAUCUGUGUCAGUGUGUGUAUCUUUGUGCCAGUGUGUGUAUCUGUGUGUCAGAUUCAUACACACUGGCACAUACAAACACAGAUACACAGAAACAUACAAACACAGAUAGAUACAUACAUACAUACACACACACACACACACAGACACACUGUGUCAAGGUGUGUGUAUCUGUGUGCCACUAUGCGCCAGUGUGUGUAUCUGUGUGUCAGAUACAAACCUAUACACAGAUACACAUUGACACACAGAUACACACACUGGCACAUAUAAACACAGAUACACAUACCUUCACACACAGACACACACCGGCACAUACAAAAAACUGUGCAAUUUUUUUUUUCUGAGUGUGGGGAUACACUAUGUCAAAGGGUUUCACAGGAAAAAAUUAAUAGGGAACCCCUGCUCUAAACAGAUAGUACAAAAGGAAAAGACCAAAUGAACAAGCCAAAAAUAAAAAAGGGUAAGAAAAAAUAAAAAUAAAUAAAAGAAAAAAACCCAAACAAAAGAAAAGAAAAAACACAGAAAAAUGGUAACAACACAAAUUUAUUUUGAUUCACACAACAUACAGCUAGCUAGUCAGCGGCACCACUCUGUGCUUCCUGAAAGUGAAAACGCAGAAGCCGGAUGCUGUCUGGUGGAAGUGGAAUUGCCACUGGAGGCAAAUAUAUGGUUAAACCGCUGGAGAACGGUUUGACCCCUUGAGAUAAGAGUGCCUCCUGGCACCAUAACAACUUCAUUGCGAUUAAGUUAUUUUGGUGCCUGGAGAGACCCUGUUAGUGUUUACACUUAUGAAAAUUCAUGAUUGUGUAAUAAUGUGUAAAUGUGUCAUAUGUGUCUAGUUAAGAAUAAGCUGGUAAUUUAUUAUUUUGAACAUUUGUACUAUCCCACAAAAUCAUGUUCCAACAGACUCAGCUGAUUGUAGUGAUGUUGGUAUUCUGUAGCAAAUGACAAAUCCUAGAUUCUCGACUUUUGAAAAGCUUUUUGGUAACAUUUUGCUGCAGAGAAAAACAAAUGACACAAUUUAAAACUUGGAAAUAAAUUAGAUAAUGCCAAAACAUGUUUUUGCAGUAUUCUCACCCUUUCAAUGGGAAUACCUCUUACAUCAUAUACCAUUAGAAGUACCAAGUAAUACCUGACUAUAUAAACUCCUAUUUCAAUGUUGUGCUGUUCUAUUCUGUGUAAGUGCUGUUUUAGAUAAUGUUAUGUGUUUCUAUUUUGACUAAUGACCUAAAGAUAUUGGAUUGCGAAAAUGAUGCAGAACUAUGCAUUCGAUCAUAGUAGUGGUUAUAGAAUGUUAUUACAGCCACACCAGUGUUUUCUCCUACAGUUUUAGUAAAACAAUGUUAAAAAUAUACCAGGUUUCUUUCUUCGUCUGUUGUCAUUAAGUAAAUAUAAAUGGACAUUGCUGUUCUGAGAACUACAUCGCUAUUCAUUUCUCUGGCAAUUGCGCUACAAGAAAUUAAUAAUAGGCCAGAAAAAGUUAUAUGUUACUUGAAUAGAAAAGUGAAUACAAAGAGAAAAAUUAAAUAGAACACUGUAAGGAGUAAUAAAGUUAAAGAACCUUCAUGAACAUACACUGGGCCUAUUACAUUGAUAUUAGGCCUUUAACUCCUUAAGGACCAAACUUCUGGAAUAAAAGGGAAUCAUGACAUGUCACACAUGUCAUGUGUCCUUAAGGGGUUAAACUGAUACAAAAAAGCAGCUGUACCAGAAAAACAUUUUAUUUAGGGAACAUUAAAAAACCAAAACGUUGAAACCCAGUACUCCCCAGUGGCAUUAAUUGAGAACAUGUGAAUUCCCUGUAAUGACCCAUCUAUAUUGUUUUUGUGAAAACAGAUUAAAGAUAGGCUUACAGGGUGGCAGAUUUUGGCCGCAGAUCAAAUUUUAUGGAGCACCAUUUUAUGGAGAUUAGCAACCUUUUGCAGAAGAGUUUUUUUAACUAACGUGUUUAACACAAUAUUUAACUGUAGCUAGUCCUACCUGCCUGACCACUGCAUUCUCUAUCUACCUGACAGACGUACAAUACUUCAAAAUCAGGGAUUGGAUGUAGAUCCUGCAAAUUGAGGGCUAUUUCAGAUGUAGGCACAAGAGACAUAGAGGACAUGCAUAGGUGGCUGGUACCUUUUGGUCUUAGAGGAAAGCACAGUGGGAUUGGCAGACCUGACACAAGCUGUUAUGGAUCAUAAGCAAAGCUUCUCUGAAGAGGAUGAAGACACCCCUUCCACAAAGAAGGUUGGAAAGUACCUGCUAAAACACAUAAAAAAAAAAAAAAGUGAAAGAAAAAAUUCACACCUUAAUGGAGCUAAAGCUACUGAAGAUGAUAUGCUGUUCUUCAACAAAGUGUGGCCUCCACUACUGAGUCUGUUCAGCAACUGCUGGAUAAAAGGGGCAGAAGAAUAAAACAUCACAAUAUCAGAUAUGGCCAACACUUUUGGCAUGGAGAAACACCCACAUUUCCUCCCUCAUCUCAUUACUUUAUAUUAACUCCUAAACAUCCCCAAGUCCUUGAUUCUGCAUGGGGUGUAUAGCCACAACAAAUAUUCUCUGGCACCUUCAACAGAUGUUAUUGACCCCUGCCAAACAUACAGUGAAGUAUCCUGUGUUGUGGUGGCAUUGAAUGACAAUUUUCCACGUCACUUUGAAUCUCAAAAAUUAUCCAUCUACCAAGAUGUAGAAAGUUCAGUCACUGGGCCCAGUUACCAAACUUUUAAGGGUUGUUGAUCUGGAAUACAGAUGGGGUUCGACUGUUUGUCUACAGGUUCAGAAGGAUGGUAAAUGCUACAGGCUUACAACAUCCACAGAUAUGCAGAUUUUACUGUUGGCCCAGGGUCUCCAUCUCCCUUUCCAUACCAGCAGAUGGAACUCUCUCUAUGCACAACUGGGACAUCCCUUAUGUGGUAGAUUCAUCCUCAGGGGCAAUGAUGGCACCAGCUGAUGAAGCUGUUCUCUGUUGUACAAAGGGUUCAGAAUAGUGCACUACAUUAUUAUAUUAAGGCUACUUGUUAAUUGUUUGAUUCCUGUGAUUUUUUUUUUUAUUAUUUUUUUUUCUGGUAUGUAACGUUUUUUUUCCUGUUUGUUUUUUGCACCUAUUUAACCUAAACAUCCUGGGGAAAAAAAGACCUGCAGGGACUGAUAUAUACCCCGCCUCUAAUUUCUUUUUUUUUUUUUUUUCUUCAAUACAUGGGAGCGUUUUUUUGUUUUUUUAAACUGUUUAGUAUUGUUUAAAGCUGGAGCGUUACAUUCAUGGAGUGACAAUCCCUUGCCCCUUACCAAAGUAAACACUAUUGAAAUGCUAACUGGAGUAAGUUGUGCAGAAAGUAAAAAAACAUAAUUAACAUCCCAGCACUUCUGCGUUCAGGAUGACAUCAUCUUCCCAUAAUGCUCUGAGUACACUCAUACACACUUGUGCAUUCCUUCUAUAGUGCAAUGGCUUUGUGACAAUAUAAUUUGCAUGCUCAAUGCCAAGACAGCUAUGCAUACACUGUCAAAAAAAGAAACUAUAGAAAGUUAUAUUAUUUAUUAGGAUGUGCAUAAAUCUCAGAUGUGAUAGUUCUGCUUUAACAUGGCGUUGUUACGGCUCCAUAGAGACUGCUUGCAGAUGUAAAUUGGCACUUUCCUAUAUAUUUUCUUGCCAUUGUAUAACCUCUGGGCUUAAUAGUAAAUAGUACAGAUCUUCCUUUUUAUGGCAUUUUUUUUUCUUUUUUUGAGUAAUGCUGUUUCUUUUCUUUUUUUCUCAUACCAUUUGGCAAAUCUACCUGCAAGCAUGUAAAAAAUGAUAAAAAUUAAAUAAUGCUUCAACUAUACAUAUGCCAGCAUUGUAUAUACAAUUUUAAUUCCUUUUAAGUUGAUGCCAAGUCAUAAUUGGCAUGAUGGCUGCCCUCUGUUCAGUACAGAAAUUAUAAAACAAAAAAAUUAAGUGUUUGUUGUUUGUGUGUAUGAAGAACAAUUUUGGGGCAAAGUUCUAAAACUGUAGUAGUCACCAUGGAAACAAGUAAUAUAAUAUUUCUGCUCUUUGCUCCCUGUUAGUGUCCUCUAAUAUUGUAUUAAAAACACAAACACAAAACCCUGUUUAAAAGCAACCUGCUGUGGGACAAGAGAAUUCCUAGAAAUAGACUGCAGUAUUCAGGUUAUUGCGAAUUGUAAAUGUAUCCGUCCAAGAGGAAUUAUUUGAGUCAACUACCAAUGAAGAUGACCUCUCCUUCUUGUGUUCAAGUGCAAUAAACAAUACACAAGAUCCAGCGCACUCUCCUAUCUACUAAAUAGCAACUUCAAUGUUGACAGAUUUUAUUUGUUUUUUUUUCUUUCUAUUGUAUAAUAUAGCCCCAGCAGCAACCCAUUUAAGCAUGUUCAGGUGAGUGCAACCACCCCCCCUUGUGUUCAAGUGCCUGGUGUUGAAGCUGAAGGUUGUUAAAAUUACCUAAAGGUCUCCUUUGCAAGUGAUGCCCUUUGUUCUCCAGCUCCUGGCUCUUCAUUCAAGUAUGAUUGAGAGUACAUGAACUAUCCUGCAAGACCACAUCCUGGCUGUGGGAUUUGACAGAUGUUGAUAUCAGAAGCUCUGCCUUUUGUCAGCUUGGACAUUGUCCAUAAGACAAAGCAGUCCCUCUUUUGUACUCUGAUCUCGUUUGAUUGUACCAGAAUUUCAAAGAAAUUCCAAUGGAAUCAAUGUGAUUAUUAAAGGGACACUAUAGUCACCUGAACAACUUCAGCUUAAUGAGGUUGUUCAGGUGAGAACUAUAGCUCCCUGCAGCCUUUCUCAUGUAAACACUGUAUUUUCUGGGAAAAUACAGUGUUUACAUUGAAAGCUAGGAACACCUCGAGUUGCAGUCACUCAGAGUGAACCAAAGGGACUUCGGAGUUGAUGGAGGCAUCCUCUGCUGUCAGCAGAGCACAGGGCAGCACUGUGCACAGCAUCCUGUGAUUCAGUAUCUCCUCCCUCUGCAUGCAGACACUGAUUCAUUGAUUCAGUUCAUCUCUAUGAGGAGAUGCUGAUUGGCCAGGGCUCUGUUUGAAUCAUGCUGGCUCUGCCUCUUUGUCAGUCUCAGCCAAUCCUAUGGGGAAGCAUUGUGAUUGGAUCAGGCUACCACAUGUCAGCAGACUGCUUGUUUUUCUAAGUCUAACAGCAUGCAGAUUUACAGCUUUUGGCUUGAAUACAGUAACAUUUUUAAUAUUUAUGGAGGCAUGAGGGGCCCAGGGGGCUAGAUGGGUCAGGAAUACAUGUUUGUGUUCCUGACCCUAUAGUGAUCCUUUAAAACUACUCAGCUAGUGACAAGAGGUGGAUGAGCCACUUUAAUACAGAGGUCAUUUAAUAUGUGGUUUCUUUUUUUGGUGAAUAUUCUUCGACUAGGUUCAUGAAGGUAUAUGGGCGAAAAAGAGAAGGGAGAUAUAGGCCUCUGAAACUAUUCUUCUGUGCCCCAUCUCCUCUUUAUAGUCCAAUUCGUUACAAGAAUAUAAAACAAAGGAUUUAUCCCAAGUGAUGGGAAGAUUGUAUCUUUAUAUAGGAAACUGGGGUAAAAAUCUCCCUCUCUUUUCUAAAUGUAUUUUAAAGAAAAUCCAUUGAAAAUAAUGAGGGAAAAAUGCUUUCCCUCAAAGUUUGUCUUGGUGGACAGUGUAGUGGUUACAAACGAGAUUUAUGAAAUACAUGUAAGUAUUUUUUCACAAACAGAUAUUUCCCUCAUUAAAUAUGAUGAGUGAAACUGCUCUAUAAGCUAUCAGGCAUACUAUGGUAGCUAUCAUAGUUACAUAGUUACAUAGCUGAAAAGAGACUUGCGUCCAACAAGUUCAGCCUUCCUCACAUAUGUUUUUGCUGUUGAUCCAAAAGAAGGCAAAAAAACAGUCUGUAGCGCUUCCAAUUUUGCCACAAACUAGGAAAAAAUUCCUUCUUGACCCCAAAAUAGCAGUCAGAUGUCUCCUUGGAUCAAGCAGCUAUUACCACACUAAUUAGAAAUUAUAUCCCACUAUAUUAUGUUUUUGCAAGUAUUUAUCCAAUUGUAGUUUAAACAUCUGUAAUGACUCUGACAAAACCACCUCUUCAGGCAGAGAAUUCCAUAUUCUUAUUGCUUUUACUGUAAAAAACCUUUUCUUUGCCUUAGGUGAAAUCUCCUUUCUUCCAGCCUAAAUGUGUGACCUUGUGUCCUAUGUAUAGCCCUGUUUAUGAAUAGAUUUCCAGAUAAAGGUUUGUACUGGCCCCGAAUAUAUUUGUAUAAUGUUAUCAUAUCCCCUCUCAGGCAUCGUUUUUCCAAACUAAACAGAUUUAUUUCUUUAACCUUUCUUCAUAACUAAAAUGCUCCAUUCCUUUUAUUAAUUUUGUAGCUCGUCUCAGGACUCUUUCUAGUGCCAUGAUAUCUUUCUUUAGAACAUGUGCCCAAAAUUGCUCAGCAUAUUCAAGGUGUGGUCUUACCAGCGAUUUAUAAAAAGGCAAAAUUAUAUUUUCCUCCCAAGAAUUUAUGCCCCUAUUCAGGGCCGCCAUCAGGGGGUGACAACCAUGAUGGUUGUCAUGGGCCCGGCGGCCCUAGGGGGCCCGGCUAUCCGGGCCCCACAUGGGGCAGCAAAACUGCCGCAGGUGCAUCUGCACCGGGGCCCAUCAGGUGGCCAGAGCAUUUAGGGCCACGCGAUGGGCCCUAUAUCUUCAGGGACCCGGUCAGCGCUGCGGCCGUGUAAUAGCGCGACCGGGCCCCUUUAAAAAAUAAAAAUAAAUUGCGGCUACACCGCAAGUGCUGCUGGGAGGAAGUGACGGCUGGUCACUUCCUCCCAGCUUACUCCGCACGGGCGGAGAGUGGACCAGAGGGAGAGCGGAGGACAAGAGAGGCAUCCACUCCCAUCAUCCCCAGCCACCCUCCUGCAACUUAAAGGUAAGAGGAGGGUGGCUGAUAAAUGAAGUGUGUGUGUGUAUAUGUAUGUAUCUGCAUGUAUGUCAGUAUGUAUGUGUCUAUCUUUAUGUGUGUGUAUGUAUGUGUGUGUCAGUAUGUAUGUCUGUGUGUAUGUCAGUAUGCAUGUAUGUCUGUGUAGGUCUGUGUGUGUGUGUAUGUCAGUAUGUAUAAAUGUCUGUGUGUAUGUCUGUAUCUAUGUCUGUGUGUAUGUCUGCGUGUAUGUCAGUAUGUAUAUAUGUAUGUAUGUCAGUAUGCAUGUAUGUCUGUAUGUAUGUCUGUGUAUGUCUGUAUGUAUGUAUGUCUGUGUGUGUGUUAGUAUGCAUGUAUGUCUGUGUGUGUGUUAGAAUGCAUGUAUGUCUGUGUAUGUCAGUAUGUAUAUAUGUCUGUGUGUAUGUCUGUAUGUAUGUCUGUAUGUAUGUCAGUAUGCAUGUCUGUAUGUAUGUCAGUAUGCAUGUAUGUCUGUGUAUGUAUGUGUGUAUGUCUGUAUGUAUGUGUCUCUCUGUAUGUGUGUGUGUAUGUCAGUAUGUAUAUAUGUCUGUGUAUGUGUCUGCAAGUGUGUGUGCGUGUAUGUCAGUAUGUAUGUCUGUGUUUGUAUGUCAGUAUGUAUGUGUGUGUAUGUCAGUAUGUAUGUAUGUAUGUCAGUAUGUAUGCAUGUAUGUCUGUGUGUGUGUAUGUCAGUAUGUCUGUAUGUGUGUGUAUGUAUGUAUAUCAGAAUGUAUGUAUGCCAUUAUGUAUGUAUGUCAGUAUGUAUUUAUGUGUAUGUAUGUCAGUUUGUCAGUAUGUAUGUAUGUCUGUAUGUAUGUAUUUAUGUCAGUAUGUGUGUGUGUGUAUCUGUAUCUGUGUAUGUGUCUAUAUGUGUGUAUGUCUGUUUCAGUAUUUGUGUCUGUUAGUAUGUGUGAAUCUUCCUGUGUGUGUGUCUGUGUGUGUGUAUUCCUGUGGGCAGGAUUUGGAGGCGUACACCCGGGGGCCCAGACCUUGAGCUAUGUUAGGGGCGCCACAAUUUCUGUUAGCGGCCCUGCCCCUAUUUAUACAUGACAAAACCUUACUGGCCUUAGCAACUGCAGAGUGACAUUGCAUAUUGCUGCCUAAUUUGUUGUCUAUAACAAUUCCCAAAUCCUUCUCGUGUGUGGUUAUCCCUAAUUCACAACCAUUUAGGGUGUAAACUGCUCGUGCAUUCUUAACCCCGAAGUGCAUAACUUUGCAUUUCUCUACGUUAAAUUUCAUCUGCCAUUUUAGUGCCCAGUCCCCCAAUCUAUCCAAAUCCCUCUGCAGCAAAGCAAUAUCCUGCUCACAUUUUAUUAAUUAACAAAGUUUUGUGUCAUCUGCAAACACUGAUACAUGGCUUUCAAUGCCUAUUUCAAGAUCCUUUAUAAAUAUGUUAAAUAGAAGUGGUCCCAAAACAGAACCCUGAGGGACACCAUUUACCACUUUUGUCCAGCCUGAAAAUUUACCAUUAAUGACAACUCGUUGUACUCUAUCCAUAAGCCAAUGUUCUACCCAAGAACAAGAAUAUUCAUCUAGACCAAUUUCUUUUAGUUUGAAGACUAACCUAUUGUGAGGAACUGUAUCAAAUGCCUUGGCAAAGUCCAAGUAGAUCACAUCCACUGCAACACCCUGAUCUAUACUUCUACUUACUUCUUCGUAGAAUGCAAUUAGGUUAGUUUGACAUGACCUAUGUUUCAUAAAACCAUUCUGAUUAUUGCUAAUAACAAAGUUCUUCCCAAUGAAUUCCUGAAUAUUAUCCCUUACUAGCCCUUCAAAUAUUUUACCAGUUACAGAAGUUAAGCUCCCAGGUCUAUAAUUCCCAGGCAAGGAUUUUGAACCCUUUUUAAAUAUAGGAACAACAUCUGCCUUCCUCCAAUCCUCCAGUACAAUACCUGAAACAAAAGAAUCUUGAAAAAUUAAAUACAGAGGUUCACUUAUUUCCCCACUUAGCUCCUUAAGUACUCGUGGGUGAAUACCAUCAGGCCCCGGAGCUUUAUUUACAUUAAUUUUCUUUAAUAGCUGUAGCACCUUUUCUCGAGUUACCCAAUCACAAGUUAUCUGCAAGUUUUUUCAGCAAUCCUUUGCAUAUCUCUUGCCAUAGGAUCCUCAUUAAUAUAUUCUGAAGAAAAAUUGUUAUUUAAAAUUUCUGCUUUUUCCUGGUCUUCAUUAGCUAAUAAACCCAACUCUGUUUCCAGUGUACCUACACUUUCAUUUUUUGUUUUUUUAGAAUUGAUGUACUAGAAAAAAAUUUUGGGGCUGGUUUUGCAUUCUUUGGCUAUCAAUUUCUCAUUUUCUAGUUUAGCCACUUUAAUUGCCUUUUUGCAAGCGUUAUUGGCUUCCUUAUAUCUUAAAUAGGUUGCCUCUGAUUUGUCUGAUUUAAAUGCUUUAAAUGCCCUUUUCUUAUUUUUAAUCUCUUGUUUUACUUCUCUACUAAGCCACAUUGGUUUUAAUUUGUUGCUUUUGUAUUUAUUACCCAAUGGUACAUACUGCGAAAUGUACCUUUCUAAUAUUUGUUUGAAUAGUUUCCAUUUAUCCUCAGUGUUUUUAUCACUAAGGAGUUUAUGCCAGUCGAUAUGUUGUAGAGCUGCCCUAAUCUUAUUGAAAUUUGCUUUUUUAAAAUGAUAUGUUUUAGUAUACCCCACUUGCUUUUGCUUUUUUGAGUUUAUUUAAAAAAUUACCAUAUUGUGAUCACUAGAGAUGUCGCUAACUGUCCGCCGAACUGUUCGCGAACUGUCAGCCGGCGAACAAUAGUGUGUUCGCGUUGGGCGAACAUAUACGAUUUCCGGUCCGCCCCCUAUACGUCAUCAUUGAGUAAACUUUGACCCGGAACCUCACAGCCAGCAGACACAUUCCACCCAAUCAGCAGCAGACCCUCCCUCCCAGGAAGUGUCUGCUGACUGUGAGGUUCCGGGUCAAAGUUUACUCAAUGAUGACGUAUAGGGGGUGGACCGGAAAUCGGAUAUGUUCACCCAACGCGAACACGCUAUUGUUAGCCGGCGGACAGUUCGCGAACAGUUCGGCGGACAGUUCGCGACAUCUCUAGUGAUCACUAUUUCCCAAAUGCUCCCCUACUUGAAUGUUGGUUAAAAGAUCAACAUUGUUUGUUAUAACGAGAUCCAGACAAGCAUCCUUUCUAGUUGGUGCUUGUACCAGUUGUGACAUAAAGGUGUCAUUUAACACAUUCAAAAACCUGAUUACCCUUGCUGAAGUACUAGUCCCUCUAUCCCAAUUCAUGUCCGGGUAAUUAAAAUCUCCAAUAAUUAACGUGUUUCCUUGAUUUUCAGCUUUCCCAAUUUGCUGUUCUUCCUCAAUAAUAUUUACAUUAGGUGGUUUAUAACAUAUCCCAACCAAUAAUUGAUUUCCCUUUGUUUGCCCCAAGCAGAUAUCUACCCAUAAAGCUUCCACAUUUUCCUCGUCACACUCCACAUGCCUAAGAUUUGACUUUAAAGGACUACCCUAGGCACCCAGACCACUUCAGCUUAAUGAAGUGGUCUGGGUGCCAGGUCCAGCUAGGGUUAACCCAUUUUUUUAUAAACAUAGCAGUUUCAGAGAAACUGCUAUGUUUAUAAAUGGGUUAAGCCUUCCUCCAAAGCCUUCCUCAAAAUCACAGUGAGAGCACGCAAGCGUCCAUAGGAAAGCAUUGUAAAUGCUUUCCUAUGAGACCGGCUGAAUGCGCGCGCAGUUCUUGCCGCGCGUGCGCAUUCAGCCGAAUGGGCGGAGAGAAGGAGGAGAGCUCCCCGCCCGGCGCUGGAAAAAGGUAAGUUUUUACCCCUUUCCAGAGCCGGGCGGGAGGGGGACCCUGAGGGUGGGGGCACCCUCAGGGCACUAUAGUGCCAGGAAAACGAGUAUGUCUUCCUGGCACUAUAGUGGUCCUUUAACUCAUGGUUGACAUAUAAACAUACCCCACCACCCUUCUUAUUUUUCCUAUCCUUCCUAAAUAACAUGUACCCAUUUAAGUUAACUGCCCAGUCAUGUGUCUCAUCCUACCAUGUUUCUGUUAUGCCUAUUAUAUCAUAUUGUUUAAUGUAUGCUAUUGCCUCUAGUUCCCCCAUUUUGUGAUAUAGGCUCCUUAGAUUAGUAAGCAUACAUUUAAUAUCAUCAUGAGUCUUUUGUACUUUUUGUGAAUUAGCAAUAUUACAUACCUCCUCUGUUCUGUUCAGUUCAGUUUAGAUAUAGCCUGGUUCAGUGUUUAAUGCAAAGUUUUAAGCAGAUCUGGGGUCUAAACCUUGGCUCUCUCUCUUUUUGCUACAUGAAAAUUUGUAUAAAAUUGAUACAGCCAGAAUUGAACGUUUUUGUUUCUUCCAGGCUGGCUUGUUGACAGAAGCCAGAUGUGAAAUCACGUUUUGCCAAAAAAAGCUUAAAGAUACAAUCUAAAUCCCAAAAAAAGCAUUUUCACUAAAGCAGGUUUUCUUUUUUACUAUCUGCUUUCUCGUUUUCUUUUUGACUUCCCAAUGCCAGCAUCAAAAAGCUAAUUCAGUGAAUGACCACCAGAAGUGACUCACCUACUCAGGUGUCUGAUGUCACAAUACCAGUCUCUCGACAGUACGAUCAAAGAAAUGAUGUCACAUCUGUGUUCUGAGGCACACCCACACAUCCCUAACUUUCUGGCUCCUUACUAUGAUGUCAUAUAUGACAUGGAACGCUUCCAUUGGUCUCUUUUUAUAAUGUCCGUCUAUGUGGCACUCUAGUAUCAUCAUUGCCCUUUGCAACCAAUCAUAUGGUUUAUACUUACUGGUUGUCCUUAUUUCCUUGUCCUGUCAUGCUUCUUGUUACCUGGGAGUGCAUUUAUACUAUGUAUUGGAUUUACUCUUUUCUGACCUUGGCUUGUUUGACCAUUCUUGCUCUCUGUUAUCCUGAUCUUGGCCUGACUAUCGAAUCUGUGUAUCUAUUCUAUGAUAUCUUACACUUAGGUCUAUGUCUUGUUUAUUCUCUGUCUGCUUGCAGACAAUUCAUUUAUCUGUCUUAGGCACUCUAAGGACCUGUACAUGUUCUCUUACUGUUUCCUUUAGGUUUGUGUGUUAGGGUAUCUCCAUUCAUGACAAAUGUCAAUUCAGAGUGUUAUUAUAAUUCUACAUUUUUGUUUGUUAAUGAAAAUAAAAUGGAAAAAAACCCACUACCACUCCAGCUCGCUUUUGUGAUGAUAGUGCCUGCAUUCCUCUGGCACAGUCUGUGUUGAACUGUUUUUGAGCUUGAUUGUUUUGCCUAAACAUGUGUAUCUCCUUACUCGAUUUACAAGAUUUCCUGCUGUAGUCAAUAGAUCCCAAUGUCUUUCUUUUAAGUUCAUCUCACCGCUGCGUCAGACUAAAAGUUAUUUCAGUUUAAGAAAACAUGUUUUUCUCUUCAUAUCCAUGCUCUUUAAGCAGAUGCCUAUUUUAUCACAAAUUAACAUAGUAUUUUAUCAGCCUCUAGUCAGACUUUACUUUUCCCACUUGCAAGCUGGAUGACUUUUUUGGCAUUGAACUGCAUGUGCUUUGUUUUUAUCAUUGACAAUGUAGAAAAGACACUGAAUCCAGCACGAAGGCUUAAUAGACCUUCUCCAGCAAUCUGACAUCACUGCUGGCAGUGUAUCCCUGUUUAUUAUUAACCCCUGCACAGUGAACUUGAGAACCCUCUGGCAGGCAGGGGAUUAAAGGCAUUGAUCAAAGUACACGGCUAAAUAAUGUUUCUUGAAGUCAGGAGUAUGGUGCUAAUUAUCUAAGCAGUUGAGAACCUCAUUCUAGAUAAAAUAAGUAAAUACAUUAAAACCAAAAAGGUCAUUAUUAAUCAGAGUACCUUGAUGUUGUUAUUAUCAUCCAAUUAAAUAAAAGAAAAUUACAGUAAUUUGCUUGUGUUUAGAUCAUUAUGUAUUUUCUUAUUUUAUCUCUUCCUAGCCUCUAGCCUCUCUUCAACCUUGGCCCAUAUAUUCAGUUCUGCAGGCCUUAUGAUUUUCUAUUUCUUAACUAGCAACGUGACACCAGUUUCCUGCAUCACCUCCUAUCUCUCUUUUUUCCCUUUCACAGCUUUUUUUUUUUUUUUUUUCCAGUGUCCUCCUACUAAGCUCUGGAUUUUGUUCCAAAUCACACACUCCUAUCUCUCUCCCUCUCUUCAAAGGGAAUUUAUCAUCAAAAUACUGCGAAAGGACAUGCAAAUUUAAACAGGCUUAGACAUAAUUUAAGAUUUGUGCUUGCUGUCAGAAAGUCUUUUGUUUGUUUGAAACGUUAUUUUCUUGAAUUAAGUGUGAAGUUCACUUUAUAAAAUAGCACAGAGCCCUAUUCUAAUCUUAAUUUCAACUAUAUAUUGUAUUCACUAAACAGCUGGCAAAAUAUAUAAAUAUUGAGUAAUUAAGCACCAAUAAUGCUAAACAAUACUCGGAGAAUCAUCAGAAUUGUUGAGGUACUAUCUAAAAAUAUUUUAUACGGUUAUCGUCAGGGGUUUUUGAUACCGCACAAUAUUUUAGGAUGAAAGAACACACCAAGCACUAUAACUACUUACCUGCUCACAUAGGUUGGCUGUGAAUAGCCAGAAAAAAGUAAAUAAACAGAGGGGAGUCAAUAAGCUCAUCUGUUUUAUUUACUUUUUCUGGCUAUUCUCAGCCAACCUGCACCUUUCACUUUCAGGCACAUCUGCUGCUAUUUAUGACACCCAUUCACCCCCCUCCCUUCAUCCCCUUUUCUAACAUCAGUUAUUUUAAGUGUUAAACUCUAUCAGAUUGAUUCAGUAUUGCUUCAGACCUGAGGAAGAGUGGAAACUCUCGAAAGCCUUAUAACCUUCAGCCUUAUAACAAUUGUACUACAUGGCACGACCACUUUAAGGAGGAGAUCAGGCACAGGCCCUUGUGAUUUGCAGGUUCCUAAAGGGACACAAGUAGAUCUAACAUAGAAAUGUGGAAGUUAGCCGGAAAAUUAAGCUAUCAGAUUUUAGUGCAAAGCAUGUACCGUAUAUACUCGAGUAUAAGUCGAGUUUUUCAGCACAUUUUUUGUGCUGAAAAACCCCCACUCUACUUAUACUCGAGUCACUGUCUGUAUUAUGGCAACUUACAUUGCCAUAAUACAGACUAGGACCACUGGGCUCAUUACAAGCCCGGCGGUCCUGUUGGGGGCUGGCAGAGAGCUGUAACUUACCUUUCCUGCAGCUCCUGUCAGCUCCCUUCUCUCUCCUCCGGUAAGCUCCUCUGUCAGCAAACCUGCAAGUCUCGGGAAAGGUAAGUUACAGCUUUCUGCCAGUCCCCUCCUACACAGUGCACACCACUGGACCACCAGGGAAUGAGAGCCCCCCUCCCUGGCCAGGUAUCAAGCAGGGAGGGGGGACGAAAAAAAAUAAAUACAAAUUUAAAUAAUAAUAAAAUAUUAAUAAUAUUUUAAAAAAAUAAAAUAAAAAUAAAAUAUUAAUAUAACAAAAAAAUUUAAAAUAAUAAUAAUAAUUAAAAAAAAUAAUAAAAAUGCCCACCCCCCACUAAGGCUCUGCAUCACAUACACAAACACACUCUGCAUCACACACACACACUGCAUUCAUACACACACUGCAUUCAUACACACACACUGCACACAUACACACACUGCAUUCAUACACACACACACUGCAUUCAUCAUAUACACACACUGUAAAUAAAUAUUCAAUUAAUAUAAUUUUUUCGGGAUAUAAUUUUAUUUAGAAAUUUACCAGUAGCUGCUGCAUUUCCCAUCCUAGUCUUAUACUCGAGUCAAUAAGUUUUCCCAGUUUUUUGGGGUAAAAUUAGGGGUCUCGACUUAUAUUCGGGUCGACUUAUAAUCGAGUCUGUUUUCUGCAGGCCAACCAAAAUGUGAGUUUCAAUCAUUACAACAUUAACCGCACAACACUGAAUAUUGCCCUUGGUUGAAGUGACAUUCUACAUACAAGGAUUACUCUGUGUGGUUUAACAUGUUUAUUUAGCUUUUGAAAUUACUAGAAUCCUAAUUUACCAAUUUCUGAAGUAAGCUGUCUGAGAAAAAUAUAAUGCAGACAUUUGGUUUGAUUCCCAUCUGCAGGGAACUAUGCAACAAGUGAGCUCAGCUUGCUAGUAUCUGUGGUUGAUGAUCUAUUAUUGACUUGCAAAGAAGUAACUCCCAGGUCACCAAUUGCGUUUCGAAGCAUCUGGAAUUGUAAAGAUGCUGAGCUUUGCAGCUUCUCAGUUGUGCUUAUCCCAGAGGUGGAGGGAAAAAAAGAAAACCCUGAAAUGCUUACGUUACUGGCACAAGUAUUGUUUUGUAUUCUAGCACAUGGGUCUGAAAUUAAACUUCUAUUAAGAGGAUAAUGUGCAGACUGUCAACUUUGAGCAAUUUGCAUACCCAUCAUAAGCCCUUUCAUUUUAAGGGUAUGAAAACUGAUUGGAUAAUUGGCUACUUACUCUGAUUUAGCCUUUUUUUUUUUUUUUGGCCCUGUGUAUUUUGUUUGAUCUUAAGUUAAUGCACAGGACAACUAGGAAAAUGUCCUGAAUUGAUUUUGUAGUCUGCUACAAUUGUCUCUUGUGACAACCAGUGAAAAAAAAGUAUCCUUGCUACAUUAGAAGUACACCUUGUAAAUAAAAGCACAUGGCUUAGAUUUGUCCAAAUCACUAUUACAUUAACAUUUAUUUAAAUUAUUAGAUGGGUUGUCUAACCACCAUAAGAAAUAUAAUGUACCACAGCGGUUAUGUUACCAGGUGUCCCCUGGGACUGGCCCACAGUAAAUAGUACAUUAUUUUCAAAUAGAUUAGUUCAACAAUUGCACAUGACUUGGAAGACCAUUGUAGUUGUUCACUAAAAAAAUAUUGUGGUUGUAAAGACAGCUGCCAAACACACCAAGAUACACUGAUCAUCCACAACAUUAAAACCACUUGCCUCAUAACGUAUAGGUCCUCCUAGUGUUGCCAAAAACAGCUCUGACUUGGCAAGGCAUGGAUUCCACAGGAACUCUAAACGUGUCCUGUGGUAUCUGGUACCAAGAUUUCCGCAUCAGAUCCUCUAGAUGCUGCAAAUUGUUCACUUAGAAUAUCAACAGAGAAGUCAUCUAGCAUCUAGUGAUAUCUAGUGUUCUCAAGUUUAAACCAGUGAUUAGAUGUGAAGGAUUUUCAAAUAUAAAUAGAACUACUUUUUGCAGAUUAUAUUAAUUUUCCCAAUUAUUCAUAGACUUCUAAGAUGGAGGGACUGUGCUUAAAAUGUGUAACAGCUUUUGUGUCAUUGUUCAAAUUCUAAUGAAGUAUACGGAUACAGUUAAACCAGAGUUUAUAAAUAUAUAGAGAUCUGCAGCCACUUGCUUUAUGUUUUGGUUAAAUGUGUUUUUGAACCAAUCAGUAUGGAGAUCUAAGCCUCUAGGUAGUGGCAGUAGAAAAAUAUAGAAGCAAUACUCAUGGGAUUUGUCAAGAGUAAAUGUGGAAACCAUAAGUGAAAGUGAAAAAUUAGUUCGAAUGUAUUAUGUUUUAAAAGUAGUUUUAAAAAGUAUCAUCUUUGUUUAUUCCAAAUUUUCUUUUUUUAUUUUGCACCUCCACAAUUAUGUACAUUAACCAAAUAUUGUUAAUCCACAUGUAUUUUACUUAUUAUUUUGCUUUGCUAAAAUAAGUGUUGAAGGAGAAAAAAGUAAGGAAAAGGCACAGAAGUAAAAACUAGUAGAAAAGACAAUCCAAAGUUUAAAAAAAAAAAAAAAGUAGCUUAUUCAGCAACCCAUUGAUACGUUUCCUUAGUUAUGUUCUGUGAUGCUUGCCCACAAUUGCGGCUCAAUUUACUUUGAGUCCUAUAGUAUCAUCCAUUCUGCUCCUAUAGACUAACUUCCAUUUAGGACCAGAUAAUUGUAGAAAUCAUGCUAAAGGCAGGAAUUUAUUUUAUUUUAUUUUUUAAUGACUCCGUUUUUAUGUUGUUGUUUUUUUUAAAGUUAUAAACAAUGCAUUAAUAAUGGGUAAGACACCGAGUCAGUGAAUAAUAACAUAUAAAUAAAGAAAAACUAAACAAAAAAAAAUAUAUAGAUAACAAAACCAAUAACAAUAGCCUCAAAAACAUGGAUACCAGAUUAUAAGGGAAACUUCAGCUAGUGAAUUAGUCACACUUGGGUCACAAAUAAGUUUGGUACAUUUCAAAAUUUUUUAAUCUAAUCCCUGUAUAAAAUUGAUUGGAAAGUCAAGUCUUUGGCAUAUUUGGGGAUUUAUUUUUUAAUAUCCAGCUUCUAUGUGGCUUUGCUUGAUAGGUAGUUAUUGAAGAUAAUGGCGUAUUUAGCAGUAUAGAAUCGGUAAACAAUCAAUAACAUUUCUUUCUUGCAACAGUUAUUAAAGCAAUCACAGUCUAAAUUUCACAAACCAUUUAUCUGACAAAAAUGCUACGGAAGUCUGAAAAUGUGUUGUUUUAAAACCGGGCCCAACUUGUGAUUUCUUCAUUAAAGAAUACCUUCAUACCCCAAGCAACCUAUGCUCAUUAGAUCGGGCAUACAAUUUUAUCUAUACAUUGUACUAGCAGUUUUGCUAGCAAAUAUAUAAAUUAGGAGAAUUUUUUUUUUUAAAGUGUUCUCUCGCCCCUCCCCCCCAGCUGUCAGUCAAUCCUGACAAGAGAGUGCAGAAAAGUCCUCCCAUGGAAGGUCCCUCUGCUCUUCUCCCAUCGCAACUACAUUGCAUACGCUGUGGUUGCUAUAGAAUCUCCCCUAGUGCUGAUAAUGAGUACAGGAACAGAGUGAUGUGACGUCACUCCAUUCUAAUGCUGACGACAAAGCCAGCAUGCUAAUGUCACAGACGAGAUCCCAAGCAUGACAAAUCAAAGAAGACUUGCGGAGGACGGCCAGGAAGUGUGUGGCAUUGGGGCAUUGAAUUGAUUUUUUUUUAAGCAGGAAGCAGGGCAUCAGUGUCAGUGUCAUUGGAGAAACUGCUUGCCUAAAUACAUGUAGCUAUUUGUCAAUAAAAAUAUUCUUGUUAGUUUGUGUAUCUCUCUCAGCCAUUCAGUGACUCCCCGUUUACUAAACUGGCUCUGAAAGAAACGUACCUUUUCCAAUCCAGUUUAGUAAAUGGGGCGUCAAUGAUUGUCUUAGAGCGUCAGUGGCCCGUUCUCUGUGCUUCCUGAAUUGAGGCGGCACUUUGCGCUUCCUGAAUCUGAAAAUUCAGAAGCCGAAUGUUGUCUAGGUGGAGUGGACAUCGCCGCUGGAGACAACUUUGUGGUUAAACCAUUGGAGAACGGUUUUACUCCUUGAGGUAAGAAUGCCUCCAGGGACCUCCUGGCACCAUAAAAACUCUAUUUGAUUACGUUGUUUUGGUGCCUGGAGUAUCCGUUUAAGCAAGUUAACUUUUGAUUGAAAAUGUCAGGUCAGGGGAGGUGUGGCUAGAGCUGCAUAAACAGAAACAAAAGUGAUUUAAGUCAUAAAUAGCAGAAAUUUGAACAGUCAGAUUGCAGGGGCAUGAACUAUACACCAAAACAGCUUUGUUAGGCUAAACUUGUUUUUAAUGCCUAUAGUGUCCCUUUAACAACCUUUUUUUUUUUUUUUUUUUUUUUAAAUACUCCAUAGAAGAUGACAUUUUUUAAAAUUCUUUUUCUUUAACAUAACCUUAUCGUAUUUAGGCUGUCUUACUCUUUCCACCCAUUGUUGUUAUAUUGGAAGAUAAUGGAUUCCAUUUAAUUCAGGAUAUCACUGUAUUUUGUAUAGAACUUUCUUUUAUUUAAGCUCAGUGUGCUGAGCCUAACACUAUUAAACAGAGCAAUGUGCAGUGUUUCUGUGUGAAAGGAAAAGGAGAUGGGACUAAAGAGAUCUGGCUUUAACCAGUUAAAGGAAUGACCUGCUGUUUAUACUUUCUGGAUGCAAGACUCACCCUGUUAGUUAGAAUGGUUUCCUUUCCAAAAAUGAAUCUUGCUUACUGUAUAUGCAGUGAUCUGCAGAACAUAGCGAUUUUGGCUUAUAAGCAGUUCAACAUGCUAAAUGUCAUUGAACCCUUCCUCUUUCCAAAUUACAAUUGUCUGGUGUGUCUUAAAGGGACACUGUGGUCACCAAAACAAGUUUAGCUUAAUGAAGCAGAUUUCUUUAUAGAUCAUGCCGCUGAAGUUUCAAUUCACUGCUGUUUAGGAGUUAAAUCACUUUUGUUUCUGUUUAUGCAGCCCUAGCCACAUCUUUCCUGGCUGUGACGGACACAGCCUGCAUGAAAACAAAAUGGUUUCAUUUUCAAUCAGAUGUUACUUUAGAAGUUUUGAUCUCCUGCUCUGUAAAUUGAACUUUAAUCAAAACCAAAGGCUCCUGCAUGGUCUUGCAAGCUAUUAACAGAGCAGGAGUAAAAAAAACCCCCAAAUGAUACAGAAUUUGUAAUAAAGAAAGUAUAAACAUUAGAUGACUGUUUACAGCAAGUCACAUGCAGUGAUUUAACUCCUACAUGGCAGAUGUAGCAGAGAUGCAAUAUUGCCCAGGUUAUCUCCGCUUAUAAUCCAAGUGAGGCUCAGGAACAAGUAAAUGGCAAAUCCACAGGCAAGGUUUCCAGCAGGCAAAAUAACAGCAGUAUCCCAACAGCAAUCCCAAUAACUGGAUGACACACAGUUUCAGGAGCAGAACUGAAAGCUUUAUUCCACACUGGCCUUUUAAAGCAUGCUCCCAUGCAAGGGAGGGAUUUACAGUCAUUAGUACAGUAGCCAAUCCUGUCCUGGUAACCUCCCACACAUCUCCUCCCCUCAGCCUGCAUCAUAAUCCCCUUAUCCAGUACAGCAAUUCCCCCCGUUUCUGGAUGUAACCCUAAACGUAGGGUUACCUCCGUAAAUCAUACAUCCCCUGGUAGCCCUGAUCUGGGUGAACAACAUAUCCAAAAAUCACCCAGAUCAGACCAGGGGUUCGGGAAAUUUAUGGAGGGAAUAAAAUGACCGACCGCACUGAGUGAAGCAGCCGAAUGCGGUUCCAUGUGAAUGGGCCCUGCGGUCGGUCCUGGAGUCAGGGAAUGAAUGGCACGAAAACCUCUAGCUAUAGAGGCAAGGGAGGGUUCGCCUGAAUCCCCUCGUACGGUUCUUUCUGUCUACCGCACGAGGGGCCGUUCGGUAGUUAGGAACCGAACGGACCGGGCUUGUGGAGGUUUCAGCGGUGUCCGCCUAGUCGAGUGUCCGAUUUGAGUUCCAGACACUCGACGGCAAAACACCGCUGUUCGCCACCACGUGUUCGUUUGUCGAAUGGCGGCCACCCCCGAGAACAAAGGACGGCUACUUAACUUGUCAAUUACCCGUUCGCAACAAUGUUGUAACGGGUAAUUGAGGACACACUUCACACAGGGGAGGUCUGAUUGUUCGGUAGUUUCAUUCCCGUAGUUUAUUCGAAUGAUUCUACCGAACAAUCAGAGGAAUACAUUUCUUUUAAACACAUAUAAAACCAGCAGUUUACACAAAUGCAACUAUUCACAUGACAUUUGCAGGACAGCCCAGUGCCCUCCGCUACAGCAGACAAUUGAGCCGUGAGACUGCAGCGGCAUGAUCUAUACACUGUGUGUGCAGCUCAGGGUGUCUUAUAAAGUUGUGACUAAGCCUGUAAAAGUUAAUGAGGACUUGAAAAAUACAUUCAAAUGGUUUAACGUCAUUUUUGUUUGUCCAUGCAGUUUCGAUCGUGGACGUUUCUGAACAUUUAGAAAUAUUUUAUUUAUGUGUGUAUUUUUUACUGCUAGAGACUGCUGUCUGUUUAGUACAAUAGCCUUGACUAGAGAAUAGGAACAGCCCUUAGAAAACUGCCUAAAUGUUCUGUUUUUUGGAGAGGUAUUGCUAAGUAUAAAACUUUCUGGGACUUUAGUCCAUAUGAAAACUUGAUGGCCUAUCCCUCAAGGCUGAAUCCUAUGCAAUUCCCCAACCUUUAUUCCCUGCUUUCUAAUAUCUCACCCCAUUCUUGUCAUUUAAUUCCAUUAUCUCUCAUAUCCUCCUUGUAUUUCUCUUGCUCUCUAUCUCCAUAAAAUCCAAAUGUCACUCUCUACCUAUCUCCCAUUAAACCCUUUGUUUAUCUUAUAAAACCCUGUUUGUCCCUCUCCUUAUCUCCCAAAUGCUAUUACUAAUUACACUAGUCUUGUGGCUUGUUGGAAUAUACUAAAACUGUGGUGUACUGUUUUGAUAAACUGCCGCCUCAUAUAAAAUGAAAGAAGCACUAGUAUUCUUCCACUUGAAGAGAUCUGGAGCUAAGGAACCCCAUAUCUGGGGCUUAGGCCCUAGAAACUCCUCCUUUCAACACCUAUAUAGCCCAUUGGAGUCCCUUAAAGGAACACUAAAGGGUCAGGAAUGCAUUUGUGUAUUCCUGACCCUAUAGUGUUAAAACAUUUUGAUUAUUACUAAUGAUGUAAGGAGCCAAUAAUGAGUGCACAAUAAAUUAAUAUGUAGGUUUAAAACAAACUUUUUUUCCUGUAAGUAAUGUACUUCGAGGCAAGUGUGAUCGCCUAAAUAACAAAAUUGAGCAAAAGUACACUGCCUUUAGUAAAUUGUUCACAGUGCCGCUUUUGUUUAACAUUACUUAAAAUUAUCAUAAACAGAACUCACAAAGGGCAUGAUUUUGUGCGACAUGGAAGGAAAAUUGUGUUGAUUUCACUCCCACAGAUGAUAAUCAGCGUACGGAGAGACAUACAUCUGUAUAGAAGAUGGUCUUCAAUUUAGAGUGUCUAUUCUGAAAUGCCCAUGUUGAGGCAGUUGUAGACAACUUUGAUUGUGAAACAGUUUUUUGUAGAACAAAAUCUAUUACAUGUGAUUUUAAUCUCUUCUUUAGGGAAAAUGACUUCAGUUGAAAAUCUUUUUCCUGUGCUUAAACAAAUUCUGUGGUUGGAACUAAUCAGUUUUUUUCAAAGAUUCAAAAGAUUGACAAAUUUGAAUGAUAUAAAUAACAAAAACAUCAAUAUGGGCAUCCUUCCAUCAAUCCAUCCAGUGUGUGAGUUUACGUUUAAAUUCAUUAGAAUAUAGCCUUGCAGCCGUAGAUUUAUGUUGGUGUCUACGGGCCAUUAAGAAAACCGCUAAAGACUCUCAAGAAGAGUAAAUAGUGAAAUAACCAAUAAUAUCCACCAGCAAAUAUAAUUAUUGAAAAGUAUGCUUUAUUAGAUAGGAUAUGUGUAAGGAAACCAAGUAUAUUUAAAACUCAUUCGGUAGUUUCCUCCUGAACCACCAGAGCCUUAGUGAUUAUAGCCCUCCGUUCGGUAGAUAGAUGUAGCGGUACUUACCCUUUCCAGGGGCCGGCCGGGGUCCUCUGUUCGAGCCGCGCGCGGUCCUGCUGCUGCACGAGCCGCGCGCGGCUCAUCCGACGGCUGUGACUGGAAAGCGGUCACGUGUUCCACCUAACUUUAAGAGCGCGCCGCGGGUAUCGGGCGCGCUCUUAAAGGGACAGUGGGUGCCUAAAUUGGAAAAGGCAUCCCAUUGGUCCCUGUCAUGCCACACUCCCCAUACACUUACCUUUUGGGGGCGUGGAUGUGACAGGGACCAAUCAAAUUAGAUGUUUAGGUAUUUAUACUCACCUUCUUCCCUCUGUUCCUUGCCCUAUCGUGGUUUCUGUAUCAGUUCCCUUUAGCGCUUGUUGUGUUCAGUUGUGUUUCUCCGUAUUGACCUUGGCUUUGUUUCUGACUACGUUUUCUCUUUAUCCUUCUGUUCUGGUUGUCGGCUUGUUGUUUACUGUGUACCAGACCCCGGCUUGUCCUAGUUUACGCUGUCUCUCUGUGCCCUUGAUUUCGGAUUGUUCCUGACUCUGUCUCCUCUCAUAUACGUCGAGUCCGGCCAUUCUAAGGUCCGGUAGACGUAUCUCUCCUCUGUGUUGUCUUUUGUUUAGCUGAAUCCUGCGUGUUGGGGUAUAUUCUCGUUACAAUAGAGUAGACGAAUGCUAUAGUAAUUCCAAUAGCUUCACAAGAUGAUUCCCUUAGUGAAACACACGAAUCCCCAAACAUCAGUCGAAGUCAAGAAGAAGGGUACAAAAUAAACUGGCUUUUAAUGGGUGCACACAAACAUUUAUGCAAGUCCCCAUGCAAGGGGACAGCCCUCAAGGAGGGACAAACAUUACCCAAUCACAUACUGUAAAAACAUAACACACACCCACAGUUCCCUCCCCUAGCUCUGGAGAUGUCUGAUAAAAGAAUAACUUAAUUAUCUCCAGGCUGAAAAAUCACUUUUUUUCCCCAAUAACUGGAACACCGCUUUAUACUUGGGGUAUCACCACAAAUGACAUGUCCCCUGAUAGCCCUGAUCUGGGUGACCAACAUAUCCGAAUUUCACACAGAUCGGUUCAGGAGUUCGCAAAAACUAUGGAGGUCUUCUGUGACCGGCUCACCCUGGGUUUUGCUGGUCACUUUAGAAAUAGGAGAAAACCGAACAAACUACCGAAUGGAUUCCCCUGGCUCUUAGCAGCGAUUGUUCCCCUCUGUCGAAUGCACCAAAAUAGCGCUCUUCUAGCUAUUCGGUAAGUGGAGUUCCAGCGUUCGUCUGUUUGGGACCGGUGUUUGGAAAGUCGAGUGUCCGAUUUCAGUUCCAUACACUCGACGACCAAGUCCCGCUGCCUUUGUUCACAUGAACAAAGAUGGCCGCGGUUUUCUCUGCCACGUGGUGUUCGGUAGUACGAACGCUGGCCGCACAGAGAGAGGCCUCAAUUGAAGUAGUCUUUGAUGCUUAAUGAGCCAGGGGGGUGGUCUUUGUUCGGUAGGUACAUCUACCGAAUGCAAAUAGGCAGAAAUAGUGUACAAAAGGGGAAUUUCUUCACAAUAUUAUUAUUCUCAAAACCGGAGACAGCAUGUUUUUAGGCCACAAUAGUAGAACUGGAAUGUAAAAAGACCUUCUGGCUCACCUAUUUUUGAGAGAAAAACAAGUAGCAAAAUAGGUGAGAAUGGACAACAGCUCAAUUAGCCUGCCCUUUGGUGGGUCCCCGUUCAGAUCUCAAGCUGGUUUUAGCUCAUCUAGCUCUAUUACAGAGAGAACAUAUCUGAAGCAUAUCAGACUGGUGCCACCCAUACGGGCAGUCCAGAUCCAAAAUGCCAGCAAGUUCUCUCUGCAUGAGAGAUACAGCAACCGCAGAUGAUUGUUCCAACCUUGUAAGGUAUCAUUAAUGAGGUAUAGCCUAUACCCCUCUAGGCACCGUUAGCAAAAUAUUUAGGUUUAGACUCGCCUAUUUUGGACAAAACUUUACAAUUCCCUUAUCGACUCUCCAGAAUUCCUGUUUUAGCAAAUUUCUUCAAACAUGUCCAGGGUUUUAGAAGGUAUCAUUACCUAAAUUAAAGGGACAAUCUAAGCAUGAGGACCACUACAUCUUAAUGUAGUAAUUUUGUUGUGUAGAUGCUGUCUCUUUUACUGUUUUUCCAGCACUGAGACUUCCUCAGUGCUACUGCCUCCUGUGACAUCAUCGUGGAGGCUUCCAAAAUGAAUGUCCGAUCCAGUGCUCCUCAUAGUGGAACUUAAGGAACAAGGUGCUUGUGAUGUAGGCGUCCAAUUAAAUGCUUUUCAUAGAAAACCAUUAAAUUCAAUGCUUUCCUACGAGCUGCAUUUGGUCACAUGACAGGGUUUAGCUCCCCUGUGGUACAGGACUGAGUGAGUUGGAGUACAGGCUGAAAAUUCGGCAUUUGCCCUGCGACUCAUUAGUAAGCACUAAACUGCCUUCGAGCGAUUUCUGGAGGUGCAGACCCAACACUCCUGUCCUGGAACUUACUCAUCCAAGUCCCAUGUAGCAGCUUUUCCACUUACCUGCCUGGAGCGCGGAACACUGCCUGCCUAGAGCCCGGAACUACAUGUCUUAGACGUCUGGAGUUUGGCAUUCCCUGUACAUGCAUUCCUAACUUUAACACAGCUUUGAGACAGAAGUAGUGUACUGCAUGAAAAACAUUAAGUAAAGCUGGACAGUUGUGGUUCUUUCUGAGUACUAUAGAUAAGACAUUCUCUCUUUUAUCACAUCCUUGCUUGGGAAUGAAUAGACAUUAUUGUGUUCUUGUGCGGAAAAGAAAAAAAUAACUCUUAAUAGAUAAGUAACCUAGUUUAGCUUGUGGAUUGAAGCACUGCCUUGGGUACUGCUUGUGCUACAGUAUUCACUGACAUCUUAGGAGCUGCUUCCCCAAUUUAUAUUUCAUUAACAAAAGUUGAUCAACAAAGGUAAUGCUUUUUAUGCUAACUCAUUAAAAGAACACUCAAUAGAAACAUAGAAUGUGACGGCAGAUAAGAACCAUUCGGCCCAUCUAGUCUACCCAAUUUUCUAAAUACUUUCAUUAGUCCUUGGCUUUAUCUUAUAUCUAGGAUAGCUUUAUGUCUAUCCCACACAUGCUUAUAUUCCUUCACUGUGUUAACCUCUACCACUUCAGCUCCAGACUGUAGGUAACCCAUUAUUUUAAUGCAUUGCAUAUUUAAUGCAUUUAAACAAAUCCACAAAAACAACCAAUCCAACUGUUAUCCAACCGUUAUGCUGCCAGGAGUACCCUGGCUCCCUAAAUAGUCAAACUGUUUGCUAAGAGUUUGACUUCUUACCUGGGGUCAGCUGGGCAUCGCUCCUUGUCUCCACUAUUUAACGAUGGAGAGCUGGAACCCUCUGCUAGGAGCUUCAGUUACUUCUACCGCACAAAACCUUGCCCUGCAAGGCCAGCUUGUUGGUUGUUACCUGCCUUGAGCUGUACCCUGCACCACUGGGCUUAGCUAAGAGCUGAGAGUUUCUGGCUCUUAUAGAAAUGGGGAGCAGAACCCAGUGCACUCCAGGUAAAACCCUUGGCAAACAGUUUAACUACUUACACCAUUCCAGGAGCCAUAACCACUUUAUAGCGCAAAAAUGAAUUGGUUUUAUUAUUCAUAUGGCUAGUGCUCAUAACAAUUAUUUAUAGCCUCGGAGCUGGAUCAGGGUAAAUGUUUUAUUUUUUAUUUUUUGUAAGUACAACAGUGCCUGUAUUGCCACAGCAGCAUCAGCAGGCUCAGUUUUCAUGGUCAUGAUAAAAACAAUAGUUUGGCAUUCCGGGUUUGCAUACAAAUAUAACAUAACCAAUUGACAGUUUAAGAUCUACGUAAAUGCUCAUUGAAUGUCUGGUGAAGGCGCUGUAAUUUGAUAAAAAGCUCAACAUUUGAUCCUAAAAAACAGUGGUGACUGUAAGUGUCUAGGUGUGUCCCUAGAGAUAAGGCAUCAUGGCAGCGCGCUAUUAGUGCCGCUGCGGCUAUAGCAUAAUUUGGAACUGCUAGCUGAGGAGCAGGUAGAGGUAGGAAUGUAGUGGUGUGACGGCUGGCCAAAAAGAGGGUCGAAAUAAGUAAACAAUAGCAUCUGGUAGAUCAAUGCUUUAAGAUGGAGAUAUGCGUGGUCGGUUAAAUAUUAUGGUGUUCGCAGUUAAUUGCCUGCUGUUUACGUUUAGUUUUUGAGGUCACUUCAGGUGUGUCCAGUGGCCAAGAUUACAUUACACCCGGGUCAGUUGAUUUUGAUCUGUACUUUGGUAUGGAAACUCCCGACCCUGGAUAGAUAUGAGGAUGUUGAGGAGACAUAAAUCCCUGUGGGUAACCCAGAGCAAGUGGAGGCUAAAUUGUAUAUUAUGGUGCAUGCACCUUGUAAUGCAUCUGGUAUCAGGGUCUCCUGAGUGAAUUCAGUAUGAUGGGCCUAAUGGUGCAGGUGAGCGUGUGUUGAUGCUUGUUCGGUUAUGUUAACCGGUUUUUGUUGUGCCUAUAAGGAAGGGCAUGUCUUAUGUGGGAAACAUCCUAGGUGUGCUAGCACGUUUCCAUGAAGUCCCAUUUAAGGGUACUGCCGUCGUGGUGGGUACCCGGUCAUACAAUCGUGUAGUGAUUAUGGUCCACUUCGGUUAUUGCGUAUACGAAUGUAGGGAUGCUACUGUGGGUUAUUGUGGCAUGUGUUUACAAUAUUUAUCUAAGAGCUGUACGUCGUAGGGAGAUAUCAUGUUAGAUGGGGAGACAGGGUUGAUCACUGCGCCCCUUAAAUCUAGACUUCUAUGCUGUUAUAUGUGGAGCACUUCGUAAAAUCUCAUAGGCUGUCGAUCGCUCGAUAUGUAAGGUGGACUAUCUAUGACCACCGCUUUGUUUUGAAUAUUUUUAUUGUUCUCACAAUAUAAUCGCAUAUAUCAAACUGAUUUGGGAUAAAGCAGGUAGUUGCCCGCGCAGGGGCAUAAGCAUCAAUAUAUAAUGAUGUAAGCAUUUUGUCGCCUACGCAGAGGCGGAUUUGGUAUUGCCUGUGUAACGUAAUGUAUUGGUUCAUAUUCGGUUGCUUGUGGUUCAUAUUUGUAUUGAAUAUUUAUUAUUGUUAUCACAACAUAUAAUUAAAGCCUGUAACCACUAUAAGAAGCUUAGGUGUAUGUCAUCAUUGUGACGUCGGGUGCUAAGCAAUCGGUAAUUCCCUGCAAAGUUAGAACUGUAACAUAACGGUCUGACUACAUAGGUAUAGCCGAGUCUAAAAAGUUCGCCAAGCAUAUGUGUAACGUAUCCUCAUGUAGCAGUGUAUUUUUGUAGCCAUUCGAGCUGUCAGCGAUGCCCUUUUUGUGUGUCCCCUAUAUGUACUCACUAUCUAGGCCCAUGGGCGUAAUAAGAAACAUUUUAUUUUCUGCAUGGGCCGUACAUGCUUGUCCUAUCUGGUUAGCGCUCUAAACGUACGGUACAUCUGUGCUUAAAACUUGGCUUUUAACUAUUAAACAUUAGGAUGCACAUAGCUGAGGGCCUUAUUUGUAGUUAAUAAAUUAUGGCAUAUGUUUCUUGUCAUUAAUUAAGCGGUGAUAGGUAGCGCAGUGUUAAGUAGCUAUUAGCAUUGUGACAUUGCCUUAUCAACUGCACAUCAGGCAUGCUGUGAAAUAUAUGUACCAAUAUUAAAGAGUGUAUCCUAUGUACAGCUGCUUAUGCACAUGGAAACAUUAGCGUGGUUAGCUCUAACAAAAUUAAUUUACACUUUUAGCAUAUUAGUCCCUUCGCUGGAGGGGGCGUAAUGGCGCCUGGCACGAUGAAGCCUUCUGAAGCGAAAUUGACAGCCUCCUUCGUAGCUUUUGUUCCCUCUGGUAUGACCUCCCCAUGGCUACCUCUGAAGGGUACUGCACCUGGUGGGUCAGUUGUACCCCCCUGAGUCUCUCCGGUUCCCCCGGGUGUGACAGUCCCAUCCCUUUUCCACCCCAAGGUGUGCUUCCAUGUCUUUAGGGGGCACCACCCCCGCUGUGGGCACUCGGAGACCGGAGUUGUCCGGCGGCCUCCCCACCUUAGAGUCCACUGGGCUCCCGCCUCCUGCACCUCCCCAGCUUCGGCAGGGCCUCCCCGGGGCCCCUUCCCUGUCUUGCCUCAUCCUCCACUGGCCACUUACAUGUUGCCGGCGCGUGCCCUCCGGCCGCCGGUCCGCCGUAGGCCCGCGCUUCUCAGCUCCAUCGGGCUCACAGUGUUGGGGGCUGUUUUCUCCCGGACCACCACCUAAUCCGGGGCUCUCCAUCGGCACGUCCGCCGCCCAUGGGGGUCCAGUCAUGGUCCGCCGUCCCAGAGGUCUCGGUAUCUCAGCGCGGGGUCUCUGCUGCGUGUGUGUGAGUCGCCUCGUGGUGCAGUGUGAGUACUGUGUAUCAGUCGGCCAUUGUAGCUCCGCAUACAGGAGCGUCAUGCUCCGGGCAUGCCUCCUUCUCCAGCCUCCGAAGUUCAGACUUUGGGCCGGGAUCACCCCCCUGGCCAGGUGGGGGGGAGCGGGGCCGGGCCAGGUCUCCCGCGCCUUACUUGCGCGCCGUGGGUCCGUCUCAUGUAGCGCGGUUGAGGCCUCAGGCGUCGUUUUGUGAGCCGGGUGUUCAAUAUGUGCUUUAGCGUUGCACUCCCCGGUUCCUCUCCGCCUGAUUUCCUCUAUGGUUUCGGUUUUCGGCAGGUAUCGUGGGUAUUUUAAGAGUUACAGGCUGUUUUAUGCUCUUCUCUGCCGGAGCCGGCGUGGGUUGCAGCCGCUCGGCGGCCCGGCCCCGCCCCCCAUGACCACCGCUUUGUACGUGUCUCCCCCGACAUAGGAGCAGAUGAUGUCUCAAGUGAGGCACGUGUAGAGAAAUGUAGGCAACAAGUGUUUGUAAAUAAAUGUUUUUAACUUAUUUUUUUACCAUUUUAUUUUUUUGAUGUGGGGCCUGCUUACAAAUAGGGACAGGGACACUAUAGCGUUAGAUGUACAGAUUUGUGUUCUUAAUGCAAUAGAUAUUGUUGGGCAAGCUUUUUUGGCUAAAACAUUUUUCCAUGUGUCCAAAUGGCAGUGAUCACAAUUGGGUAGUUUACCUUUCCUCUCUCCCUCACAGGGCAGAUAGCAUUGUAAAGGUGACAAAAACAAAAUGCAGUCCCCACCCCAACUCUCCACCCCUCCUAUUCAAAUGAUAUUUAUUUUAUUUUUAUUUUUGAAAUCAUGACUGCUGCUUGGACUAUGAAAAAUGAAAUUUACAAUGAGUUAAUUUUUUCCCCAUACGUCCAGCAUCCAGUCUCUCACUCUACUUAACGCGUUUCGCCUGGGUUGGGGCUGCUUCAGAACUUCUGAAGAAGCCCCAACCCGGGCAAAACGCAUUAAGAACUUCUGAAGAAGCCCCAACCCAGGCGAAACGCGUUAAGAGUGAGAGAAUGGAGGCUUGACUUUUAUAUAGAGAUUUUAUUAUAUUAUUAUUUUUUUAAUAAAGUUGCAGUUUUUUCCUAUUCCUCUCUUUGGUUUACUUUUUGUUCCUGGUGCACUUUGGAUCCUGCCCAUAUCCCUUGGUGGGGAUUAUACAACCAUAAGCUUUCAUCACCAGAACAAGUUAUUGCUCUGGAAAUCGUAAGUAGGAUACUUACUUUUCUAUUUAUCAAUAUUUUAUAGUACAUACUACACCAUUGGAUUUUAUUUGUGCUCUUGUUUUUAUGUACGGCUGUGGAGCUUUAGAUAUUACAUCCCACCAUUAUCCCUAUUUCCCAAGACGGGGAUUAUACCGUCCAGGCGCCAUACGGCUCCCACAAUCCCCAGCACAGGAACCGCGAGGGAGCAUGGUACAGAAACAUGCUCCUCCCUCCUCCUUCUUCACUCCUCAGCCAUCAGUGACCGGAGGAGGGCCGCCGGACCGGUGAGGCUGCCACCCGGCCCGGCGGCUCCAGAGUGGCAUGCAGCCGGCCCCCUGACUCCUCUAAGGUAAAUGGGAGGGGGAAGAUGGGAAUAAAGAGACACAAGGGGAGGGGGGAUAUAAAAUAGAGGGGGAAAGAGACAAAGGGGAGAGAGAUGUGGGGGAGAGACAGGGGGAAAGGGUGGGAGAAAGACGGGGAAAGGAUAGAGAGACACAAGGGGAGGGGGAUAAAGAGACAGGGGGAGAGGAUAGAGACACACAAGGGGAGGGGGAGAAAGAGACAGGGGAAAGGAUAGAGACACACAAGGAGGGGAUAAAGAGACAGGGGAGAGGAUAGAGACACACAAGGGGAGGGGGAGAAAGAGACAGGGGAAAGGAUAGAGACACACAAGGAGGGGGAGAAAGAGACAGGGGAAAGGAUAGAGACACACAAGGGGAGGGGGAGAAAGAGACAGAGGGGGAAAGGAGAGAGACACACAAGGGGAGGGGGAGAAAGAGGCAGAGGGGAAAGGAGAGACACAAGGGGAGGGGGAGAAAGAGACAGAGGGGGAAAGGAGAGAGACGACAAGGGGAUGGGGAGAAAGAGACAGAGGGGAUAGGAGAGAGACGCACAAGGGGAGGGGGAGAAAGAGGCAGAGGGGGAUAGGAGAGAGACGCACAAGGGGAGGGGGAGAAAGAGGCAGAGGGGGAUAGGAGAGAGAUGCACAAGGGGAGGGGGAGAAAGAGGCAGAGGGGGAUAGGAGAGAGACGCACAAGGGGAGGGGGAGAAAGAGGCAGAGGGGGAAGGAGAGAGACGCACAAGGGGAGGGGGAGAAAGAGGCAGAGGGGGAAAGGAGAGAGACGCACAAGGCAACAGGGCAAUUCCCCCCCACGAGGCUCUCCCCUGCCAGCCAAUUUCCCUCCCCGUUCCACAGGCACAGUGCGGCACACAGUGCCCCCCAUACACACACUGCCCCCACACACACCAUACAUACAGGGAGUGCAGAAUUAUUAGGCAAAUGAGUAUUUUGACCACAUCAUCCUCUUUAUGCAUGUUGUCUUACUCCAAGCUGUAUAGGCUCGAAAGCCUACUAGCAAUUAAGCAUAUUAGGUGAUGUGCAUCUCUGUAAUGAGAAGGGGUGUGGUCUAAUGACAUCAACACCCUAUAUCAGGUGUGCAUAAUUAUUAGGCAACUUCCUUUCCUUUGGCAAAAUGGGUCAAAAGAAGGACUUGACAGGCUCAGAAAAGUCAAAAAUAGUGAGAUAUCUUGCAGAGGGAUGCAGCACUCUUAAAAUUGCAAAGCUUCUGAAGCGUGAUCAUCGAACAAUCAAGCGUUUCAUUCAAAAUAGUCAACAGGGUCGCAAGAAGCGUGUGGAAAAACCAAGGCGCAAAAUAACUGCCCAUGAACUGAGAAAAGUCAAGCGUGCAGCUGCCACGAUGCCACUUGCCACCAGUUUGGCCAUAUUUCAGAGCUGCAACAUCACUGGAAUGCCCAAAAGCACAAGGUGUGCAAUACUCAGAGACAUGGCCAAGGUAAGAAAGGCUGAAAGACGACCACCACUGAACAAGACACACAAGCUGAAACGUCAAGACUGGACCAAGAAAUAUCUCAAGACUGAUUUUUCUAAGGUUUUAUGGACUGAUGAAAUGAGAGUCAGUCUUGAUGGGCCAGAUGGAUGGGCCCGUGGCUGGAUUGGUAAAGGGCAGAGAGCUCCAGUCCAACUCAGACGCCAGCAAGGUGGAGGUGGAGUACUGGUUUGGGCUGGUAUCAUCAAAGAUGAGCUUGUGGGGCCUUUUCGGGUUGAGGAUGGAGUCAAGCUCAACUCCCAGUCCUACUGCCAGUUCCUGGAAGACACCUUCUUCAAGCAGUGGUACAGGAAGAAGUCUGCAUCCUUCAAGAAAAACAUGAUUUUCAUGCAGGACAAUGCUCCAUCACACGCGUCCAAGUACUCCACAGCGUGGCUGGCAAGAAAGGGUAUAAAAGAAGAAAAUCUAAUGACAUGGCCUCCUUGUUCACCUGAUCUGAACCCCAUUGAGAACCUGUGGUCCAUCAUCAAAUGUGAGAUUUACAAGGAGGGAAAACAGUACACCUCUCUGAACAGUGUCUGGGAGGCUGUGGUUGCUGCUGCACGCAAUGUUGAUGGUGAACAGAUCAAAACACUGACAGAAUCCAUGGAUGGCAGGCUUUUGAGUGUCCUUGCAAAGAAAGGUGGCUAUAUUGGUCACUGAUUUGUUUUUGUUUUGUUUUUGAAUGUCAGAAAUGUAUAUUUGUGAAUGUUGAAAUGUUAUAUUGGUUUCACUGGUAAUAAUAAAUAAUUGAAAUGGGUAUAUAUUUGUUUUUUGUUAAUUUGCCUAAUAAUUAUGCACAGUAAUAGUCACCUGCACACACAGAUAUCCCCCUAACAUAGCUAUAACUAAAAACAAACUAAAACUACUUCCAAAAAUAUUCAGCUUUGAUAUUAAUGAGUUUUUUGGGUUCAUUGAGAACAUGGUUGUUGUUCAAUAAUAAAAUUAAUCCUCAAAAAUACAAUUUGCCUAAUAAUUCUGCACUCCCUGUAUUCACACACUGCCCCCCAUACACACAUUGCCACAUACACACAUUGCCCCACACACCCUACACAUUCACACACUACACCCCCCUCACACACAUACACUGAACCUUUCACACACACUGCACCCCUCACACAUUGCACCACUGCUCCUAUACCCUACUACAGCCCCAUAUCCCAGCAGACCCCAGAUAAGUUGUCAAACUGUUCUUAAACGGUUUGACUACUUACUCUGGGAGGGGGUCCCGGCACUCCUGCACCAUAACCACUACACAGAGCAGUAGUGGUUAUUGUGCAUGGAUUAUUUCUUUAAAUAAUCUACAAGUGCCCCUCCCGGGAUCAGGCUCUGGAUCCACCACUGGUAUAUGACAUGUAUAUUAAUGUGUAUUAGUUUUAUUUAUAUAUAUAUAUAUAUAUAUAUAUAUGUACGCCUAUUAUAUUUACACAUAUAUUAAUGUACAUUUAUAUUUGCAUAAUACACAGAUAAAUGUCAUUAAUAUGUACCAUUUGUAAUGAGCAGAUAUUGUCCCAGUCUUGUUGCUAGAUGCAGACUCCAUCACAAUAACAUAUUUAAAGUGAAGAGCGCACCCACAGGACUUCAAAAUAAACAAGAUAACGUCAGUUUUUUACAGUUGUGCCCUACGUACAUUCACCAUUUCAGUCCCAUUACCAAGCUUUCCUUAAUAUGUCAAGGUAGUUGGACUGAAACAUUGAUUACAUGCAAAGGCACGUCUGCUUAAAAUAAAUCUGCACUUUUGUUUAUUUUAAAGCCUAUGAGUGCGCUUUUUUUUAACGUUGGAGUAAUAAUUUUUAAUUUUAAGUUCUCUUUUCUAACUCUGUAUCUGCACACUAUGCUGGCGCGACACAUUAUGGGGCUGGUAAAUAUUUUUUUUCCAGGGCUGCUUUUAAUUCCCAGUCCGGCCCUGACUGUCAUCCAGUAGGGGCCAUAUAAGCCACCAACAGCUAAGCUAAAUCUUCUUUCUUUGCUGCUCAACUGGCUCAAAUAAGUAGUAUUUAUUGUAUGUUCAUUGUAUUGAUCUCUAUUUUGUUGCUGUUCUCGUACAGCUUCAUUUUUUUUUUCUUGGAUGUUUUUUUGGUCCCUGUGACCUAACCCAUCAUGCUCUGUUUUCACUAUUUUUCCUUGUGGUAUUUUUUACACUUGCACUUUCUCCUCUCUCGUGUUCCAUUUUUCAGACGACAUCUCUUAUAUCCUUGUGGCAUUUUGGUAUUUUCCCUUCUUCUUCUAUGUUUGUGCCAUUAGUUUUGGUGACCUGCAUUCUCCCUGUAUGUCAAUGUUGCAAUUUGUGAGAUUUUGCUCAGAGCAACCCUUUUACCUGCCCAAAUCCUGUCAGUCCUCACUGGGUUUUGCCUUCCUUUGCAGACAUCUGUGGUUUGGUUUUGUCGGUUUCAAAGUUAGAUUGCACCAAUUUAUUUCAUUUUCACAGUACUUUUGUUUUUUUCUUUAGCAGUUUUUUUCUUUAGUUCAAAUUAGUAUUCGCUGUUUUAUUAUUAUAUUUGUGACUAAUUAUAAAAGUUUUUUCCUAAAAUUAUGGCGAAUAAGGACAUACUUAAAUGGACACUAUAGUCACGAAAACAACUUUUGCUUAACGAAGCAGUUUUGGUGUAUAGCUCCUGCCCCUGCAGUCUCACAGCAUGUUGUUUAAAGGACCACUCUAGGCACCCAGACCACUUCAGCUUAAUGAAGUGGUCUGGGUGCCAGGUCCUUCUAGGGUUAACCCAUUUUUUAAUAAACAUAGCAGUUUCAGAGAAACUGCUAUGUUUAUGAAUGGGUUAAGCCUUCCCCCUAAUCCUCUAGUGGCUGUCUCAUUGACAGCCACUAGAGGCGCUUGCGUGCUUCUCACCGUGAUUUUCACAGUGAGAGCACGCCAGCGUCCAUAGGAAAGCAUUAUGAAUGCUUUCCUAUGUGACUGGCUGAAUGCGCGCGCAGCUCUUGCCGCGCGUGCGCAUUCAGCCGACGGGGAGGAGAGGAGGAGGAUCGGAGGAGGAGAGCUCUCCGCCCAGCGCUGGAAAAAGGUAAGUUUUAACCCCUUUCCCCCUUCCAGAGCCGGCGGGAGGGGGUCCCUGAGGGUGGGGGCACCCUCAGGGCACUAUAGUGCCAGGAAAACGAGUAUGUUUUCCUGGCACUAUAGUGGUCCUUUAAUUUAGAAUUUCUUAUCUCCUGCUCUGUUAAUAGCUUGCUGGACCCUGCAGAAGCCACCUGUGUGUGAUUAAAGUUCAAUUUACAGAGGAGGAGAUAAAAACUUCUAAAAUAAGAGGUUAACACAGUAAAGGAGUUUAAGCAUGCGUGGGAUAGGCAUAAGGCUAUCCUAACUAUAAGAUAAGGCUAGGGACUAAUGAAAGUAUUUAGAAAAUUGGGCAGACUAGAUGGGCUGAAUGGUUCUUAUCUGCCGUCACAUUCUAUGUUUCUAAGUUGCAUCUGAUUGGAAAUUAAACUAUGUUGUUUUAAUGCAGGCUGUGUCAGUCACAGCCAGGGGAGAUAUGGCUAGGGCUGCAUAAACAGAAAUAAAAGUGAUGUAACUUCUAAAUGGUCGUGAAUUGAGAAGUGAAACUUCAGAGGCAUGAUCUCGACAUAAAAACUGCGUCAUUAAGCUAAAGUUGUUUUGGUGACUAUAGUGUCCCUUUAAGGAUAUCAGUUCAGAUUAUUUUUGAUGCAUCUAUAAAUCAAACCGUUUCUAAUGCUAUGUCUUCUAUGCCAAAGUCUUUUAAGAAAUCUGUGGAUUUUGCCUUGGCUAGGGCUAUGCAAUUGAAUACCUAACCUGCUACUCUCUCAUUUCUGCUAUGUGAAGGAAUCAGAAAGAAAAUUAUCCAAAAGUUUUACUCAUUUUGGGAAAGGCCACCCAGAAACAAAAACACUGUGACUGUCCUAGCAUCUAUGAAAAAUGACCUAGACAGCAUUUAAUUUAACUAUUUAAACCAACCAGUGAUUUAACUAAUUUGGAGCAGAAGAGUAAGGUUAAUAAUUUAUUUGAACAAUAUACUCGUCACAACGCUCAAAUGCAUACACAUAUUUAAUGGACAAUAUCUUCUAACAGAAUUUGGUUUCAUUUUCUAUUACAAAAGAUUAAUUCUCAACAUCAGCCAAAUCAUAGACCUAGUAGAUUGCAGUUUACUGAAUUGGAAACUUAAGUCUGUCAGUCAAAAAAAAAUCAGAUGUCUUUUUAAAAAUGAUCUGAUUUUGUUUGCAUUCUCUGACUUGUAUGGUGGGCCUCUUGGCUUUCUCCAUUCAAGCCAUAUUCCCAUCCGCUCUCACACCUUAAGGACACAUGACAUGUGUGACAUGUCAUGAUUCCCUUUUAUUCCAGAAGUUUGGUCCUUAAGGGGUUAAAUUAAAGGGUCACACAAGACCCCUAAAGCACUUUAUCUUGCUGAAAUGCUUUGUGUGUGAAGAGUGUGUCCUCUUACAAGCAGACAACAGCUUAUGUUACUUCCUGGUUUGGUUAGCUCAGUAGAGCUAAACACAAGAGUCCGACAAUUGCUCAGAGCACCUGCCUUGCAAAGACUUCUUGUUAAGCUGCAUUGGGAAGUCUGUGAUUGGACAGCCACAGUAAGUCUGGGCAGGGUUAGAAGGGAAGGGUUGCAAAGACAGCAGACAAGAGAACUGCAGGUUUUGCAAGCGUUUUUUUUUAGAUAUACUCUUAAUGAAAAAAUGCAUAAUGAAAUACAUGCAAAUCUUUAUAUGGGGUAUAACUACUAAACAGUGAUUGUUAUUCCCCUCAAUUUAGAGGCAAAAGCAGAGCUUUGGCAUCCGGUUCUAUAAACUUCUGCUUUAGAUGCUUUUAUUCAAUAAUUUUCCUGAGGGACCAAUUAUGAUUUUUCUCCAUUUGUUCCAAUUCCUCAGGUCUUAACUAAAUUUUCAGCCAAUGGCAGCUAUUCUCCUGGUGGUUGACACAACAGUGAUUCCCAUGGUUGAUGGCAAUACUAGUGGAUAUUCUAAGACUUCUUCCCCUGUUCAAUCAUGUUUUGACGGAUCCUUUCAGAUAUCCACAUCAUAUUAGUUAAGGACAUUUGCAUAUUUACAAGCAUUAGAGAUGUAUUGUCAGAUGUUUGGGCACCAGGAACUGGCAUCUAUGGCUUCUUCGGUGCUUGACCAUUUCUUCCACAUGUUGAACUUUCUUUCACAUUCUUUUGAUUUGGGAAUAGCAUAUUGGCCUAUCAUACUGAUGGGUUAUAUUCCGAUUGAUAAUAUGGGAGUAGAGAAACACCCUUUAGUAAAUUAAUGAGUCAUCCAUCUUCAGAUACCCCUUUGCCCUAAAUAAAGUGAAACAUUGGAUGCUAAAUUCUUGGGACAAUAUUAACAUCUUAUCUCUCAAACUACACUUCUCCUAUAAAAGAAGUUUAAGAGUCUGAUAUGUUGGCUUUAGAUAUUUCCCAUUACAGUUUAUACUGCACUGGGCCCAGUUUCAAAUGACUAAAACCAGUAGUCAAUCAGUGUUCUAUACUGCCCAGACCAUUCUCAUGUGUAAUACAAUGUUUAAAAUGUUAAGAAUCCAGAACAUCCUUCCUAAGACAUACCGAUAAACCAAAAUGAAUUCAUUUAUAUUGUAAAUCUUAUCUAUCCGAUUCCACACUAAUUCUAGCUAGAUGCGACCAUAAUACUAUGUCUGUAGCUGGCAUUGACAUAACCAAAUGUUGGGCUCAUUCUGUGUCCACAAAACAUAUCAAGCUAGGGGUUCCCAAUUUGAAGGCUGCUCAUUGGUCCUCGGAUUCUACCCGUAAAUGAUUCUAUUUUCGUCCUGUUUCCAUGAUUAUACUGUCAUAGUGAUAUAUGUGUAUAUUAAUCAUAGUUUUCAAUGUACAUAAUAGGAGCCUCCUGUCUGCAAUAAAGUUUUCACAUUUUCCCUUGUCUGUGGAUAGGAUAAUAUAGAUUUUUUUUUUUUAUUAAUGACAGGAGGCAAGUGUUUUCUCUCCCAAUAUUAACCCUCCCUUUGUUCUCUUUCCUUUUCUUCAGCAGUUUAACAGAUGAAAACAGAUUUAUACUUUUCUGUUUUGGGAUUUUCAGUUACUUAGUACUUUCACAUAACUGUCUGAGACAAAUGGAGUGCAGUAUUUCAAGGAACACUACAGCAUUAAGAAUACCUAUGGGUGGCCGCCCCCUCACUGUUAGGGAUUAAAAGGAAUUACUUACCUUAACACCCUCGCUGCACUUGUCUCUGUGUAGAUGCUCUGCUUCCAAGAUUGAUGAUUUAAGCCAAUUCAGUGUUUCCCCAUAGGGGAAUAUUAGGAGGCUUGUGCGCAUGUAUGGCAAAAUCAUCCAUAGAAGAGUUUAACUCUUCUAUGAAGGUGGAAGCACUAUAGAAACUUCUAUGUAAACACUGCAAACGGAACUAUUUUACAUUACAGGGCUAAAUUGAAAGAUCCAUUGCACUGUGACCACUUCAUGGAGAUGGAGUGGCCUGGGUGACUUUAGUUCUGUUUAGGUUCUGCUGUUCCAUGCUACUUGACAAGCAAAGAUUACAGCAUUCUAAAACUAUUAGAGGGAAACUAUAGUUACCAGAACAACUACUACUUAUGUAGUUGUUCUGGUGAGUAUAAUCAGUCCCUGUUGGAUUUUUGCAGUAAAUAUUGUCUUUUCAGAGAAAAGGCAGUGUUUACAUUACAGCCUAGGGACGCCUCCAGUGGUCACUCUUCAGAUGGCUACUAGAGGUGCUUCCUGGGGCAGUGCUGCACAGUAUGCAUCACUGACAUUCAGGGUCUCCACCCUCUGCAUGGAGACACUGAACUUUCCUCAUAGAUAUGCAUUGAUUCAAUGCAUCUCUAUGAAGAGAUGCUGAUUGGCCAGUGUGGCAGAUCAGGGGCAGAGCUGGCACCAGCAAACUAGAAUAAAGGUAAUAUUUUACUAUGUUUACAGGGCCAGGGGGGCUAGAUAGUUUUUUGGGUUUUUUUUUUAACACUAUACUGUCAGCAAUACAUGUUUGUGUUUAUGACCCUAUAGUGUUCCUUUAACUGAAUAAUGAAAACUAAAAUAAAUUCUUAUGCAGUAUCCUCUUCUGAAGUCUAGUGCAGCCUGAAGUGUUACUAAAUAUUUGAAAAAGGUGAUUGGAAACCCAUUACAAGUGUGUUGAAAUAAGCAAACAGAAAUGUGUAAUUUACAUACCUGAAAAGUGAACAUAACUAAUUUUAUUAUUUAUUAAAAUCUAUUUUUAUUCAUGCAAAGUUUGAUAGUUCGGGUUAUCUUAUUUUUCUUCUUUACUACCACCAACACCACCACAAAUGAGUCAAUACUCUCAGUUGCGUUUUCACUUUAAGGGACACUAUAGUCACCAGAACAACUGCAGCUUAAUGUAGUGGUCUGGUGAGUAUAAUCAUUAUAUGCAGGCAUUUGCAUGCAAACAGUAUCUUCAGAGAAAAGGCAGUGUUUACAUUGCCCCUAGGGACACCUCCAAGUGGCCACUCCUCAGAUGGCCACUGGAAGUGCUGCUUCCUGGCUCAGUGCUGCACAGUAGGCAGCUCUGCUGUUCAGCGUCCCCGCGCUCUGCAUGGGGAUGCUGAAUUUUCCUCAUAGAAAUGCAUUGAUUUCUCAGUGUCCCUUUAAGCUUUAUCAGGAGAGAUUUUGUAAUCUUGUAAGAACUUAUGACCCUCUUACAAUGUUAUUCUUUAGGGAAUGUGUGACAAAUAAGAUACAAAUACAACAAAAAGUGUUGUAUUGUUAAUAUUGAUUUAGGUCACUGUAAAUACUGUAUGUGAACAAUACACAUUAAAAACUCAUCCUGUCCAAUAGAUACAUAUAAAAAGGGCAAUAAAUGAAGAUUUUCUCCUUGCGAUUUCAUCUUGGGGCACCAGUAUCUUACCAUGGCACUUCUGCUUGCUGCACUCUUCUCCCCAAGACACAACUGAUUCUUUUGCAGUCCUGACUAGGUAUCCCGGAAUUCUUUGUCCCUCUUAAAAGUAGUUUAUUCAGCCCCCCUUUUCCAGAGAGUUUUGUCUUUACAUAAGCUUUUCUCUUUGAUCUGCUUCCCCAGUUACACUAGAACAUUCUGUAAGAAGUGACCAGUUAGGGUGGGUUUCUGGGUAGAAUGGCAGCAGGCAUAGACUGCUUUAGAGACAGGAUUGCUUGAGAAAACACAUAUUUGCAUUGUUACACCUAAAUAUUAAUUUCUUUGAUGUUCUGAUCUCCUGAUAACAUGACUCUUGCAACCUUUACAAUAAAGAUGUACACAUUACUUCUUACAUAUCUGUAAGAAAAAUCUAAGCAAACCAUCUAUGUUGUACGCUUUGAUGACAACUUAUUUUGAUAUGUAAAUGACGUUCCAUUGUGAAAUCAGAUAGCCUUUCUUAGUUUAUUACACACCAAACCUCCACAAAAUCAUAUGUCCAUAUUUUAAAUAAAAAAUAACAUUUUUAAAGGCAACCCAUUUAUACAUUCUGACAUGUUCCAUAUUGAAGUCUAAGCAAGCUAAAUUUGACUGAAGCAUGAGGAUGUUAAAAAUGCUUGUCAGAAGCUCAUUUGAAAAGGAUAAUGUACUCUUGAUAUAAUAUGAUGUUCUCUGUGAACAGGUCUUUUGUGGUAUGCUGUUUUGUUACACAUGAGAUUAGUGUACCUUUACAGGACUGUUUUUGAAUCAAGGCAUUCAUUGCUAUAGAGCAAGGGUAGGCAACCAUUGACAUUCCAGAUGUUGUGGACUACAUCUCUCUUAAAGCCUUGCAAGCAUUAUGACUGUAAGAGCACGACAAAAGAUUUAGUCCACAACAUCUGGAGUUCCAAAGAAGAUUUCUGGAAGAUCCUUUGUUGGCUAUACAUUAUGAUUGUAGAACUCUGCAAAAGAUAAACUGUUGUUUUAAACUCAUCAGGGUAAUACUUGGCUUUGAACUUUGCUAUUCAACAAGCUGGAAUUUUUUGGGGCCCUCGAUCUGGAAUUUCCAUAGACCGUAUCGUGUUACAUAAUUUAGUUUCAUGUGGGAUGACAUAUCAAGCUUAAAAGUUCGGCAAGUAAUACUCAAAUACUAAGUUUAUAUUUGUGCCAAUCGAUAGGUCUUUUUUUUAACCUUCUUUUUAAUCCUGAUCGAGGCUUCUUUUAAACAGCAUACUUUCUCCUCUCCUUCCAUGUCUUCCAGUGUUGGAUGUUUCUGAAGCUCUAUUGUGCACACUGGCGGAUCCAGGGGGGGGGCAACGGGGCAAUUGCCCCCCCCGAGAAAUCCGCCGGUCUCCCUCUCCCUCCCCUGUCAGCACAUGCAGGUGCUAGCCCUGCAAUGUGCCUGCGGACCGGAGGGGAGAUCAUAGAUCUCCCUCCCCGGUCCGCAGGCACUGUGCUGACAGCCGGCAGGGGAGGGAGAGGGAGGACCCGGGAGCUCAGUCUGCAGCUCCUCCGGGUCCUCCUCUCGCGAGAUUUGGAGCGUUGCCAACGCUCCAAAUCUCGCGAGAGUGAACUCUAGCCCGGGAGCGCGGGCUAGAGUUCACUGUAACCACUGGGACCACCAGGGAAUCACCACUGGGACCACCAGGGAAUCACCACUGGGACCACCAGGGAUGAAAAUAUGUCCCCCCUCCUCCUCAAUAAAGGUAAGAAGGGAGGGGGGACAUAGAAUAUUUGUUUUUUUUAAUUAAAUAAAGAUAUAAAUUAUAAAAAAAGCCCCCCCACCCUUAACACACACACACACAUAGCCCCCAUACUGCCCCCCCAUACACAUACUGCCCCCCCAUACACACAUACUGCCCCACAUGCUGCCCCCCCAUGCUGCCCCCCCAUACACAGCCACAUACUGACCUCCCACAUGCUGCCCCCCUAUUCACACAUACUGCCCCCAUACACAUACUGCCCCCCAUACACACACACAUACUGCCCCUCUAUACACACACAUACUGCCCCCAUGCUGCCCCCAAACACACAUACUGCCCCCAUACACACACAUACUGACCCCUAUGCUGCCCCCAUUCACACAUACUGCCCCCAUACACACACAUAUUGACCACCAUGUUGCCCCCUAUUCACACACAUACUGCCCCUAUUACACACAUACUGCCCCCCAUGCUGCCCCCAUACAUAUUACUGCCCCCCCCCAUACACACAUACUGCCCCCCAUACACACAUACUGCCCCCCACACACACAUACUGCCCCCAUGCACACAUACUGCCCUCAUACACACAUACUGCCCCCUAUACACACACACUGCCCCCAUACACUGCCACCCCAUACACACACAUUGCCCACAUUCACACACACACUGCAACUGUUACACACACAUACUGUCCCACACAUACACUGCAUCCCUGACAUACACUGCCGCCCUCACUCACACACCACAACCUUCACACACACACACACUGCUCACACACUGUCCCCCUCACACACACAUACACACACACUGCACCCCUUACACAUUGCACCCCUCACACACACCACUGCUCCUAUGCCCUACUACAGCCCCAUUUCCCAGCAGACCUCAGGUAAGUUGUCAAACUGUUCUUAAGCGGUUUGACUACUUACUCUGGGAGGGGGUCCCGGCACUAUUGACACCAUAACCACUACACUGAGCUGUAGUAGUUAUUGUGUCUGGAUUAUUUCUUUAAAUAAUCUACAAGUGCCCCUCCCGAGAUCAGGCUCUGGAUCCGCCACUGGUGUUGGUUACAUUAACCAGAUGUUCAUCCAAAAUAGGCUUUCCCUGUAAAAAAAAUGCAGUAUUACAAACCAUUGGAUGUUAGACAUACAGGACAAAAAAUGGACUACAUCCAGAGGCUUCAUGGAAAGCAUUGUUGCAAGCAAACUCUGCCCAAGGCAGCAGGAUAGCUUAAUCAUCUUGGUGCUUCGAGAUAAAACAGUAAGUACUGCUGGAGGGAUUGACUGGCACGUUUUAGAGCUCCAUUAGACUGGGGAUGGUAAGCGGAAUGAAAAGACAAAACAAUACCCAUUUCUGAACAAAAGGCCUCAGAAAAAUGAGAAAAACUGGCUACCGCAAUCAAAUACAAUCUCUUCUGCAAUGCCACGUAUAAGGAAUAACUCUUUGCUGAAGGUAUCUGCUAAUUCUCAAGCAGACAGCAAUUUAGGAAGUGGUACAAAAUGACCCAUUUUAGAAAAAUAGUCUGUUAUUAUUAGUAUCACAGUACAUCCAUUGUAACAGGGCAGGUCUACUAUAAAACAUCUAUAGCUAUAUGGAACCAUGGUUUGUUGGGCAUAGCUGUAGUCAGCCACAGGGCAAUUUAUGAAAGACUUUAACCCUAGCACACACAUCACACACUUGUAUAUACUUUGUCAUCCUUACACAAGAAGGGCCACUAAAAUAUGCAAGAUGGAGUGAAUAUGGUUUUAGACACACCUGGAUGUCCUGCUGCUUUAGUAUCAUGAAAGAAAGACAUCAAGGUCUAUUUUAUGGGUCUCUUAUCUACGUGAUUAUGUAGCCUAUUUGAAUGACAACCUCACAUAACUAAGUCAGAAUCUUGUGGUCAUUUAGAAUGAUUACUUGGUAUUUGGAACCUUCGAGCAAGUGCCUCCUUUUCAUAAGAGCACAAACAAUAGCUAGUUGUUGUCAGUCCAUAUGUCACAACUUCCUGGAGAAAACCCCUUAUUGGUGUGAGGGCUUGUCCGAGGAUUCUCUUUGCUACAAGACUGCUCCCACCCCUAUCUCAGAUACAUCCACUUCUUAUAUAAAGGGUAAGUAGGGGUCAGGAUAGUGAAGAAUAGAAGCAAACACAAAGGCCUGCUUGAGAGUAUGAAACGCAUCAAUGGCCUCUAAACAGGGCCGGACUGGGGAUACAAAGCAGCCCUGGAAAAAAAAUUUGUGCCAGCCCCAUAAGUCACUGCGCCAUAUAUUGUCGCGUGUAAUAUGUAAGGCUAUGUCUUGCCAGGACAGAUGAUUGAGUUAUAUAUAUAUAUAUAUAUAUAUUGCUUUUUCUAAUAUAAAAUAUUGGUCCUUUCAGGUUAAAACGUUUAAUUAUACAGUAAGCAUACGCACAUGCAGACACAGGCAAUUUCACUGACAUUUCAGUGACACACACAAGCUCAUUGAUACACAGCCUCAUAGACAAACAAUCUUACUGAUAUACAUCAGCUCAUUGACAUAUAAACACAAGCUCACUCACUAGCAGGCACACGCAUGCAAGCAAGCUCACUCACUAGCAGACGCACACACACAGCUUAAUGUGGUGGUACUGGUGUCUAUAGCAUGUCCCUACAGGCUUUUCAACGUAAACACUGACUUUUCAGACAAAGGGCAGUGUUUACAUUGCUUCAAAGUGACACUGCUAGUGACAGUCACUCAGACGGUCACUCAGACGGUCACUAGAGGUGUUUCCUGUGUUAGUGCACCUACAUUCAGGGCCUCCACACUCUGUAGGUGCUGAACGUUCCCCAUAGAGAUACAUUGAUUCAAUGCAUCUCUAUGAGGAGAUGCUGAUUGGAGUGGCGUUUUGCAGCCAAUCCUAUGGCAAAGCAUUGGAUUGGCUGAGAUCAUCAAGCUUGAUGAUCUCAGCUAUAGAGGCAGGGCCAGUCGAGAGGAGACCAGCACGCUGUGUGGGGAAAAAAAAGGUGAGCAAAAACACUAUUUUUAAACACACAUUUACACCAUGACAGACACAGAAACACACAUAUACCAUGACAGAUACACACCCCAUUACAGACACACACACACACACCAUGACAGACCAUGACACAGACAGACACACACCAUGACACAGACAGACACACACCAUGACACAGACAGACACACACCAUGACGGACAGACAGACACACCAUGACGGACAGACAGACACACACACCCCAUGACGGACAGACAGACACACACACACAACCCAUGACGGACAGAGACAUACACACCCCAUGACUGACAGAGACACACACACACACCCCNNNNNNNNNNNNNNNNNNNNNNNNNNNNNNNNNNNNNNNNNNNNNNNNNNNNNNNNNNNNNNNNNNNNNNNNNNNNNNNNNNNNNNNNNNNNNNNNNNNNAGAGUGAGGCUGGGAGCCGGAAGAUGACGUCAUCAACUCGGCUCCCAGCCUCACUCUGCGGCGUGCGAGGGAGCUAAGCGGACAGCUCAGAGGAAGAGCUCCCUCGCCAGCCGCCUGCCCAGCGCCGCCCGCCCGCUCGGCAUGUCUGUUAGCCGCAAGGCUAACAAGGCAUUUGCCCUGGGCAUUUGGGGGGCGGCGUUUUUUGCCGCCCCCUGAAAAAUGCCUUGUUUGCCUCGCGGCUAAAACGCCCCUGGUCUGGCUUACAGAAUGACUGAUUAUAUAAUCUGUUAAAGUGGCCAGUUCACCAUUUCAGAGAUCAUAAGUUGUAAACUUAAACACGAAACCUAUUUGAGCCCCAGACAGAAUUUUUUUUUUUUUACAGAAACCCAAUCUGUUACAAUGUCCAGGACAUAAGGGGUUAAAUCUAGCAGAGAUUGAAGCAAAUGGUUCUACAGAUGUUGUUUUCGUAAGAAAUGAGUUCUUCAGAUGUUCUUUUGUUUCUUUCUUUGGGUAUUAACCAAUCUUUAAAUACAGACCCUUCAAAUAAGCGUGAAUAUGUGUAGAUUUACGAAAUAUGCAUCAGCUGAAUUUAUAAUACGGUGUGUGUGUAUAUAUAUAUAUAUAUAUAUAUAUAUAUAAUUUUUUUUUUUUGCAUUUCCUCAAGGUUCAUUAUUACAUGUUGCUGCAAAGCAAACCAAGAUAGAUUUCCCUGUUUACUUGGAAACAGGACUUAUUGUGCUAAAGAAACACUAUAGUCAGUACCAACCUUUUAAACUUAUAUUGUAAAUUUGCCUUUAAAAAAAAUAAAAAUAAAUAAAAUAAAUGUAAAAAUUUAAAAAAAUUCUAUUUCCCCAGGGGGCUUCUCCACUGUCUUUCUUGUGCGCACAGCUGGAGGAUUACGCUGUGCCUUGAAGAGGAUGUAUGUGAACAAUGUGCCUGAUCUUAAUAUCUGCAAGAGAGAAAUUACAAUUAUG